rnacentral:lncRNA from 1 species
UUGUCUGAACUGUUUGGGUAUAUGGUCGAAAGACUGGGCUACUGGAGACCUGUAAGAAUAGCCUCGAACACCGGCGUUCGGUCUGCUGCGACUAUGAAGAAGAGAAGCUGAAAAGAAGAAAUUGGGGCUGGGAAGGAAAGUUGAUUUAUGGAGUACAAUACGAGAGCCAAGUUCGCGAUUAUUAGCAGGAGUCGGGCAAGAAAGUGGAGAGAGAAGCAAGGAAGAAGCCAUGGAUGGACACACUUGUGGUGUUUACUUCCUGAUGAGGAGGAGGAACAAGUGUAAAGUGUGGCUGGGAAUUGAACUGCAUCACUUCACGUUAAUGGGUCGGAUUGGAGGACGUGAAACCCAAUUCACCUGCUGUUGUGGUGUCCAAUUUUAUUAAGUAUAUUUAUGUGAAUAGUUUGUUGGAAAUUCAUCUAAUAUUUAUGUAGUUCAAAUUUUUAGUCGUCUAAUUAAUCUUUUUUCUAUUUUUUUGUGAUUUCGUUUUAAUAUUUCAAAUUUAUUUGAAUCUAUAAAUUCAUUCAUAUGUUUAUUUUGUUUGAUUUUUAAUACAUUUAUAUUUGAUAAUUUUGAAAUUUGAUUUUAGGGUUUUAGAUUGGGGGAAAACAUCUGUCAUUCUACAAUGUCUGAAUCAAUCAGAAUUACUAGAGUUAUACCAAAAUCACAUAUUGUUACUAUUUACAUUAAACAUAAUGGGAUACAAAAAAAUUGUAUGCAUUCAAAUAAAAAGAAAACAGCUACGAAACUUAAAAGAAUCAAGCACUUUUCAAUAGUUCUUGCAUCAUAGAUGGGAUACAAAAAAGCUAAAAAUAUCAAACCAUACAAAGAUUUCACCGAUUCAAAAUAAUCAACAAAACAAAAUACCUGAUAUACGAAUAUAUUAUCCAAACAAAUAAAAUAAUCAACAAAAAUAAAAAUACAUGAUGUCGAAAUUUCUUGAAUUCAAUGGAACUGACGAAAUUAUAGUCGUGAAUUUUGAAAACAUCUGUUUCAAGAAUAUACUGAAUUCAAUUCAAGAAGCUAUGAAGAUUAUCAAUUGAAUGAUUCGAAAGACAACUUAUUUUUUGCAAUUUUUUUUUUUUGGAAUUCUUAAGAACAGAGGGCAAAAAAAAUGCUCGAAAGAAAAAAUGGCAACAUCCUCUUUCAAAACAUAACUGAUUUAUAUUUAAAAUCGUUUUUUCCUUUUUUGAAAUUUUAUGUUCCAUGAUUUUCUCUAUUCUGUUAUUAAUUAUUUGUAUUCUUUCAAAUUAAUCAAAAUAAAAUAAAUACAUAACUCAUCUUUUAACAAACUAAAAUAUUGUCAUUUUUAAUAAAAUAGUGAAACUAUUGCUAAGGAGUCCCACUAAAGGCUAAAGUAUUGUUGUUUUAAAAAUUUUGAAAAAAUUAGCUAUCUAGUCAUAAUACUUAACAUAAUUAGUCAAAACAACAACACUUUAAAAUAUUUAUUUAAAAUGUCAAAAUGUCAAUAUAUUCAAAAAUAAUUUGUAUCCACGUUUUAUUAUUUAUAUUUCAUUUUAUUUAUCAAAAGAGUCCAUCAUUGGACCAAACUCUAACCAAUAACCUACUAAAAAUAAAAAACAAAUACAAAACUACCCAUUAAUAUUCUUUCCACAUCUUACACAUUUUUCACCUUUCACGUUUCUCAGUUAAAGAAUUUAUUUUUCCCACCUUUCACGUUCCGAGUUUCUCUUUCUUCACGUUUUUCUGCUCACUUAGAAACACAAGUUAUUCAAAGUUCUGAUAAAUUAUUCAACAAAAUCUCUGUAUAAAUUCAAGGAAUUUCUCGAUUGGUAAACAAAAUCUCUAUAUUAAUUAAAGAAAUUUCUUGAUUGGUAAAGGUAAUUUCGUUUAUUUAUGCAGAAUUCUUUUGAUUUGUUUACAAAAUCACCUAUUAUCGUGUAUAUUUUGGAUGGUAUAUAUUACGGAUUUUCCGUCAAUUUUCUCAAUUUUUAUGCGGUUUAGAUAUUCAUCUAAUAUCUAUGUGGUUCAGAUUUUUAGUCGUCUAAACAAACUUUUUUUAUUUUUUUUGUGAUUUCGUUUUAAUAUUUCAGAUUUAUUAGAAUCUACAAAUUCAUUCAUAUGUUUAUUUUGUUUGAUUUUUAAUACAUUUAUAUUUGAUAAUUUCGAAAUUUGAUUUUACGAUUUUAGAUUUGGGAAAAGCAUCUGUCAUUCUACAAUGUUUAAUCAAUUAGAAUUACUAGAGGUAUACCAAAAUCUCAUAUUGUUACUAUUUACAUUAAAUAUAAUAGGAUACCAAAAAAUUGUAUGCAUUCAAAUAAAAAGAAAACAACUACGAAACUAAAAAAAAAUCAAGCACUUUUCAAUUGUUCUGCAUCAUAGAUUGGAUACAAAACAUCCAAAAAAAGCUAAAAAUAUCAAAUCAUACAAAGAUUUCACCGAUUCAAAAUAAUCAACAAAAACAAAAAUACCUGAUAUACGAAUAUAUUAUCCAAACAAAUAAAAUAAUCAACAAAAAUAAAAAUACUUGAUGUCGAAAUUUAUUGAAUUCAAUGAAACAAACGAAAUUAUAGUCGUGAAUUUUGAAAACAUCUAUUUCAAGAAUAUGCCGAAUUCAACUCGAAGAAGCUAUGAAGAUAAUCAAUUGAAUGAUUUGGAAGACAAAACUAUUUUUUGCAAUUUUUUUUGGAAUUCUUAAGAACAGAGGAAAAAAAACGCUCGAUAGAAAAAAUGGCAACAUCCUCUUUCAAAACGUAACUGAUUUAUAUUUAAAAUCGUUUUUUCCUUUUUUGAAAUUUUAUGUUCCAUGAUUUUCUCUAUUCCGUUAUUAAUUAUUUGUAUUCUUUCAAAUUAAUCAAAAUAAAAUAAAUACAUAACUCAUCUUUUAACAAACUAAAAUAUUGUCAUUUUUAAUAAAUAGUGAAACUAUUGCUAAGGAGUCCCACUAAAGGCUAAAAUAUUGUUGUUUUGAAAAUUUUCCUAAUUAUUUUUUGGAAAUUUUUUCAAAACAGCAAUAUUUUGGUAUCUAAUAGGAUUCCUUGUCAACACUUUUAAUAUUUAUUUAAAAUGUCAAUAUUGUUAUUUGUUAUAAGGCUGACUUUUGUAUUAUUUAAUUUAUUUAAUUUGAAAGAAUACAUUUUUUUAACAACAGAAUGGAGAAAAUAAUGGAAGAAUAUAUUUUUAAAAAGGUAAAAAUGAUAAAAUAUCUAAUCAAUUACUAUUGGAGUCCUACAAUGUGCCAUUUCUCUCUUCUUCAUUCAAACCCUUUCACCAUUGUCCUAAAAAUAUUAAAUAUCCAUUUUUGAAUAAUUCCAUUGAAAUUGAAGUGGAGUUUUCAUUGAUUUGUGUCAGUUUUAUUUAGAUAACAAACUAUUGAAUUAAUCGAUUGAUAUUUCAAACGUAAUUCCAUCAAUUUCCUUUAAAGUUCAAGAUUACUAGUGAAAAUAAAAAAGUUGUCAGGUAUUGUUUAAGUUUCAAUUUUUUUUUAUGAAAGUAAUUGGAUCAGUGUAUAUUUGACAUUUUGUAUCUUAGUUUGAUUUUAAUACAAAAUUAGUAUGAAUACGAAAUUUUAAUAUAAAGAUACUUUUGUGGACGAAAUGAACUUGUGUUUGACUGUUUAUUUUUAGAUUUUUAAACUGGUUUGUUCUACACUGAACGUGUGGAGCUUUUUUAGGUGGAUAUUUUUUGUAACAUAAAAAUUAUUUGCCUGCAUAUAUUGAAAUAAUGAAAAUAUAAAUUUAUUAUUCAUUGAUAAAUAAAUGCAUUUUGAAAAACAAUAUAGUAUGUGUCACGACCCGAGCCUACACCCUGGACGUGGCCGGAACUCAAAGACCAUUGUUGGUCCCUAAGCGAACCCUCAUCCUGGCUGACUACAAGCGGAAGACUAACUCAAGCAUGCAAAAGCUUAAAAAUUGAAUAAAAUUCAAGAAACUGAAAUACAAAACUUUAACUCAAAUGAAAAACUCUGAAUAAAUAUAAUAUAUUCAAAUUGCCACAAAAUAGGCAACUUAAGUCUUUAUAACAUUUAACUAAAUAAAUGAACAGACUUCCGAAACUCUACUGUCUAUCUAUGAAGCCUCUAAAUGACAAAGAUAGAAGUCNNNNNNNNNNNNNNNNNNNNNNNNNNNNNNNNNNNNNNNNNNNNNNNNNNNNNNNNNNNNNNNNNNNNNNNNNNNNNNNNNNNNNNNNNNNNNNNNNNNNNNNNNNNNNNNNNNNNNNNNNNNNNNNNNNNNNNNNNNNNNNNNNNNNNNNNNNNNNNNNNNNNNNNNNNNNNNNNNNNNNNNNNNNNNNNNNNNNNNNNNNNNNNNNNNNNNNNNNNNNNNNNNNNNNNNNNNNNNNNNNNNNNNNNNNNNNNNNNNNNNNNNNNNNNNNNNNNNNNNNNNNNNNNNNNNNNNNNNNNNNNNNNNNNNNNNNNNNNNNNNNNNNNNNNNNNNNNNNNNNNNNNNNNNNNNNNNNNNNNNNNNNNNNNNNNNNNNNNNNNNNNNNNNNNNNNNNNNNNNNNNNNNNNNNNNNNNNNNNNNNNNNNNNNNNNNNNNNNNNNNNNNNNNNNNNNNNNNNNNNNNNNNNNNNNNNNNNNNNNNNNNNNNNNNNNNNNNNNNNNNNNNNNNNNNNNNNNNNNNNNNNNNNNNNNNNNNNNNNNNNNNNNNNNNNNNNNNNNNNNNNNNNNNNNNNNNNNNNNNNNNNNNNNNNNNNNNNNNNNNNNNNNNNNNNNNNNNNNNNNNNNNNNNNNNNNNNNNNNNNNNNNNNNNNNNNNNNNNNNNNNNNNNNNNNNNNNNNNNNNNNNNNNNNNNNNNNNNNNNNNNNNNNNNNNNNNNNNNNNNNNNNNNNNNNNNNNNNNNNNNNNNNNNNNNNNNNNNNNNNNNNNNNNNNNNNNNNNNNNNNNNNNNNNNNNNNNNNNNNNNNNNNNNNNNNNNNNNNNNNNNNNNNNNNNNNNNNNNNNNNNNNNNNNNNNNNNNNNNNNNNNNNNNNNNNNNNNNNNNNNNNNNNNNNNNNNNNNNNNNNNNNNNNNNNNNNNNNNNNNNNNNNNNNNNNNNNNNNNNNNNNNNNNNNNNNNNNNNNNNNNNNNNNNNNNNNNNNNNNNNNNNNNNNNNNNNNNNNNNNNNNNNNNNNNNNNNNNNNNNNNNNNNNNNNNNNNNNNNNNNNNNNNNNNNNNNNNNNNNNNNNNNNNNNNNNNNNNNNNNNNNNNNNNNNNNNNNNNNNNNNNNNNNNNNNNNNNNNNNNNNNNNNNNNNNNNNNNNNNNNNNNNNNNNNNNNNNNNNNNNNNNNNNNNNNNNNNNNNNNNNNNNNNNNNNNNNNNNNNNNNNNNNNNNNNNNNNNNNNNNNNNNNNNNNNNNNNNNNNNNNNNNNNNNNNNNNNNNNNNNNNNNNNNNNNNNNNNNNNNNNNNNNNNNNNNNNNNNNNNNNNNNNNNNNNNNNNNNNNNNNNNNNNNNNNNNNNNNNNNNNNNNNNNNNNNNNNNNNNNNNNNNNNNNNNNNNUAGAACUUGAAGAUACUACUCCUCUCAAAGGUACUCAACUGAUAAAGUUCAUACGGAAGUUAUGGGCAUGAACGACUCGACUCAAGGGUCAAAAUAUCAAUAAGGAACUCAUGUAUACGACUCUUCUCAUUCUCAUACUUACUUCCUCAAAACUUAGUUCAGAUCAAUAGUUGAUCUCAAAGGAUUCACAAUUGAACUCAAAGCUUUGCUAAAACUUUACUCUUAACUCUCUCUUAAAUGCGAAUUAUGAAUUCAAGAGUUCUGGUUCAUGGUAUGAAGGAUCUCGUGAUGAAAAAAAUAGACUCAAGAAUACGUUCUCCUUAUUCUCAUACUCACUUGCUCGAGUCUUGAAACAUGUUACUAGAAGUUGUAGAAGACUCCACAAAAUGACUCAAAGGGACUUCCUUAGAAUGUUUGAAAGAAUUCUCAAAACUUAACUCUUAACUCUACCUUGAAUUUGAAUUAUGAAUUCAAGGUUGUGAUCAUGUUAGGAAUGAUUUAGGUGUUUAGAAGUAGCUUAGAGUAUUUAGAAUCCAAAGGGAGUGAAGGUGCACUUUAAACGAACUCAAACGGGGCAACCGACGACAAACUGGAUGGGGCAGGCGACCCUGGCGCUAUGGCUAGCGCGGGGCGCCAGCCCCUAAACUUCAGAGGAGGGUUUGGGGCGCUCUGGCUGGCGCAUCGCGCUAGGCCCCAACCCAGAAAAUCUGACGAAAAUCUUUGCUCAUUUUCUCACCCUAAUUCGCCUAGAAUCGAACGGUUUCUUCCCCAAUCACUUGGAUUCGAUUACUUAACAUAAGUACACUCUAAUAUACUCAAAACAACACUCAAAUUACUAAAUUUCAUAUCAAGAAAUCAUUAAAACCCCAAUACAACAAGAUUUAGAAUGAACUUCAAGAACACCUAUCAAGAACUCUAAUCUUUCAACUUCAACAAUGAAAUUUCGCUGAAAAUAACAUGAUUGGCGUGUGGGUGAACUAACCCAACACUAUGGAAGCUUACAUACCUCUUACCGCAAGAGAACUCAAGAACUUCGAAGAACGCCUUCAUCCUUUCCUCUUUUCUCUUCUUUUCUCUUNNNNNNNNNNNNNNNNNNNNNNNNNNNNNNNNNNNNNNNNNNNNNNNNNNNNNNNNNNNNNNNNNNNNNNNNNNNNNNNNNNNNNNNNNNNNNNNNNNNNNNNNNNNNNNNNNNNNNNNNNNNNNNNNNNNNNNNNNNNNNNNNNNNNNNNNNNNNNNNNNNNNNNNNNNNNNNNNNNNNNNNNNNNNNNNNNNNNNNNNNNNNNNNNNNNNNNNNNNNNNNNNNNNNNNNNNNNNNNNNNNNNNNNNNNNNNNNNNNNNNNNNNNNNNNNNNNNNNNNNNNNNNNNNNNNNNNNNNNNNNNNNNNNNNNNNNNNNNNNNNNNNNNNNNNNNNNNNNNNNNNNNNNNNNNNNNNNNNNNNNNNNNNNNNNNNNNNNNNNNNNNNNNNNNNNNNNNNNNNNNNNNNNNNNNNNNNNNUUUGAAGUCGACUAAAACUCUUACUUAAGCAUAACUUGCAAAAUUUCAGAUUUUGCUAUUUCCAAUUUAGUUCUUUUUCGAACUCAAGGUGCUACAUCUAGUGAACUUAACACUUAAGAAAUUUUAAUUCCUCGGUAUAAUCCUACUCACAACGAAAGAUGGUUCAAGUCUUAGCUCAAAAAUUUUCUGGGGUGUUAUAAUAUCUCCCCCUUGGGAUCAUUCGUCCUCGAAUGACGACUGGACUGGGUAUGAAAUGGUUUACUCUUACUAAGGUUUGAGUCUAAGGUAUUCUCUUACUAUAUUCAAGCUUAACCCAAAUCCUUAUGUUCGGAUUAUAUACCUCUCUAUAGGAAAUCUCAUCCCAAACUAUUACUCUUUACCACCACAUUGGGCUCAUAUCAAGAACCACCAAAUAUUUAACAACACCACAUUCAAGCUUAGUAUUCUAACAACUCCAUGGACUCCUACUAAACAACUCCUUAAGAAAUUAUCAACACUUGACUUGAUUUCUCCUCUUAUCAAAUCCUUAAUUUUCUGGGGUGUUACAAUAUGUGACAUACUAAUAGACACAAAAAGAAUACAAUUUAAGAACAUACUAAUAAACAAAACAAGACUACGAUAUGAAAAAAGACAAAAAGAAUACAAUCUAAGAACAUACUAAUGCACAAACACAAGAAUACAAUCUGGAAAAGGACAAAAAGAAUACAAUUUAAUAACAUACUAAUACACAAAACAUGAAUACAAUCUGGAAAAAUAUACAAUUUAAUAACAUACUAAUACACAAAACAAGAAUACAAGCUAAGAACAUACUAAUACAUAAAACAAUAAUACAAUCUCAAGAAGGACAAAAUGAAUACAAUCUAAAAACAUACUAAUACACAAAACAAUAAUACAAUCUGGAAAAAGAUAUAUAAACAUGACACAUAUAUUAAACAACUACAUAAUGGAGCUAAUAUAAUUCUUCUUUUGGAUACUACUAAUUUGGGAUACAUAAUGGAUCUAGUAGAAUACAAUUUUCUUCAACACUAAUCCAGGAUAUAUAAUGUAGAUAAAAACACAAAUACUUUAUGUAUUUACCUGUAUAAUCGGGAUAAAAUAUUUCAAAAGAUUGUAUUCAGAAAAGAAAAAAAAAACAAAAUCUCAAAAGAUACUUGAUGAGAUUGUAUUUACCUAUAUAAUCGGGCUAAAAUCUUUCAAGAAUAUACCGAAUGUCUCAUGAAAUUGCUUUAAAAGUGGAUUAAUUUGUAAGAAAUUUUGUAGGAGAUAACAAUGGUGGAAACGGAAGAGAGAGAAUGGAGAGAUUUGGGGGUAAAAACAUAGAGAGAGGAAAUAGGGUUGUGGGGUCUCUUUUUUUUACUUUUAAUCGGGUAGUGGAGUCAUAAAUGUGGACCUGAUUUUGGGGUUUUUUUUUUGGGAAAAUAAUUAUAUUAGGAUAGUAAAAUAAUCAUAAUUAUAUUAUGAUACAUUAUAUUUGCUAAAAUAAUGACAUAAUGACAUUUUUAAUAAUUAUUUUAAAGUGUGGAUGUUUUUAUUAAUUAUGUUAGGAAUUUUGACUAUUUGAUAAUUUUCCCUUAUUUUUUUCCUUAUUUUUCUACUUCUAUCUACUAUAUUGAAAAGCCAUGAAUGAGACGACCAAGAGCACUUCUGAAAAUAUGACUUUUAUUAAGGGCAAAAUAGUAAAUUUUGAAGUGAUCAUUUCAGAAAAAUCAGAUUGUUUCUUCUUCUCUGGAGAAAGAUCAAAUACAAGUACAAAAAUAUCUUUCUCUGGAAAUUUCUACUCACGCUUUAAAUAAACAUUAGGUUCCACCAGCUCUCAAAAACUUUAGUUCAUCUUGUGGCUUGUCAAAUUGUUGGUUCUAACUUUGUCUAUUCUUCGAUUUGUUUCAAUUUUAGGUAAGCAAUUCGUAAUUUGUUUUUAAUUGUUCUCUUGAAUUUGUUUGAUCUCCAUAAAAAAAACUUCUAUCUUUAGUUUGUUUGCUAAUUCAUGUAGAUGUUGUUCUUCUAUUGCCUAUUAAAAAAAGAAAAGAAAAAUGUUUGGAGUGUUGUAGUAUUAUUGGUAAUAGUAGGACUUGAACAGGUUUUAGGUAGGGGCGGACCCACGUGUACCCUCACGUGCAUCCGGUAACUUUUUAAAAAAAUCGUAUAUAUAUGUAUAGACAGUUGAUAAAAGUAAAUAUAUUUAAUUGUGCAUCCUAACGACCAAAAGUUAUUAUGGGUGCACUGGUCGAACGCGCCAACUCACUGCACGAUCGCGUGAGAUCGAUUCCCGGCGAAGGCAACAUUUUUUUAACUUUAAAUUCAGCAUUUUCUCUUUAAAAAAACUUUUAAAAAAUUGCUUUUAUUAAAAUUCGUUUUUGCCACCUCAUCUGGCCCCACCCUAUUUCUUAACCACCCUUUUUUUUGUCAUCCGGUCUCAUUCCUUUCUUAAUUGAAUUUAAAAACAAAUAAAGCCCUAACACAAUUCUAAACAAAAUAUAAGACUAAUUUUCCCUAGCACAAGUCUAAACAAAAUAUAUGACUGCUAGAAAAUCUACAACUUACAAGUAUUCUUCACUGCAUAAUUGAAGUCCUACUCCUAUUAUCUCUGCGUUAAUUGGUAAGUUCUUCUUUAUAAGCAUAUUUUUUUUGCAAUAAUUUGUUGUUGAUUCUUGUGAUUUGAGAUGGAUAGAUUUUUGACGAAAAAUAAUUCUUCUCAACCAAGUGCUAGUUUUAGAGAAAAGUCUUCACGUUUUAUAGAUGAGUUUGAUUUGCAGUCACUUAAAUUGGAUCCUGGAGAAAGAAUAUCCAUUGAUAAAUAUAGCCCUAGAAUACGAGAUGAAGUGAGAAGACACUAUAUUCAACAAGGGCCUUGUCAACCAGGUAUUAAUGAUAAUGAAUAUCCUCAAACUACAUUCGAAACGAAAAUGCGUCGAUUUUGUAAGACAUGGUUUAAGGGUUCAUAUUUUAGAUGGUUGGAGUAUAUUAUGAAGAAAGAUGUUGUGUUUUGCUUAUGUUGCUAUUUAUUUAAAAAUGACCAUGUAAAGGGAAAUGUAGGUGAUUAUUUUACGAAAACUGGUUUUAAGACUUGGAAUCAUAGUUUUGAACGAUUCAAUUUACAUGUUGGUGAAGUAAAUAGUGUCCACAAUAGGUGUUUCAACAAGAUGCUAGAUUUUUAGAAUCAAUCUCAAUCCAUUCAAGUUGCUUUUAACAAGCAAUUUGAGAAAACAAGAAGUGAGCAUCGAAUUCGUUUAGAGGCUUCUACUAAUAUGGCAAGGUUCCUCUUGGAAUUUGGAUUGUCUUUUCGAGGUGUCAUGAUGAAAGUGAUUCUUCAAAAAAUAAAGGUAUUUUUUUAGGUCUUUUGGAUUGGCUUAGAAAAAUUCUUCCGGAUAUGAUUAAUGUUAUUUUAAAACAUGCUCCAAAAAAUGCUAUGAUGACUUCUCCAAAAAUUCAAAAGGAUAUUGUGAAUUCUUGUGCACAAGAAAUCGCGAAAGCUAUAAUUGAUGACUUGGAUGGAGAUUUUUUUGAAAUAUUAGUUGAUGAAUCUAAAGGCAUAUCACACAAUGAACAAAUGGCCCUUGCUUUGAGGUAUGUUAAUAAAAAAAGGCAAAGUGAAUAAGCGAGUAUUACUAUUGUCCGUGUUGGUGACACAUCUGCACAAUCAUUGAAGGAAACAAUAUGUUCUUUGCUUUUGAGACACUCUUUGAGUACAUCUAAAAUACGUGGACAAGGUUAUGAUGGGGCUAGCAACAUGCAGGGAAAAAUGAAUGGUCUUAAAGCUUUGAUUUUGCAGGAAACUCCAUCUGUAUAUUGCAUUCAUUGUUUUACUCACCAAUUACAAUUGACACUUGUAGCUGUUGCCAAUUUUUUUUACUUAUGGACAACUUCUUUGCUAUUAUUGCUAACGUGUUGAAUGUGGUUGGAUCAUCAUCUAAGCAUAGAGAUCAACUUCGGGACCAUCAAGUAGAGAGAUUGGAACAACUACUAGAAAGCGGUGAGGUUCAAAGUGGAAAAGGUGUGAAUCAAGAACGAGGGAUUCAAAGACCAGGUGACACUCGUUGGGGAUAUCAUUUUAAAACAUUGGAUAACUUUGUUAUUUUAUUUUCAUCUAUAGUUCAUGUGCUUGAUGCAAUUAAAUGUGGAAGUUCCAGCCCCAAUGAUAUAUUGCAAGCAUGAGCUUUCUUGAAUAUGAUCAAUGAAUUUGAAUUUGUUUUCUUGCUUCAUUUGAUGUUAAAAAUAUUGGUGAUGUCAAAUGAGUUGAGUGCAGCAUUGCAGAGAAAGGAGCAAGAUAUUGUUAAUGCCAUGAUAUUUCUUGACAUUACUAAAAAUAGACUGCAAUUGUUGAGAGCUGACGGGUGGGAAUCUUUGAUGAAUGAAGUUUCUUUAUUGUGUGAUAAACAUGAAAUUUUGGUACCUAAAAUGGAUGAAUUUAUAUUCCUAGAAAGUCAAAGCGUAAGUCUUGUAGUGUUAUUUAUACACAUCACUUACGUGUUGAGAUCUUUUAUGUUAUUAUUGACUUACAACUGCAAGAGCUUAAUAGUCGAUUUGAUGUUGUGAGUGGUAACUUGCUUCUUGGUAUGACAAGCUUGAAUCCGGUCAAUGCUUUUGCUAAUUUUGAUAAGGAAAAAUAAUGAUAUUGGCCAAACAUUAUCCAGAUGAGUUUGGCGAACCAAAGCUUUGAAAUCUAAGUCACCAACUUGAUACUUUCAUAAUACAUAUGCGACGUGGUGAUCCUAGAUUUUCUGAUUUGAAAGAAAUUGGUGAUUUGGCAGAAGCACUGGUUAAUGAAAAUCUCAUAGAGACUUAUUCUCGUGUGUACUCACUUGUGAAGUUGACCUUGAUUUUAUUUGUCGCUACUGCAACGGUAGAGAGAGUAUUCACAUCCAUGAAGUAUAUCAAGAACGAACUGCGUAGUAGUAUUAGCGAUGAAUUUUUUAAAUGAUUGUUUAGUUUGUUACAUCGAGAAGGAUAUUUUUGUAAAUAUAAGUAACAAUCGUUUUCAGAAUAUGAAAAUGCGUCGGUGUCAAAUAUGAACGGAUGAUCUUCUUUUUUUAAAAUUGAAAUUGGGCAUUAGUGCCCUUUAUUGACUUAAAAACGAUACAAGGCCUCAUAAAGACAGCUCAACAGUUCCCAAUCUGCCAAGACAAGAAAAUGAAAAUACAAAAUCAAAAUAAGAAAGCAUCCUAAAAUCCCAACUCCAACUUCAAGCUCCAGCUUUCUGCUAUAGUGAUUGUCAAAAUCGAAUCUGCUGGUGAGUGUCCUCGAGUCGUCAAAGGCUGCAACAAGUUGUGGUCGGGAUGUUUCCACACGAGGCACUAUAAUCAUCUCACGAAUGACAUGGAAGCAUAUCCCAUUGAAUUCACUUCACCUCAGCUCGAACAAACCAAGUAAGAUUCGAUUCCCUACAUGUCUCGUUGCAUCAUGCUUUUCAUCCGAUCUUUAAGCUCCAUUACCAAGAUUUUUACCCUUUCCUGCAGAUUGAGCCAGAGAUCUAGCUAAUACCACUGCAAAGUCCAGGUAUUUCUCGUUAAUGUUGCUAAAAAUCAUUCAUUUAUUACUCCAAAAUAUUAGUUGAGCCGCUUUGUAAUGAUGCUCUAGUGAUAUAAAUAAGUUGAACGGAUAAUCUAUUUUUGUUAUAUUAGUACUAAAUUAUUGGCAUUUGAUCAACUUAUACUUUGGCCAUAAUAUUUCGCAUUUAAUUGUAUGUCAAUUUUGUAGUGAAUAAAAAGUUAGACAUUUGUUUGCAAUACAUCACGUUGGACGUUGAUGUAAACUUUAUUUAUUAAUAUGAAUAUUUGAGUUUUUUAUUCAAAUUUCUAUAAUAUUCUUGAUAAAAAGUAGAUUGUUCUUCUUUUAUUUUUUUAUUUUUUAAAUUAUAAUGUUCAAUAUUGGUUUAAGUGAAAUAAAAUAAUAAAUUCACUAUUGAAAUUUAUUGGGGCCCCAAACUUUUGGAGGCCUAAGUAGGCUUUGCUAACGUUAUCCUUGUGCCACUCCUAGCCUUACCCUUAAGUCACUCUUAGUAGUGCCCCCCUAUCUUCAAAUCCUGGGUUCGCCUCUGAUUCUAGGAAAGAGGUGGCUAAAGUUUUUUAGGUUCCCUUUAGAUUUCGACAUGUUCAAAUGACCGAUUACGAUCAUUCCAUGGAUUAACAAAAAAGAACUGAAUUUAUGGAUCUAAGAGACUCAAGAGUCAAAUAGAAAGCCUUGAGAAUUAGAAUCUUCUCAUUUAUUUGAUCCAUGCACUGAUAUUUAUGUGUCACAUCACUUAUUUAGAAUUGAAAUAUAGUGAUUAUAUAUUUAAAUAGCUCUUCCCGCUGCAUUUUUUUUAGACUUGCAUAAGUUGUUGUUUUCAGAUUGCGUUGUUGCGCGAGAGAACUUCAAUAAGGAUGCUUGAAAGUAUAUGAAAUUGAUUCUAUUUCUUAACUUCUAUGUUGAAAACUAGCUCAAACAUGUAUAUUGCAUCCUUCCAUUAUAUAGUUCUUCCUUUUGUUUUGUACAAAUGAAAAUUGCUAUCAUUCCUGACUUGUUUGUUUCUUGAAUCACAUGAAUAGCACUUACUUCACUUCAAUAUCUUGUUCAUGAAAUUUACGAGUCCCAUCGAUCAUUCCUUCCAAAACACUUGAAGGAACUCCAUGAUUUAUCAAUUGGAAAAAACCUCAUUUUUCAGAUGUUUUCCUUAUUUCUUCAGCAAUCUUCUUACAUGAUCUUCAACUUCUAUGCUACUGAGAUCCACCACCGGAACAUGUAGCAUUGAUUUACAUAUAUAACUCCUCAACACUUAUAUGUUGCGGGUAUUCUUGCUAAAUGAGUUACAAGGAUACAAUAGGUUAUAAUUUUUUGCCGUUAUUAAUCUACCCAAGUAUGAUUUGGUUUAUAUUCUCUUGAUAUAAUUCAAAUGCCUAUUUGGGGCAUAAAACUAUCAAAAACACUCUGUAAGUAGGUGAUCUAUUUGUAAAAGUUGCUGCCUAUUCUUGCCAAGGCUGUUAAUUUUUUUUCUUGCUCUGUACAUCUCUUUUCUGGUUUAAAAGUUUUAUAGUGAGUACUCUGCUUCGGAAUGCUUAGCAGAUUUGUGGAGUAAAUUUACAUGUGAUUUGCGUAAUUUCGUUUAUAGAUUUAAGAAUAUGUUUUUUGUUUGUUUGUUUGUUUGCUAUGGAGGUUUCUUGUUCCUUCCCAUCUCAUAAUAUUUUACUUAUUAAUAAAUAAGAUAGGGAUCUAUGUCAAAUGCUCCAUCACAACAUAAGGUGAGAGCCCUGGUUGUUGGAUUGGUAAUAAAUAAAUAAAUAAGAUAGGGAUCUGGUUAUUUUUGUGUGUAUAAUAAUAAGACUUCAAAAUGAGUUGGCAUAACAUAAUUGGUCAUUUAAUCCACGUGGACAUGUUUGGUCAACACGCGCAUAGGGUCAACAAAAUAUUGUGAAAAAAUGUCAAAAUGACACAGCAGGGUUAAAAUAUCUAAAUGAAAAUUGAUGCCAACUCUAGGAAGUUACGUAAGAGUUCAACCUUUAAAUAAUAAGACUAAGUCAAUAUCAAUAAAUAAAUAAUUUGUAUUUUAUUUUUUCUCUAUGAGCUAUUUACAUUACCUAACAACGCAAGCAAUCAAACCAAUAAACAUUGGCUUAUGAAAUGAGAUGCCUUGAGAUCUUUUGAACUUUUGGACUUUUUAUUUAUCUUCCUUUAUUUACCAUUGCUGCUAAAAUAGAGCAAUUCGAAGUUAGAGUGGUUGUGUAGCUAAUGGAAAGUUCAUGACCAUUAUACAUUUGUUGAUAGGGAGUUGCUUGAAGUUCACAUGUGCGCAAUCUUCAAUAGAGUUAGGAACUAACGAAUUAGGAUACUUUAUUUCAUUUUAUAAUUAACUAUCAAGUUUAUAUAGAAAUUGAUUAUUUUUAAUGAGACUUUAUCAAAUUAGCAGAUUAGCUAGUUGAUUAAGUAAGGAGUUAAAAGGUGGUUAAGAGCAUCAAGGGCAGAAUAGUAUUUGUUGUUAAAGUUUGUUGUAACUAACUCUUACGGUAAUUAGUUACAGAAGCAGCUAUAAAUACAUGAUCUUCUUCAUUGUAUUUUUUAGACUUUUCAAGCUCAAUAAUGGAAUCUCUCCUCCUCUUCUUCUUCUUCUUCUUCUAGUAGCUUCCAUGAACUACUUGUGAUUUACGUACAUGCAGUCUCUCUAAAUGGCUGGUCUAAAUGAGGAAAACUUAUCUUUCGUUCGGUUCCCGAUGCCGCAGGUCUAGAGAGGCAUCACGACAAUAGAAAUACAAGGUUCUUCUGUGAGAGAGGUUUCGUUUAACUCAAGCUGGAGGAGAAAGCGCCUGCCUUUUAUGCUCGCCUGAUGGAGUUCGAAUGGACUCCACUGAUUGGGCUCCCCCGGAUGCACGUUCCACUUGGGUGAGAGAGUUCUACGCUAUCCUUCCCACUGUACGAUGGGACGAUCCUCAUCCCUUAUCUAUAUCCGGGGAGUUGACAUUCCCCUUAAUGCCACAUCCAUCAAUGAGGCGCUAGAGGUGCCCGAGGCCUCGAAUGCGGAGUACGAGGCUAAGCUGAGGAAGAUGGAUCUAGGUUGGUUGAGAGACACUCUGAUUGAGCCUACGCGCCCGGAUCAGGUCUAGUGGGCUACUGCAGAGGGUAUUACUAGCACAGAUUGGUCACUUGAUGCUAAGAGGUGGCUACACUUGGUCACUAGAAGGAUCCGCACGUCGGGCAACCGUACCGACGUGACCUUUCCUCGGGCUUUGGUGGUGGCGUGCGCCAUACAGGGUAUAAAGCUAAAUGUGGGGGCGCAGAUCAUUUCGGAGUGGAAGAUGUUCUACCGCGGCAACAAAAAGGCUUUCUUCCUAUCGAGACUCAUCACCGCGCUGUGCAAACGGGCGGGGGUUCCACUUUUUAACGCCGAUGAGGUACUUCCUAUGGAUCCCCCCUUCACCCCCUUUUGGUUAGGUCAUGUUCUACUUCCAAGAGCAAGAUGAGGAGAACGGGCAAGUCUAACAGCAGUAAGACGGUCGUGGAUUCGGACGACGAGUCCCCAUUCUCAAGUGCAUAAGUCGAGGAGAAUCUGGCGGCCGUCCGAAAGAGAUUGGGGAGUGUUGUUGCUGACUUCACUCUAGUUCCACCCAGCACUGCCCUAGAGGUCGACAUACUCCAUCGCGAGCUGCGCCAGGAGAGAAGGAAGGGUCUGGAGAGGGAUCGUCUAAUGGUUUGGAUAUGGAAGGCCGUGAGGACCAUAUUCACUUGUGUCACCCCUAAUCAGGAGCUUCCCCAAAUCGAGAAGGGGGAUUUUAAGCAUUUUACUUUUAUAAAUGAGGCAGCGAUCGGUCUGGUACCUCCGGAGGAUCUAUGCUCCGAUGUUGACACCUCCCAGUCCGAGGGUUCUUGAUUUGGCUUUUCGCCCUCCUUGGGCUUGUAAUUUAGAACAAGACUUCCCUUUACCUUUUCGUCUUUCCUUAUGAUUUGUAAGCACGUAGAUGCUUCUUUUUGCUGCCUGACACAACCGAUACUUAAAUACUAAAGUUAUGACUUACUGUUUUAUUGUUGAUCAUUGAUUGACUUGCAGGGGUUAGUUCGGAUACCAUUCGGGGUCUAAAUUUGCAACUUAGGAAAAACAGGGGAGACAGGGCUGAGAUUCUGCCUCGCCCUGUCCCGCUCUGGCGGCCUCGCCUUGGCGGGAAAAAUCCCGCCCCAGCGGCCAUAACGGAAACAGAACCCCUGUCAACAAUUUUCUAGGGUUUUUUCUUUUCUACAUCCCCAACGGUUUCCAGCUAUAACACAUGCAUUAUUAGAGUACUUCCCUUAGCUAGAUAGUCGAUGUCUACCCCGAGUCAACCCAACAAUACACGCUCCCCAAAUCCCUUCACAUUACUUCAGUACUACAACACACUCAUUCCCAGGAUACACCCAGGAAUUCACACGAUUAUUUCAAACGAGAAGAAGCACGCAUUCAUAGUUACAAACUACACAUCACAACAAUUUCACCUUGUUAGUUAGUUCGUUCCAUAGAUGACCAUUACGGAUCAUCUAUGCCUUAUACAACCCCUAAGGCCAGAUACCAAUUGGAACCUUCUCAGUUUCAAUUAACUUUGCUUGUGUCCCUUGAGUCAUCACCACGACGUCUAGUCUACUUCGUUGAGAUACUAAUUGGAAUCGGGAGAUACCAAUUGGACUCAACUCAUACCACAAAUGACACUCGCACGAAAGGAGAAAAAGGAUGAGACAACUUUCUAGAAUGCUUUAUAGCUUCCUGAAGAUUAGGUGUGGAUGUCAACACACCAAUCCUUAGGAGUCUAUUCCACAUUUUACUAUUGUAUUGGGAGACCGGUAACUUGGUCUCUGAUACCAAUUUGUCACGACCCAACCCACCGGACCGUGCAGGCACCCGCUCUAACACCUAAGUAGGAGAAUCCUCAUAUCCUAAUAAUUAAAACAUGUGGAAAAUUAACGAAAAACGGAGAUAAAUGAAAUCAUAGAGUUUUUAUAAGUAAAACUUUUAAACAAUUUUGAGUUAAAAAUUAUAAAGUAACUAACACCACCAAGAUUCUAGUCUAAAUAUGUGCAAGAGCUACUAAGAGUACAAACGGGACAUAAUAAAUAAAAUACACAGCUCCCACCAUGCUGAAGGAAAAGUAGAAGCUGCUGGAGAAUUCUUCGUCUUCAUCUAAUGAAACAUCACCAACCUGCAUCCAGACUAUGCCAAAAAGACAUAGCAAGAGUAGUAUCAGUACAAACACACGUACUGGUAGGCAUCAUCAGUCAACCCGACUCCCACCGCAUAAAAUAAGAAAUCAACUAGCAAGAACAUACAAUAAACCACUCGCUUCUCCACCCUUACCCACCUUUGAAUACUUUAGAAAUACACUAGUAACCACCUUCCCAUUCAACCUACUUACUAGGUUUUUGAUCAUAGCCUAACCAUUCUAACGCAUAGAAAAGUCCACAGAUAUAACUACAAGCAUCUCGACUAACUACCCACGACAUACCCUUACUUUCUCUUUUAUCUUUCCCAGUCCUUGCCACAUGGUACAUUAUAUCAAGCCUUCUAACUACUAACUACGAACCCCUUUCCCCAAGGUGAAAUUCAAUUAAGAAUUUACAACAUGCAUACUACCUCCACUUCUCACCCUUGCAACAUACAAAUAUCCCUUGUCUCACAAACCUUAACAAUUCUUGUUCCCUUGGCCCUUCUCAUUUCAUUCAACUACGAGAUACAUAUCGGGUUAAAUCAACAUAAUCGAACCAACAUAUAUAGGUCAGCAAAAUCAUUUAACCUUCCGGAUCAAUGCAAUGUUAGUACCAUUAAGAACUACAUACAACUUCACCGUUUCAAGUAUACAAUAUGUCAAGUCAUUGGUUCUCUCAUGGAUCCCAAACCCAAACUGUUAGCAUAUCGGAACGUGACACCCGAUCCAAUGUUUUAUGCCGGAACAUGGCAAUCGAUCCUAUAAUUAUGCUGAAACGUGGCAACCGAUCUAAAUUAGUAUGUCAGAACGCAACACCCGAUUCAUUCAACAAGCCACAAUCACAAUCACAAAGUACACUCUCAUAAUCAUACGAUCAACUCAUGAUUCAUGGAAUUCAUCAUUUAUAUAUCCUCAUUUACUAUUAAUGUGAUCAAUAAUGCAACAUUCGUAUACAAACAUGUAUCAUAAUGAAGCAAAAACAAACAUACAUCACCAAAUCAUAGAAUCACAACAAUCACCUACAACUAUUCAUCGACGUAUAUAAUAUAAACAUUAACUAGACCAUACCCAGCCCUAGUUCAUCAUCUAAGGCUUCUUCCUACGAUUUAAUCAUCUUUUGUUCGGUGCACGAAGGCUUACGCAUGAAUCCUACCAUUGAUUAUCAUCAUACUACGCAGUGGGCAUAGAGUUUUGGUCUUCGAUUUUUGUUUCUGGGACUCAUGACGGUGAUCUUGACCGGAAAUCCGCAAUCCAUCGACAUCCUUAUGCUAGAAAUAUCUCUCUCCAUUUUUCCCAAGCUUGGAGUAGCUUUUUGGGGGUUUCUAGGGUGUUUUACGACUAAUUAAGGUAUUUAGGAAGAAAUAAGGAAUAAAAAUUUGCGUUAUUUACAUUCUGCCUCGCUUAUCCCGCCCUGGCAACUACUUUCCCCGCUGUGGCACUGCCGCCCUAGCGGCAUCUGUCCCGCCUUGACGGGACAGUGGUCUAGAAUUCCCUAAUUUUUUAUUUUCCCUAAAUAACGACGGUUUGGGUCGUUACACUAUAGGAUGCAGAUGGGCAUACAAAAUUAAGUAUAAGGCUACACGUGAAUUAUAAAGAUUCAAAGCAAAGUUGGUUGCUAAAGGGUAGUAUAGUCAACAAGAGGGUAUUGAUUAUAAGGAGACUUUCUCACCAGAUGUUAAAAUGGUGACUGUAAGGUCCAUAGUGUCUUUUGCAGCCUCAAGGCAGUGGCAUAUCCAUCAUAUGGAUAUUUUUAAUGCUUUUCUGCAGGGUGAUCUGGAGGAUGAAAUCUAUAUGCAACUUCCUCAAGGUUUUGUCAGUCAAGGGGAGAAGGUAUGCAGACUGACAAAGUCUUUGUAUAGGCUUAAACAAGCUAUAAGACAGUAGAAUCAAAAGUUGACCGAAUCUCUUGUUAAUCUCAAGUUCAGACAUAGUCAAUAUGACUACUCCUUGUUUAUUAACAAAUCAUCGGUUGGAAUAGUAAUUAUGUUUGUAUAUGUAGAUGAUAUGUUGAUCACUGGUAGCAGUCUUAAGUUGAUAGAGGAGACAAAACAGGCAUUGCAAAAGGAUUUUAAGAUGAAGGAUAUAAGGGGAGCUAAAAUACUUCCUAGGUAUUGAGUUCACUAGAUCAGCAGAAGGUAUACUUAUGCAUCAGAGAAAAUACACUUUGGAACUUAUAGAUGAAGUAGGAAUGUCAGCAGCCAAACCUACAGGAACUCCUAUUGAUGUUAAUGUCAAACUAACAUCAAAGCAAUAUAAUGAGCAAAUGAAAAACAAGAAGACUCCUAAAGAUCAGUUGGUAGAUCAGACAACAUAUCAAAAACUGAUUGGGAAAUUAUUGUAUAUGAACAUGACAAGACCAGACAUAUCAUUCAGUACUCAAACUCUAAGUCAAUUCUUGCAGCAACCAAAGAAGUCACACAUGGAUGUUGCAUUAAGGGUAGUUAGAUAUCUUAAGAGGCAACCUGGACAUGGUGUACUAUUGACUAGUUCUUCAGAUGAAGUAGUUACUGCAUUUUGUGAUGCAGACUGGGCCUUUUGACCAUUCACCAGAAGAUCUAUAACAGGCUACAUUGUCAAGAUAGGUAAUUCUUUGGUGUCUUGGAAAGCAAAGAAACAGACCACAGUCCCCAAGAGUUCAGCUGAAGUUGAGUAUAAGAGUCUUGCCUCUACUGUGUCUGAACUAGUAUGGUUACUUGGAAAAGGAAGUAGGAGCUGAAGUGCAGUUGCCAAUACAAGUAUAUAGUGAUAGUAAAAUAGCCAUACAAAUUGCUGCAAAUCCAGUCUACCAUGAGAGGACAAAACACAUAGAAAUAGAUUGUCAUUUUUAAGAGAAAGGAUACAACAGGGAUCAAUCAAAGUGAACUAUAUACAAACAUAAGAACAACCAGCAGAUGUCUUAACAAAAGGGUUGUCCAGAAGUCAACAUGAGUAUUUGUUAUCCAAGCUAGGUGGGUUGAACAUCUUUACCCCUCCUAGCUUGAAGGGGAGUAAUGAUACUUUAUCAUAUUAGCAGAUUAUCUAGUUGAUUAAGUAAGGAGCUAAACGGUGGUUAAGAGCAUUAAGGGCAGAAUAGUCUUUGUUGUUAAAGUUUGUGUAACUAGCUCUUACAGUAAUUAGUUACAAAAGCAGCUAUAAAUACAUGCUCUUCUUCAUUGUAUUUUUAGACUUUUCAAGCUCAAUAAUGGAAUCUCUCUUCUUCUUCUUCUUCUUCUUCUAGUAGCUUCCAUAUGAACUACUUGUGAUUUACGUACAAUUUUACAUAAUUUUUUAAUAUAUUAUAUGUGAAUGACUUAAUAUAUUUGAUAAGAUCAGUUAACAUUUGAUUGUAUAUCGACUGAUUGGAUCUUUAAUGUUGGGAUUGCUAAAUACUUAACUAGAAAUUAGCGAAGGAAAAUUUUGUCGAUAAAAAAAAAUUAACGAUCGUAAUUUUAGUCGUCUCUAAAGGAUUCUUAACGAUCCGAUUGUGAAUUCAGCCAUUAAAUUUUAACGAAAAAACUUUUAAUGAUAAAGUUUUUAACGAUUGGUGACGAUAAAAAAAAUUUGGUUGUAAUUUGAACUUUUAACGACUAGAUUAUCUUUCGCUAAAAGUUAUUUUUCUUUUAGUGAUCAUGAGCAGACUCAUGUAGUGUCAUAUUAGUUCAACUAAAUUUGAAAUGUCCAAAAAUUUAUUGUUUAUAUAAGAAAAACAAUUAUACGAUUCUAUUCCACCGCAAAAGGAAAAUGAUAUCAAAUGACCAAUUCAUCAUCGAAAACUACUAUAUCAAUAUGACACAAACUGUGGUUGUGGAGCAGUGGUCAAGCAAGUUCAAAGUCGCAAUGCAUAUUUAAGUCCGAGUCCCUUUAAUGAUAUUUAUAGACUUUGUGCAUCAAUAGGUAUAUAGACCAAAAAAAAAAAACAAUUGGCCAUCAUAUCACAUAUUCUAGUCAAAUACUAACUGGUACACUAAUUAUCUUUAUAUUAUUUUUUUGCUAUUUCAACUUAUAUAUGUUUUGCUCUUAUACAAAUUCAAUAAAAAAUUAAUAUCUAUUAACAAAAAAUAUUUAACUUUUGGUACUCUUUCAUAGUGUUUGCACAUGCAACUAUAUUCGUUAAAAUUAUUUAGUUUGUUAGUUUACUUUAUUUUAGUUAUACUAAAUCUAAAUAGGUUCUUCUUAGAUAUAGAGGUCACCCGUAGUUCUCUCAACCUAGAUAUUUCUCACCGGAAUGGCCAAUUUGGCCGCCGGCCAGCGUUUGAUGAGUGAAGGCUCGGCUUUUCCACUCAACUCAGAUACUUAUUUCCCCAUAUUACACCACCACAAAGCUCCACAACCAAUAACUUUGCCUAGCCCUAAUUCAAAAUUGCCUAACCCUAAUGCAGAAGAUGGUAAGGAAGGAUUACCAGAAACACGACAAUAUGCUGAUAUUCUUAAGACAAAUAAUGCAGUAACAGUCAUUAACCCAACAAUGGAACCUAUUCUUGUGAAACAACUUAGCUACAAAGAUGGAAUCACAUAGGUGAUUUGGACGGAAGAGGAAGUGAAAAGAAUGAACACAUUGGAAAAUCUGCAAUAUGCAGUAGUUGGUAAGUUUUCCUAUGGAUGGCCAGAUAUUGAAGAAUUGCAACUACGAAUCCCAAUACAAUGCGAUGUAAAAGGGGAAUGCAAAAUUGGAUUACUACGACAUAAACACAUACUGAUGCGUUUUAGUAGACAAGAUGACUUUAUCAAUAUGAUGUCUAAAUCAAGUUACUACAUACUAUCAAAGGAUGGAUAUUCAUAUAUGAUGAGACCACUUAUUUAUGAUGCGAAAUUCAGUGUUGAGGAAGAAACUACAGAGGCUAUGGCAUGGAUUUCCUUUCUGGAUUUAAAGCCGACCUUCUUUGUUAAGGAAUCCAUAUUCUCAAUGGCAUCAGCGGUAGGUAAACCAUUACAUCUAGAUAUGAUCACGAUUAACAAGACACGAUCAAGUUGUGCUAGGUCAAGGUACAAGUUGAUUUAAUGGCAGAUCUCCCUAAAUUCAUCGAGCUGGAGGUAGUGAAUGAAGCUACUAAGACAUCGAGGGUGGAGAAAUACACAUAUAAUAUGAUUUGUUGCCAAAGUAUUGUAAGCAUUGCCAAUUACAGGGACAUGAUGAGAAUGUAUGUAGAGUAUUGCAUCCAGAACUCAGAAAGUCAGAAUUGCAGAGUGAGAACAAUGAAGUUAUCGCAAGUGACAUACAAAAGGGGCAGCCUAAAGUUCCGUUGAUUAGGAUAGGAAGAUACUUCAAGAAGUGGCUUCCCAUGAAUAAAACUACAACAAAACAAAGACAUGAUGAUACAAAAAAAAAGAAAAGGAAGUUGUUAGUACAUGCAAUUCUUUUGCAGCAUUAAAUUAUGGGGGCACAUGCAAGAAAAGGCUACAGUAUAGUAAAGUAAAUACAAGCAAUACAAUAGGCCUGGAAACAGAUAAUGGUGAAGAUGAUGAAGUUACAACUAAAGAAAAGGCAACACAAAUGGAAGAGAAAGAUCAACAACAUAGGUCCACUAAAAAUUGGGUCAAUAAGACAUUUGCUCAAAGUAAUCAUAUUACAGAAAAUCACUAGAAGAACAUAACAGAUAAAGGCAAUGACAUUUAGGAAGAUACAACGGAGGGGAAUACAAUACAACAUAUAAAAUCAACAAAACUGAAUGCAACUACUACUGGACUGGAAAUAAUCCUCAGGAAUGACAAUCUGCAUCUGCUAGCAGUUGAGCAAGAUGAAGGAAGGCUAAAGAAAAAAGAAUGAGACCUAAUGUUAGCACAACAGUCAGGACAUGCAAUAAGCUCAAACAGAUAUGUCAAUACAGAGUCACCUGAAUAUAUUCUUGAUGAACUAGCUACUUUGCAAGAGCCAUUACAAAUAGUUGGGAGUGAGAAAAUAUUGUCAAUUGAAAGUAAUUCCACAAGAGAUGUAACAGUUACAGAGGGAGUGGGAGAAGUGACAAGGAAGAGAGACUUGGAUAUUGCCCCUGCAAUCAGUCAGACCUGCAAAAAAUCAAGUCCUAUUAGUACUUUACACAAUCUAGUUUCCCAUCAGACUACAGAAGGAGAUUUCCAGGCAAUAUCAAAAAAUUAUGGGGUUGAAGAUAUAAAAGAUUCAGAAGAAAAAAAUAACACAUCCAAUGAAGAUCAAAUAAUGAAGACUGUUGGGAUAAAUGCUAAAUCAAGUUCUAAAGGAAUCAAAGGUAAAAUUAAUGUGGAAAGUAGACCUGUUAGGAUAAAUCCUAAGAGGGGUGUGAAAACAGUUUCUAAAUGAAGAUGAAGACUCUAUUUUGGAAUGUGAGAUCUGUAAGAACUCAAAAUUCAUUUCAAAGGAUUCAAAUGCUAAAUAGACAUCAUAAUUUCACUUUCAUUGCAUUAAUGGAACCUUUUCAAGAAGGAAAUCAAAUUCACUAGUAUAAAAGAAAGUUGGAUAUGCCCUAUGCAACUCACAAUCAGAAUGGGAAGAUAUGGGUAUUUGUUCAAGAUCAUAUUCAUGUUGGGGUGAUUUCAGACACAGAUCAACAAUUGACAUUGCAGCUUCAUUUUCAAGAUACUGGAGAUAUUAUUUUGGCUACAAUGGUUUAUGCAAAAUGUGAUGCAUUGGAAAGAAUCAACUUGUGGGAUGAUAUAUAUAACAUCGGUGUCAAUUACAAUAUGCCCUGGUUAGUGGGGGGGAGACUUUAAUGUCAUUAUGAGUGAUGAGGAAACAAUAGGGGGCCUUCCAGUAUACCCCCAUGAGUAUGGAAACUUUGCCUUCUGCAUGAAUUCCUGUGAACUACUGGACAUAAAUUUCAAGGGUAGCCCUUUUACAUGGUGGAAUGGCAGAAUUGAUGGGGAGUGUAUUUUUAAGAGAUUGGAUAGAAUUAUGGUCAAACAAUCUUUUAUCGAUUUCUCAGGUAACAUUGAAAUGGAGAACUUGGAAAGGAUUGACUCUGACCAUGCUCAUAUUCUUCUAACUUGUGGUGGUCAAAGUUCAUAUGUGAGGAAGCCAUUCAGAUUCCUGAAGUUUUGGGUGGAAAAAGAAGGUUUUCUAGAAACUGUUACGGAUAGUUGGAAAUCAAUGGAUUCUACAGAUAUGUUCAUUAACUUGAAACAAAAGAUGAAAAAUACCAAAACAGCUGGAACUGUUAUUGAUAGUUGGAAAUCAAUGGAUUCUACAGAUAUGUUCAUUAACUUGAAACAAAAGAUGAAAAAUACCAAAACAGCUCUAUCUAGGUGGAGUAGAGAGAAUUUUGGUGACAUUUUCAAGAAACUAGCUAUCAGAGAAGAGAUUGUGAAAUUGAAAGAAGCUCUAUUUGAAGAACAUCCUACAACUCCUAACAGGAUGAUUUUUCAGCAGUCUCAGGCAGAGCUACAAAAAUAUAUUCACUAUGAAGAAGAAUAUUGGAGACAGAAAGCAAGUUUUCAGUGGUAUAUUGAAGGAGAUAAAAAUACUAGAUUCUUUAACUGCCUAGUGAAUGGGAGGAGAAAGAGACUUUCGGUGAGUAGAAUGCUUCAGGAAGAUGGGCAAUGGACUGAAGGCAAUGAUCGGGUGGUUGAAGAGGCAAUCAAUUUUUUUAAGGGUCAAUUUGUUGUAGAAGAUAGUGCAGAGGAGCUGACUUUGCUAAUGCAUGUGCCAUAGUUAAUUUCUGAAGGGAAUAAUGAGCUUAUCAAAGUCUGUCCUACUAAGGAAGAGGUAAAGAAGGUAGUAUUUAAACUAAAUGGUAACAGUGCUAGUGGUCCUGAUAGAUUCAUUGGCCUUUUCUUUCAAACUUGUUGGGAGAUUGUUGGUAAUGAUGUUUUUGAUGUGGUGACUGCCUUUUUUUAAUGAUUUUACCUUACCAAAGUCCAUUACUGAUACAAACUUGGUGCUUAUUACAAAGAAGGAUUUUGUUCAAUCAUUUACUGAUAUGAGUCCAAUUAGUUUGAGUAAUUUCCUUCAUAAGGUGAUAUCUAGGAUUGUACAUGAUAAAUUGCAAAGUGUGCUUCCUUUCAUUAUCUCUAAAAAUCAAUCAGGCUUUCUAAGGGCAGAAAUAUAUAUGAAAAUGUCUUACUAGCUCAAAAGAUUGUUUCUGAUAUAAAAAUAAGGGGUAAGACUGCGAAUGUGGUGAUCAAGUUAGACAUGGCAAAGGCUUAUGACAGGGUAAAUUGGCAAUUCUUAAUUAAGGUGCUGGAAAAAAUGGGAUUUGAUUGUAAUGUGGUGGAUAUGGUUUGGAGGUUUAUUGCAAAUAAUUGGUAUUCUGUACUCAUCAAUGGCCAAGCUCAUGGCUUCUUUCAUUCAUCUAGGGGUGUCAAGUAGGGGGAUCCUCUUUCACCUGCUCUAUUUAUUUUAGCAGCUGAGGUGCUAGCUAGGGCCUUGAAUGAUUUGUUUAACAACAAAGAUUUUAAGGGUUAUGGAAUGCCUAAGUGGAUUAAUAACAUUAAUCAUUUAGCUUAUGCAGAUGAUACUAUCAUAUUUGUGUCAACUGAUAGGGUGUCUCUAAAGCUGGUCAUGAAUACAUUAGAAGAUUAUGAAGCUUAAUCUGGUCAACUAAUCAACAAAGGGAAAAGUGCAUGUUACAUGUUUAUAAAGGCAAAUAUUGCUCAUGUAGAUGUGGUAGAAGAGGUCACAGGUUUCAGUAGAGGAUCUUUUCCAAUCAAUUAUUUGGGUUGUCCUAUAGGUCAUGAAAAGAAGCAGAAGAUUCAUUUCAAAUAAUUAAUCAAAAGAGUGCAAAAGAAACUACGGGUGUGAAAGGGUAAAUUAUUAUCAUUUGGAGGUAAAUUGGCUUUGAUUCAAUCUGUCCUUAAUAGUAUCCCUAUUUAUCUCCUGCCUGUUAUGAAUCCUCAUAGGCAUGUACUCCAUGAUUUACAUAGAAUCUUUGCUAGAUUUCUAUGGAAUUUUAAAGAAAAUGGGAGAAAUAAACAUUGGGUUUCUUGGUCGGAUAUAUGUUUACCUACGGAGGAAGGUGGACUAGCUACUAGAUCUCUUUUUGAUGUCUCUAAAGCUUUAUUUGCUAAAUUAUGGUGGAACGUUAGGACCCAAAAAUCUAUGUGGUCUGAUUUUUUAUGGAACAAAUAUUGCAAAAAUUUGGGUCCUCAGAUUGUAGAAUGGAAAGGAUGAUCACAAGUUUGGAAGCUUAUGCUCGAAGCAAGAAGUAUGAUAGACCAACAAAUAUAGUAGGAAGCUAAGAUUGGUCACUCCAUUCUAUGGUGGGAUAACUGGACCCAGUUGGGGGCUUUACAUUAUUAUCUACCUUUGAAUCAUGAGGGUGAGCACCCUCUUGAGGAAUUGAAUCAAGUAUACAGUCAAGGAGAUUGGAACUGGGAGUUAAUGAAUAAUAUGUUCAAUGAAGAGGUGUGUUCUCAUAUUGCUAAUCAUGUUACAUUCACUCUACAUUCCGAAGAAUGGGACAAACCUUGGUGAAUGUUAAGUAGAUUAGGAAAAUUUUCUAUCAAAUCUGCCUGGAAUUAUGUGAGACAGAACAAAGAUCACAAUGAGCUUUUCAAAAAUAUUUGGGUAAAAGGGAUGCCAUAUAGGAUCUCUUUCUUCAUUUGGAGGUUGUGGAAGAAAAUGAUUCCUAUGUGAGACAAUGUACUGUGUGUUUGUUGUGGGAUAGGGUGUCUAGAAACUAUAGAACAUUUAUUCAUUUAUUGUGAAUCUUCUAAUAGAUUAUGGUCUGAGUUUACAGCUACUGCAGGGAUUGAUGAUCAUUUUCUUCAUCUAAAGGACAUUGUCUGGAAAUAGUGGAAGGCAGAUGUAUCACCUAAGCUUAAUAUCACGGACUUAGGCAUUUCUCUAAACCCUCGUGCAGCGCUUGACAACUUACUCACUACUCUUGCAAGAUCUUGUAAGCUCAAGCAAGCCUUUAAGACUAGGAUCUCUAAUAGAGUGCAAACAAAGACUUAGAAAGAUUUGAGAAGAUUGGAAGAAGGCUUUGUAUUACUUGGAAGAAAGCUUUACAACUGGUUGAUGCUUAGCAAAUGAAUGCCCCCUCUAUUUAUACUACAACCUAGGGACUAAAGUGUAAUUAAUAAUUACUUUACAAGUCCCUAAAGUAUUUACACUUUGGUCCCUCUCUAGAAUUCUCUACACAUUCUAGGAUAUUCCAAAGCCUUUUUGAAAUAUAUAAGGGCUUCUAGAGUUAUCCAUAAGCCUCUUCACAACUCUAGAUUCUUCCGCCCCUAUUUGGAUGCAAAAUUUGACUGGCAAAGUGGCGGGGCAUGACAUUCUCCCCCACCGGUUGAUGCGACGACCGCGGUGCACUGUUGCAAAAACUCUCGGAUUUGAUCUUUAAACUGCCACAAGUCUUCAUAUCUUUCACAUGUGACCUCCUCCAAAAUUUGUCCCUUCCAAUGUAUAAGGAACAUGGCGUUGGCUUGUUGACCUCGCUUCCGUUUGGCUUGAUAGUCUAUGAUAGCCUCAAUCUCUCAGUCGUGCGAGGCGGUGACAGUUAUGCGUGCCUGUCGUGAUUGGUUCCGGCUAGGAUCUUUCUUGUCCUCAUGGUAUGGCUUGAGGACACUUGCAUGAAAGACCGUAUGGAUUUUGAAGUGUGGAGGCAACUCCACCUUGUAUGAGAUCUUUCCCACCUUGGCAACGAUCUUGAACAGACCCUUAUAUUUCCGCACUAAGUUUUGAUGAACUCCCCUUAGUGCAUUGAACUGUCUUGGCUCGAAUUUCACCAAGAUCAAGUCGCCCUCUUUGUAGUCUGUGAGACGCCUUUUGCAGUCGGCAAACUUUUUCAUCUUCUUUGCUGCCUUGUCCAAGUAGGACUUGGCAAUGUCAAGUUGUUCCUCCCAUCGAUUGGCAAAAUGGUAGGCUCCCAAACUCUUUCCUUGGAAAGUAGCUGGCAAUGAAUGCGGAGUUUGGGGUUGUUGGCCCAUCGCCAAUUCAAAUGGUGUGCACCCGGUAGACUCACUCAUUUGCAAAUUGUAAGAAAACUGCGCCAUGUCUAGGAGUUUAGCCCAAUCCUUCUGGUACGCACUGACAUAGUGCCUCAGAUAGCACUUCAAUAGGGCAUUGACGCGUUCGGUUUGGCCGUUGGUCUGCAUGUGGAAACUUGUGAAGAAGUGAAGUUCCGUGCCAAGUAUCUCGAACAGCUCCCUCCAAAAGUUCCCGGUAAAGCGGGGGUCUCGAUCGCUAAUGACAUGUAUUGGAAGCCCCCAAUAUUUCACCACAUUCUUGAAGAACAAUCGAGCAGCCCGCUUUGUGGUGAAACCGGCUGUGGCGGGUACGAAGGUAGCAUACUUUGAGAAUUUAUCCACCAUGAACAUGAUGGUUCCGUACCCGUCGGACUUAGGCAAGAAAGUGAUGAAGUCCAUGGUCACGUUUUCCCAUGGGCGUUCCGCUACGGGUAGUGGUUAUAGUAGUCCUCCCAGUAGCCUUUGCUCCACCUUGUCUUGUUGGCACACAAGACAAGUCUGCACAUAGCACUCGAUGUCAUCCCGCAUGCACGGCCAAAAAUAGAUAGCCUCGUUCAACUCCCCCGUUCUUCGCUGCCCCGGAUGCCCAGCCCACGGUGUAUCGUGGCUCUCCCAGAUGAUUCACCGCCUGAUAGACCCAAACUUGGGUACAUAGACCCUCCGAUCGGAUGUGAGCAAAAGGUCGUCUUCCACCAAAAAAUGCGUUGUCUUUCCUUGGGCGUCCAACUCAAUCAGCUUCUUGACCUCGAGGUCAUGUUGCAGGCCAUCCUUGAUCGCAUCUCGAAUGUCACAAUGGGCCAUAGUGAUAGCAUAAAGUUCGGCCUUCCUACUUAGUGCAUCAGCCACUACAUUGCCUCUUCCUGGCUUGUACUCCAGGAUGUAGUCAAAUUCAGCUAGAAAAUCUUGCCACCUAGCUUGCUUUGGGGUGAUCUUCUUCUGUGACUAAAAGUAGCUAGUGGCCACGUUGUCCGGCUUGAACACGAACUUAAAUCCUAGUAGGUAAUGUCUCCAUGUGCGCAGACAAUGUACGAUGGUCGUCAUCUCUUUCUCCUGCACCUGUAGCGUCGUUUGGUCUUGUUCAACUUGCGGCUCUCAAAUGAUAUUGGGUGUCUAUCCUGUAUUAGGACUCCCCCAAUGGCGAAGGAUGAAGCAUCUGUAUGUACUUCAAAGGUUUCAAAAAAUUGGGCAGCGUCAAGACCGGCUCUUCUUUCACAGCGGUCUUGAGACCUUCGAAUGCUUGUUGGCACUCCUAGCUCCAAACCCACAACUUAUUUUUCUUCAACAAUUCGGUCAGCAGAGUAGCCACUUAUGAACCUGCGGUAAUAGUUCGCAAGUACAAGAAAUAAUCGUAUCUCGAUCACUUUGGUGGGAGCCUCCUACUCUUGGAUCGUCUGAAUUUUAGCCUCGUCCAUCUGUAGCUCGCAUUGACUGAUGAUAUCCCCCAAGAAGUGCACCUUGUGCUGGGUGAACUCACACUUCUCCCACUUAAUAUAGAGCUCGUUCUCCCAUAAGACUUGGAAGACCUUCCUUAGAUACUCCACGUGCUCCUCCAAGGUGUUACUAUAGAUGACUAUGUCAUCCAAGUACACCACCACGAACUGAUCCAAUUAGGAAUGAAAGAUCUUGUUCAUUAGCGUGCAAAAAGUAGCAGGUGCGUUGGUUAAGACGAAGGGCAUCACCAACCACUCGUAAGCUAUAUAUUUUGUCACGCACGCCGUCUUCGGCUCAUCCCCCUCCGCAAUACGUACUUGGCAGUAGCCUUUCCGGAGAUCCACCUUGGUGAAGUACUUUGCCUGUCCAAGCCUAUCAAAUAAAUCUUCAAUGAGCGAGAUAGGAUACUUGUUCUUAAUAGUUACCUUAUUGAGCGUCCGGUUGUUAAUUCAUAAGCGCAAUGAUCUGUCCUUCUCUUUUUAAAUAAGACCGGCGCGCCAUAAGGUGUUUUGGACGGACGAAUAUGACCGGCCUCGAGAAGCUCCUUCAAUUGCUUUCUUAGUUCCUCUAACUCGGGCGGAGCCAUGCGAUAAGGUGCAUGUGCGGGUGGCUUGGCUCCCACCUCCAACUCAAUCUUGUGAUCUACAUCGUGCCUAAGAGGUAGAGUUUUUGGAAGCUCGUCUGGCAUCACGUCCUUGUUUUCUUCAAUGACCUUUUCUACGAUCGGUGGCAAGGGCUCCUUAGCACCAUUGUCUUCUCCCGAAAUUACAAUUGUGGCUAUAAAUGUUGGCUCCCCUUUCUUUAGGCCCUUCACAAUCUGCAUGGCCGACAUGUGGGUGUGUCCUUCCUUCUUCGACACUUUGAAUAAAAGUACCAUGCAUGUACCGUCCCGCUCCAAGACCAUGAGUUGUUGGAGGUAGGGGUCGAUCAUAUGGCAUAUUUGGAAGAAUUCCUGCCCAAGAAUGAUGUCCAAGAUAUGUAAAGGAGCGACGGUAAAGUUUGUCUUACCUUGCCACUUUACCAUGAUGCUCACUCCUUGGGCGACUCCGCACACGGGAGUCGGUGGUGCAUUGACCAUCUUGAGGCGGGUGUUGCUUGGGCUGUAACUUAGCCCUAGCCUUGAUGCCGCCGUCUUGGUCAUAAUGUUAGCUUCAGCCCCGGAGUCUACCAUGGCACGAGCUAGUAGUCCAUUAAUGGAGAUGUCUACAUACUGCGUGUUGAAAUCUCCUGGAUUCUCUUCUUGCUUGGCUAUAACCCCGCAUAGUCCAACCAUGCCCAACUGCAUCGUGCCCGCGUCCUGCCCUUGCUCUUGUGCGUUUUUCUCCUUCUGUUUGCUUAGGAUGGCACCAAGGUUCUUCAGCUCUAGGCACCGGGCAUAGCCAUGCGGUCCUCCGCAUAUGUAGCAACCAUCUCCCUUGGUGGUUUGCGCCUUUUUCUCCGUGUAGUUCUGGCGCCCGAACCAUUUACCAUACGACUUGUAGGAGUCGUGCUACUUAGGGUGUGCCUGUUGUUCCUUGCCUCAGCCACAAUCUCACCCACCUUUAGCAUGACUAGUCCUCGCAUCCUUCGCCUUUGCCUUGUCAUGCCUGUCAUGCUUAAAGUCAAUCAAGGAUUCGGCUUGUGUGAUGGCCUCAUUAAUGGUCUUGACUUGUCGCCGCUCCAACUCUGUCUUGGCCCAAUUUUGUAGUCCGUCCAUGAAGUGGAACAACAUGUCUUUGUCUGUGAGGUUGGGAAUCUGAAGCGUUAGAGUUGUGAACUCAUUCACGUACGCCCGAAUGCUACCCAUUUGCUUCAAUUCCCUAAACUUGUGUUUGACCUCAUAUAUGACGUUGUUAGGGAAAAAAGCUUUCUUGAACUCUUCGCAGAAUUGCUCCCAAGUAUUGAUGGUGCACAUCCCCUUCCCUAGCUCGGCCUCCUUGCGUCUCCACCAUAGCAUGGCCAUCUCCGAAAGAUACAACACGACAGUGUUGAUCUUGUUCUCGUCGCUCUUCACCCGACUACACUUGAAGUAAUUCUCCAAGUGCCACAAGAAGUUCUCCACCGCUUGAGCGUCACAAACGCCUUUGAAUAUAGGUGGCUUGGGUGCCUCGACCCUGGCCUCCCUAUCACGGUUGAAUGACAUAGAUCAUCCAGCUUCCACGCCUUCCUUGAGUGCUUUCAUCUCGGCCUUCAUGAUCGUGCUUAACGCCUCCAUGAGCCGACACUCCAAGGAAGUGGUGGCCUCCUUCAUCUCGAACUCAUCCCGCUGGUAUCCCUCCAACUCCUUGAGAAGUUUGUCAGUCUCCUCAAGGGUGAAGUCAUCGAGGGUCUUGAACUUGCCAACAACCACAUUCAAACGCCGGCCUAAUAUCUCAAUGACAUGUCUUGCCAUUUCAACCCUUGUGACCCAUUCCUCUCUGGCGGUGAAGUCAAUGGCCUCCUCGCCAAGUUCAUCGUCACUUGCUUCGGUGGUCGAAGAUGGGUGAAAUGUUAGUGCCUCGCUUAGUGUGGGGUCGAGCAACAUAUCCUCACUACCCUUUUGGUGCUUCUUUCCCUUGCGGUUCUUUUUUCCUCUUUCCGAACAGACGUUGGUGGUGCUAGCGGUGUUUACGUCUCCUUCGUUAGUCAUUCCCUUAGUACAAACCUUUGCUCUGAUACCACGUUAUCACGGACUUAGAGUUUUCGCUAAUGCCCCGUGCGGCGCUUGAAAACUUACUCACUACUCUUGCAAGAUCUUGUAAGCUCAAGCAAGCCUUCAAGACUAAGAUCGCUAAGAGAAUGCAAAGAAAGACUUAGAAAGAUUUGAGAGGUUUGGAAGAAGGCCUUGUAUUACUUGGAAGAAAGCUUUACAACUUGGUUGAUGCCUAGCAAAUGAAUGUCCUCUCUAUUUAUACUACAACCUAGGGGCUAAAGUGUAAUUAGUAAUUACUUUACAAGUCCCUAAAGUAUUUACACUUUGGUCCCUCUCUAUAAUUCUCUACACAUUCUAGGAUAUUCCAAAGCCUUCUUGAAAUAUCUAAGGGCUUCUAGAGUUAUCCAUAAGCCUCUCCACAACUCUAGAUUCUUCCAUCCCUAUCCAGAUGCAAAAUUUGACUGGCAAAGUGGUAGGACAUGACAUUAAGCUCAUUUAUAAGGCAGUCCCUUUGUUCAUCUUAUGGCAAAUUUGGAAAAGAAGGAACAAGAUCAAGCAUGGUGGGAAGAUGUCUCCAAAUUCUAUGAUAUGGUGGUGGAAAGAUUAAUACAUCUUAUGGCAAAGAAUCUAUAUCUAUGGAUGAGGGAUAUUCCAGGCUUCUUGCCUAGGUUGGUUAAAUUUAUGGAAGACUACACUCCAGUUAUAGGAUGUAAAGUGGUGAAAUGGAUUAAGCAUAUGGUUGGUUAUAAAUGCAAUUUAGAUGGUGCCUCGAAAGGCAAUCCGGGCCCUAGCUCCAGAGCAUAUUGUAUAAGAGAUGUGGAAGGUAAUUUUGUGUAUGCUGAAGUCAAGAGGAUAGAGGAUAAUAAUAACCUCAAGGCAGAGAUCAAGGCUAUCACUAUGGGACUGGAAUAUUGUAGGACCAAAGAGAUAUUCCCUGUUAUUCUGGAAACAGGCUCCCUGGCAGUUAAAAAAAUGAUUUAUGGGGAAUGGGAUGUCCCAUGGAGUGUUACAAUGGAAAUUAGGAAAAUUAAGCACUUGAUGAAGGAGAGAGAGGUGGUGAUUGAGCAUGUGUUCAGAGAAGGCAACAAGGUUGCUGAUUUUUUAGCUAACUAUGUUUUCUCUUUUGCAGGAAUAGAUAGCAUUAUUUUUUCAUCUUUUUAGGAGUUACCAAAUGAUGCAAAGGUAUUGCUUAAUAUGGAUAAAGCAAGAAUUGCAAACCUAAGAAUCAGAAAAAUGCAAAAUACAAACUACAGAUACAAUGAAAUCAAUCACAAUGCACAGUGAAAGAAAGGAACAAAAUAGCAAUAGAUCAUCAAAAUCGCAAGCGUUGAAAAACAUAGGAUCAAAUGCAACGAAUACAGAGCAGCACAACAGAUAACUGGAGUAAUAAAGGAACGAUUGUGAGAAACAUUAACAAGAAAUACUUGGACUAUGAUGAGAAUAUAAAGUAUAAUUAGUUAGUUGUGAACAGUAGAGUCGGUCAUGUACAGUAGAGUUAGUUAGAAUCAAGUUUGUUAGUUAGUUAAUUUCUGCCAUACCUAGAUGAUCAGUGAUUGUAUAUAUAUAGUCACAUUGUAAUUCUUAAAGCUUUAAUUCACAUUCAAUACAAACACAAGUUUUCUCCCUUAAUUCAGUUACUCUCCAGUCGACUCCAUUGACAGAGGAAUGAAGCUAAUCAAUGGUGUUAGUUUUGUCAUGGUAUCAAAGUUCGGUUGAUUGAUCGUAGUUCUUCUUCGUUUCAUAAGCUUCAUCCCUCUACAUUUGCAGAAACUCAUCUGUGUUGUUUUUCGAUUAGCUGUUUGGGGGUUUGUGUUGUGAAUUCUCUGUUUUCUGCCAAUUUUGAUUUCUUGAUUGAGGAAUUGUGUGGUGAUUUCUCUGUUUCUAUCAAUUUUUGAUUUUGUGUUUGGGAUUAGUUGUUCUGGUUGUUUUUGUGUUGAGUUUCCUUACAAAUACUCGAACACCAUGGUUGAUCUUCAAACUGAUUUCGCUUCUAGUUCGACUACAGUUCGAUUGGACUUUGCUAGUCCCUUUUACCUGCAUCCCUCAGAGAGUGUAGGAUCCUCUCUUUUACCUUGAGUUUUCGAUGGUACUGGUUAUAGAUCUUGGCGAAGGGCUGUUCUCAGAGCUCUCUCAGUCAAGAGCAAAACAGGGUUUAUAAACGGAGCUAUUGUGCGACCUGCUCCUACUGAUCCUAGUUUCAUGCAGUGGGAGAGAUGUGACGACAUGGUCACAUCUUGGAUCUUAAAUUCCUUGUCCCCUGAAUUGCGUGAUAGUUUGCAGUACGUGAACAAUGCCAAGGAACUCUGGGCAGAGUUGGAAGAAAGGUACGAUCAAACCAAUGGGUGUAAAUUGUAUCAACUGCAAAAGGAAAUUAAUGAUCUGGUCCAAGGCACUUUAGACAUCACUGGAUAUUACACAAGAAUGAAGAAGCUGUGGGAGGAAAUGAGUAUCAUUGAUGUCAAUUCGCAGUGUACUUGUGUGUGCAUUUGUGGGGGUAAAAGCAAAUUACACAAGGCUGAACAAGACAGAAGAUUGAUACAUUUUCUAAUGGGAUUGAAUGAGAUAUAUACGACUGUCAGAGGCAGCAUUCUCAUGAUGAACACACUUCCAAGCAUGGCUCAAGCUUUUGCCAUAUUAUCCCAAGAGGAAAAACAAAGGGAGGUGAAGCCUCAUAAUCAUACAGCCUUGGAUUCUACCUCUCUCAAUGCCUAUGGACAGACCAACAACAGUGCAGGAUACAAGGGAUUUAGGACAAACUACAGUUCAUCUAGAGGAGGUGGAACCAGUUUUGGGAAUACAAACAAUAAUACUGGGUUUAGAGGCAAUUCUAGCACUAGCAAGUCUUCUUUGUUUUGUGACUACUGUAAGAAAUCAGGACACACAAAGGAUAGAUGUUACAAGCUUCAUGGAUACCCAUCCAAUCCAAAUCCAAGGUUCCAAAAGGGAAAAGGCACAGGUUCUGCAGCAAAUGUGUGUGCCCCUGAUAUGAAUGGAGCUCAAUCUGAAGAAGAACCUGAAGUAAGGAGACAAAUGCCAUUGAACUUGUCCAAAGAUCAAUAUGAACAACUACUCAAUCUCCUGGGAACUUUACAAGUUGGAAAUGGAGCCUCAAAUUCAGACAACUCAAACAACAUGCUGAAUGGAGUUGUGAACUUGGCAGGUAUACUUGCCUGCUAUUCUUCUAUUACUGAUAUAGGUGAUCUUUCUUGUAAAUGUGUUAAACUGACUGCUGGCUCUUGGAUCAUAGAUUCAGGAGCAUCACACCAUAUGACCUAUGAUAAGACCACCCUCACAAACAUCAUUUCACUUCCAUAUCCCUUUUUAAUUUCACUCCUUAAUGGUUACAAGGUUAAAGUGACUGAAAUUGGCGAUGCUUGUUUAAAUCCAGCUUUGACUCUAAGCAAAGUGUUGUUUGUACCUAGCUUCAAGUUUAAUCUCAUUUAUGUUCAUUGUUUAGCACUACAAUUCAAUGGUGUAGUCAGUUUUGACAAAUUUUCUUGUUUGUUGCAGGGCCCUUCUCUGAAGAGCCCUCUGGAACUUGGUAAAGCCAAGAAUGGCCUGUACUUCUUAUGUCACAAAUGCCACAAUUGUUGUCCAUCUACUGAGAGUAAAUCACCUCAUGUUAAUUGUCAUCUUGUCUCUUCUUUAGGCAAUACUAGCAGGGUUUCAGAUUCUAAUGUGUCCACUGGUUCUUCUGUAAAAUACUCUCUUAUGAAUAAGGCAGAUUGUACUGUUUUUCCUUCCUCUUCUUUUACUCAUGCUUGUCCUUCAUUUUGCAAAUGUCUCUAAUCACACUCAUGAUGAUGAACUUUUGUGGCAUGCUAGAUUAGGACAUGUACCUUUUCUAAAAAUGAAAAAUAUCUCAACUAUACCUGUUAUUUUUUCUCCCAAACAGCCUUUUACUUGUAACAUAUGCCCUAUGGCUAGGCAAACCAGGAUGCCUUUUCCAGAAAGUAUCACCACCACCACUAAAGUGUUUAAGUUGUUACAUGUUGACCUAUGGGGACCAUCUCAUGUUCCCACUCAUGAUGGAUAUCAUUAUUUCCUCAAUAUGGUCGAUGACCACAGUAGUUCCACUUGGACACAAUUGCUGAGAUGUAAGAGUAUUGUUCUCCAAACUAUCAAAGCCUUCAUAUCUCUCAUAGAAAACCAAUUCCAAACCAAGUUAAAAGCCAUAAGAUCUGACAAUGGGUUAGAGUUUACUUCAGCUGAAGCCACAAAUUUCUUCCAAACCAAAGGUAUCAUACACCAAAGAACUUGUCCUUAUACACCUCAACAAAAUGGGGUGGUAGAAAAGAAACAUAAAUACCUACUUGAAAUGGCAAGGGCACUUUUGUUUCAGUCAAAGUUGCUUAUGAGGUACUGGGGGGAAUGUGUAUUGACUGCCACAUACCUGAUUAAUAGACUGCCCACUCAACUUCUACAGAAUAAGUCUCCAUAUGAAAUGUUGUACCAUAAAUCACCUACAUAUUCCCACCUUAAGAGUUUUGGUUGUCUUUGUUUUCCCACUAACUUGAAAACUCACAAGGAUAAAUUUGAACCUAGAACCACACCUCAUGUUUUUGUUGGUUACCCUUUCAAUACAAAAGGUUACAAAGUUUUGAAUUUAGCUACCAAGAAAGUUCAUAUAUCAAGAGAUGUUAUUUUUCAAGAAAAGAUUUUUCCCUUUGUUAUUGCCCCUGAUGGUUCUAGUUUCAAUUCCAUUUUGCAACUGCUUACUCAUACCACUAGCAUGACUUGUAUGCCUGGUCAAAUAAAUACUUUUGCUAAUGAUGAUCUACUGGAAAAUUUCACACCACAUGAAGUCAUUAAUAAUCAAGUAACCAUUAAUACCAACAUGAAUGAAGUACCAUCUGUUGUCCUACAUGAACCUACAACUCAACCUACCUUACCUGAUCCAAAUGUCACCAUGCACCAUGAUACUUUACCAGUACCCACAAUAUCAGCACCUAGAAGAGCAACCAGAACCAUACACACUCCUAAUUACCUAAAAGAAUACACCUACACCAUACCUAAGCUGCACUCUCUUACUUCCUUUAUACCUCCCCAUAAACAUGUAUGUUUCACCCGUCUUUGUUCUGAUAGUCAGCAGUUAGUAACAACCAUUUCACAUGAAUGUGAGCCUAUUUCAUUUGAGGAAGCAAUAUUGCAUCCUGCCUGGCAGCAGGCCAUGACACAGGAGUUUGAAGCUUUGUAUGCUAAUGACACUUGGGAGAUGGUCAUGUUACCUGAUGGGAAGAAAGCUAUUGGAUGCAAGUGGGUGUACAAAAUCAAGCACAAAGUUGAUGGAAGUGUGGAGAGGUUUAAGGCUAGGUUGGUGGUCAAAGGUUAUACACAACAAGUUGGGGUAGAUUACACUGAAACCUUCUCACCUAUAGUUAAAAUGACUACAGUUAGAACAUUAAUCUCUUUAGCUGUUAAGAAAGAUUGGAGCUUGUAUCAACUAGAUGUCAAUAAUGCAUUCUUACAUGGUGAUUUACACGAGGAAGUGUACAUGGCACCUCCACAAGGUCUUGUAGUAGGUUGUGAUAACAUGGUGUGCAAAUUGAAGAAGUCUUUGUAUGGACUAAAACAGGCCAGCAGGCAAUGGUAUGAGAAGUUGGCAAACUGUCUAUGUUCAAGAGGGUAUCAGCACUCAGACAGUGACUAUUCAUUGUUCUACAAAAGGAAGGGCUGCUCCUUGGUGUUUGUUGCCAUAUAUGUGGAUGAUAUAAUUCUAACUGGACCAGAUGUGGCUGAAAUCAACUCCUUAAAGAGCUUCUUAAAUGAUCAGUUCAAGAUAAAGGAUUUGGGCAAACUACACUACUUUCUGGGACUGAAAAUAUUAUACAGACAUGAUGGGGUGCUAGUUUCACAAAGGAAAUUCACUUCUGAUCUCCUGAAAGAUUUUGAUGUGUUAAGUUACAAGGCCACUACAUCACCACUUGAUUGCACUGAGAAGUUAACAGCUACAGACGGCAAACUUUUAUCUGAUCCUACUCAAUAUAGGAAGUUGGUUGGCAAGUUAAAUUUUUUAACCAACACUAGAAUGGACAUAGCUUAUAGUGUACAACACUUGAGCCAAUUUAUGCAAUCACCUAGGGAACCUCAUUUGAAAGCAGCAUACCAUGUGCUCAGAUAUUUGAAACAGGAUCCAACAUUGGGGAUUUUUAUCUCAAACAAGCCUGAUCUCACUAUCAGUGCUUAUUGUGACUCUGAUUGGGCUGCUUGCCCUGACUCCAGGAAGUCUGUUAGUGGAUACCUAGUGCUUCUGGGUGAUAGUCCUAUCAGCUGGAAGUCUAAGAAGCAAGCAACAGUAUCUUUGUCGUCUGCUGAAGCUGAAUAUAGGGCUGUGAGACAAGUUGUAGGAGAACUAGUGUGGCUUGAAAGAUUGUUGAAUGAGUUGACUGUACAAUGCUCCUUACCUAUCCCUGUCCAUUGUGACAGUCAAGCAGCAGUCCACAUUGCAAAGAAUCCAGUUUUUCAUGAGAGGACAAAGCACAUAGAAAUCGAUUGUCAUUUUGUUAGGACCAAGCUUCAACAAGGCCUAAUCACACUCCAUCAUAUUCCCACUGAUUCACAAUUGGCAGACAUCUUCACCAAGGCUCUGAUUAGAGUUAAACAUAUUGCCCUAUUGCACAAGUUGUCAGUAAUUACAUCACCUCCAACUUGAGGGGGGUGAUGAGAAUAUAAAGUAUAAUUAGUUAGUUGUGAACAGUAGAGUCGGUUAUGUACAGUAGAGUUAGUUAGAAUCAAGUUUGUUAGUUAGUUAAUUUCUGCCAUACCUAGAUGAUCAGUGAUUGUAUAUAUAUAUAUAGUCACAUUGUAAUUCUUAAAGCUUUAAUUCACAUUCAAUACAAACACAAGUUUUCUCCCUUAAUUCAGUUACUCUCCAGUCGACUCCAUUGACAGAGGAAUGAAGCUAAUCAAUGGUGUUAGUUUUGUCAGACUAUGCAGUGGUAUUAGCUAGAUUUAUGUCUCAAUCUGCAGGAAAGGGCUAAUCUAAGAAAUGAAGCUCAAAGAUCGGAUGUAAAGCUUGAUAACAAGAAGACAUGGUGUAAAUCGAAUCUUACAUGAGUUGUUCGUGUUGGGGUGAAGUGUAUUCAAUGGGCUAGGUUUCCAUGGCAUUCGUGAGAAUUUGGAGUGUCUCAUGUGGAAACAACCCGACCUCAACUUGUUGCAGCCAUCGACGAAUCGAAUGCACCCACCGGUAGACCAGUUUUCAGCACUCACCAUUGCAGAGAAUAGCUGAGUCCUGCAUUCUGGAAUUGGGGAUUUAGGAAUCUUUAUUUCUUUUGUUCUUUUUGUCAUUUAGUUUGUUGUCUUAACAGAUAGAUUUAUUAGCUGGGCUGGGUCAUUUUGAGGCGUGGUCCCUUUUUCUCAUUUUAGUAAAGGGCCCUGGCAGCCCAAUUUCGUAUAAAAAAAUUAGGUUCUUCUUAAAAUUUUAAAGUUUUUCUCAAUUUUUUUUUUAUAAUAGACGAUAAACUAUUAUCAUACCACUAAAAUAAAUUCAAAUACAAGUAAGAAAUACACAUAGACUCAAUCAUCUUUUGAAAAGAGUGUUAAGUUAGUGAGCCUCACGAGCAAAGCCUAAUUAUAUAAAGACUGAAUCAAAUAUUCACUCUUCCUACCGUACGUAUUUCAUGCAUUUAAACAUAUGUAAUCUCUCCCUAAUGUAUCAUAAACUCUCUAUUUACACUUUGUGGUCGAAAGAUGUUUUGGUUCCUAUUAUGAAUUCAAAUGUUAUAAAUAGUAGCUCCAUAUAUAUAUAGUUGUUAUUGUCUCCUUCUUAAAUCUGCUCCAAUGUUUCAUUUUGAUCUUCAAUAGCUCCACAAACAUGUAUUUGUUAUGUAGAUGUAGUCUAGUCCAAGUCUUAGUUCACUGCCUCUCAUAAUUUUUAUUCUUUGUAAGACAGUAAUGUUCUCGAUCCCCUAUAUAUAUGUCUGUGUUCUAAUCUUCAACCUAUAUAGUUGUCUCCAGUACCAGUUACUUGUUGGACUUGGGGCAUGUGACCAAAAAGUCUCAUUGUUGUUCAUCUACAACUCAUUCACCCACUUUAUCUAGAUCAGUACGUCCUUCUUCUCCAUUAAUUAAUUUUCAUAUCAGCUUUGCCACCACAUCUUACGAUCCUUAAUAUUUACAUCUCUUUGCUUCUUAAGUAGACAUAGUGCAUGUCUCAUGCCACAAGAGAGACUUUCUUUUUUCCUCAGUGCCACCGCAAAGGAACUCCCUGCUACACUUUCUGUUGACAUCAUUCAAAACACCAUGGGGGGGAGAAUAAAGACAACACCCCAAAAAUUAUGCAAAAAAAAUAACAGUUAAUAAUCAACAACCUACCAGCAUAUGAUAAAUAUCGUGUGGAAUUUUCUGUAACGCCUCGGCUUUCGAAAAGAACUAAAGAGAGGUUCGUCUAAGUCACCAUCAAUUUGUAGUUUUGGGUCAACUUUAAACGAUCAUAUCUUUUAGCACAUAAAUAUUUAAGUGGCUCAUGACCUACCAAAUUGAAGGUAUGAUUCAUCUUUCCAACGUCGCCAAGUUUGCUUAAUUUCAAGCUCGGAAUAAAAAGUUAUGCACAUUUGAGUGAAGCCUCUCUAUUUAAGGCAUCUCAUUCGUUUUAGAAAAGGAUAUUUUUGGUAUUUUCCUUUUACCACUAGGCCUAACACGUUUUUCAUCACCCAAUUAAGGGUCUAAUCAGACACUAAGUUACUUUUUCACAUUCCUAAGCACUUAGAGAAAAUAAGAGAUUAGAGUUCAAGAGGAGAAAGAGCUAGGUUUUGAGCAUUCAUCAAGAUCCCGUCAAUUUUCGCCAAGAACAUUGUUCUUUCCAGGUAUGUAAGGCUUCUCACAGUGUUGAACUUGUUCGUCCUCACACCAUACAUAUGAAUUCAAAGAGUUCUUGAGUAGUUCUUGAUUUUUGUUCAAUUCUUGAACAAUGGAGGUUGUGAAUGCUUUUGUGUUUUUAAUAUUUAGUAAAAGUUGUGUUUACCAAACAGAUUGUGUUUAAUUCCUCAUGUAUUCGUGUUGGGUUUGAUAAUCGAGAAGAGUUUAGGAGAAUUUCCCUCAUUCUAAACGAGUUAGGUCCCUAAAUUGAGUAUAAAAUUUUGUCAGCUUUCUAGGUAUGGGGGGUGGGGUGGCGCACCACCUAGGGCGCCAGAAAUUUUGGUCUGUAGUUUGAGGCCUGGUGCCCCACACCAGCAGUGUGCCCCAAACAUUGCUCAGUAGUUUGGGCCUGGUGCCUCACGCCAGCAAUGCGACGUCGCCUUGUCUUUUUCUUUCCAUGCUUCAUUCCGGACGUGUUCCUUUGAGUCGUGAUUACAUUCUCUUCUUUGUAUUAGCUUCCAUAAACUCCAUUCACCUUUGAGGACUCAUAGAUGUUCAAAUCACAUGUCUUAAUUUACAUUCCGAAUUAAAGUGAGUUUAAGAGAAAAGUUCAAGAGGUCUUUUUGAGUCAUUUUGAGGAUUCUUUUGUAAUCAACUAUGAUUUUGAACUAAGUUUUGAGAAAAUAAAUAUGAGAAAUGAGAGUUGUUUCCAUGUUUGAGAAAUGAUAUAAGGGAACCAAGUAUUCCCAAAAGUAAUAUGUUUACAUUUAAAAGAGAGAAACUUUGAUUUCUAAAUAAAUUUACAAGUUCAGAGAUAUUUCAGAGCAUUACUCCUUUUAAGAGGAUCUAUUGAGUAAUUACCUCAAAUUGAUAAAGAAUUAUGUUGUAUACAUUUAAGCAUGAGUUAUAUAUUAUUGGAAGUAGUAUUGAGCACUGAUAUGGGAAUGAGUUCAAACAACUCAAAUUCCUCAUAAACCAUGUAGCCAACAUGGGUAAAGGGUCGUACUUUUUAAACGAUUCUUUAUUGCUUUUAAGCAUAGCUUAGUGGAUCCACUUAAUUGAGGCGUUCUCUAUCCCGACAAGGUAUAGUAUAAUUUUGGCAGUGUGGGCGAGACAUUGUAUCAUCACAUAGCUCAUAGUGAUGGUUGUCGAUUAGAGAAUCUCUCAAAUAAGAGUAAAUAGUAUCUUAUUGUAUUUUAUACACCAUUAAGCUCAUAUCUUCUGCUUUAUAAUGUUUAAACAUUGCAUUGUCUUCCAAUCUUAUCAUUUCAGUUGUUUAUGCUUUAUGUUUCCCCCUUACAUGCUCGUACAUUAAAUGUACUGACGUUAUUCGACCUGCAUCUUUGUAUGAUGCAGAUACAUGUGCUCAGGGUCAUCAACAAGCGCUUUGUUGAUACCAUUUGCAUUCCAGCUAGCUUUGGUGAGCCUCCUCACUUUUCGGAGGGCUUCACACUUAUUUCCUGCUUUUGUUAGUUUGUCGUGGGUUCUGUCCCGACAUCUAUCUUAGUAUUAGAGGCUUCAUAGAUAGUUAGAUGUUGAGUCUCUUGUUAUUUCCCCUUCUUGUUGAGAUAUUUUGAGAUCUUGAGACAAUUGAUUUUAUAACUUCAUAAGCAUUUCCAGAUGUUCAUUUGGGUUGAGUUUGAUUUAGACUUUAAGUUUAAUUAUGCAAUUGAAGUUCCUAUUUCUAUUUGAGUAAGUCUUCCGCUAAGUAGUCAGCCAGGCCAAGAGUUCACUUGGGGACCAACGAUGGUUCUCGAGUGCCGGUCACGUCCAGAAUAUAAGCUCGGGAGUGACAUUUUCUCAAAUUUGUUAAACAAAGUCACUUUUUUUCGUUGCAUUAUUGACGAAAAAUAACAAAUAAAAAGCAAUUGGCAAAUUGUUUGUUGUGCUCGACAUUGCUAACACUAUUUGCUAUCACUAUUGACACGUAUUUACUGAUUGAGUCCACUUGUGUAAAAUAUUCAUGAUUUGAGCUCCAAACAAAAUAACAAAUGAUUUUGUUAACUAACAACUAAUCUAGACGCCUCUUAACAUUGAUUAAUACUCUCUCCAUUCACUUUUAUUCGUCAUACUUCAUUUUACAAAAGUUAAUUUAAUAUAUUUUAGGAAUUAAAUUGAGUUAGAUUAAUUCAAUUAUUAAAAUUUAAAAUUUAGAUAUUCGGAAACAAUACGAGAAAUACUAUAAGUUGCAAUCCUUUUCAUACUAAUAAGAUGCAUCUUAAGAUGUUGGUCAAAAUCCAUGCAGUUUACCUCUUGAAAAGUAAAACGUGACACGGAAGAAAUAUGACUUUUUAUAUAAUUAAAUAUCUAGUGUGGAUUAAUUUUUCUUAGCACCAAAUGACAUUUAUGAUUAUGGUAGAUAUAUAAUCAGAUCCUUCUGUAAUGAGCAUGUGCUCAUGUUUUAGCCUAUUGAAUGACAUUGUACUAUUUCUUAUAAUUAUUUAGCUCUUAGUACCGUUAGUGAUCUGUAAAUUAACAUGAAAGCUAAUAAUUCCGAACUUGUGAUCUUUCUUAUCAAUUAAUUGCAUUGUCCAACCGUGAUUAAUACAGAGUUCAAUCUCUGCUUCGUUACUAGUAUUAUAUUUGCUAAUUCAAAAAUUCAGAAUAUCACUAAAUUAUAUUACUAGUACUCCUAUUAGUUUAAUCUAUAUAUAUAUAGUUGUGGAAAAAGUUUAAACCAUAUUUAUUUCCUUCAUUGAUUUUUACAUAUUCACUAUAAACCUUACUCGUACCUUUAGAAAUAAUAAUAGGUAUUGAAAAUGAGUUGGCCGGUAAUAAGUUCUUAAUGUUAAAGGUAAAUGAUGGAAAAAAAUUCUUGAUAUAUUAAAACUCAUAAAGUAAAACUGAAAAUUAAUUUUUGAAAUAGUAGACAGCUAAAAGUGAAUUGAGAGAUUAUAUUCCAUAACGAUUUACUCCCUCCUUUCACUUUUUUUUUGUCUACGUUGAACUUUGUACAUCUCUUAAGAAAUAAUGAUCGAUAUGGAUAUUUUACCAUAAUACCCAGAUUAAUCGAUGUUUAAUAUUAAGUCUUGAAAAGUAAUUUGGGGAAUAAGUAAUUAAUACUAAGGGUAAAACAUAAUUUUUUUUUAAAAAAAAAUUGUAUGUUAAAAGUGAAUUUAUAUUUGGAAUAGUGGACAAGUAAAAGUAAACGGAGGGAGUAUAUAUUUCCUCUAUUUUAAUUUGUUUGUUUGUUUUGACUUAACACAAAAAUUAAGAAAAUAAAUAAGACUUUUAAAUUUGUGAUUUUAAAUUUAAAAUAUGAAGAAUGUACCAAAAAUAUCAUUUAACUUAGGCAUAUCAUGUAAAAGAUUAAAAUUAAUUAAAGAAUUGUUUUAAUAAAAAAAGCAUCAUUUUUUAAAUAGAUUAAAAAAAUAAAACAAACAAUUGAAAUAAAGAAGUAGUUCUUAAAGUUAAUAAUAGUGUUAUAGUGAAUAAUGUAUAAAUAGCAUAUGCUAUGUGGUGCUAGUCAUCAGAAUCUUCUUGAUGUUAGGCGGGGAUCCGGCUCCCCUCAUUAAGCCUUUCCUCCAUUUUGUGAAGUGUACAUAUGAGAGACAUGUAUUUUAUUAAAAUUAAAGAUCAUAUUAUAUUGACAAGUAUCAUAAUCAUAGUUAAGUUAAUUAAUUUUGAAAAUUUACUUUCCAAAUUUGAUAAGAACAAAAUAUUCAUAUAUUUUGAUAUUCAUUAAUAUUAUUAAUUUCAUCUUAUAUUUUUUAUAUUCAAAUAUUAAAGUGUAUUUGACAAAAAAUUAUUAGAUUCAAACGUUUCAUGUUCUACCAUUUUAAUACUCAAAUAUUUUGAUUUAAAUUUAAAUUUAUAAGAUGAUUGAAAUUCUAGAGACACAUAUUAACUAAAUUAAUGUUCUAUUACCCCCCUCCCCCUGGUAACGGCCCAGCCUGCUAGUGAUAUUAUCUGCUUUGGGCCUAGCUCGCACCGCUUUAAAACGCAUCACUAGUUGGUAAUGUUUGUUACUUAUAUACCCAUUACUUGUGUUUAUCUUUAUAAGUAAAAAAGUAAAAAUGUUAUACAAAAUGUCAUAUUACUUGUGUCUCAUAAAAAAAAGGGAAAAGGCUCAAAUAUGCCAUCGAACUUUUAGAAAAGGCUCAUUUAUGUCAUCCGUUAAAAGUUGGGUUCAUCUAUGUCAUUAACGUUUAAGAAAAGGCUCAUUCAUGCCACUAUUUUUUAACAGUGGUUUUGCAAAACCAUUUUUGACACGUGGCAAAUUAUAAUUCGAUCACGUCAUUAUUAUUUUUUAUAAAAAAAAAUCAAAAUUCUGAACAAAAAUUGAAUUAAAAUAACUCAUCCAAGUAAAGACAUUAUCACUAUGUAAAAAUGGUUUUGCAAAACCACUAUUAAAAAAUAAUGGCAUGAACGAAUCUUUUCUUAAACGGUAAUGACAUAGAUGAGUCAAACUUUUAACGAAUAACAUAAAUGAGUCUUUUCUAAAAGUUCGAUGACAUAUUUGAACCUUUUCCCUAAAAAAAAAUACUAUGAUACCAAAAAGUUGUUCUAAGUGAUAAUAUUGGGUUUUGGGCUUGUAAGCUUUUGUGACUUGCCUCAAAUUGCAGGAAAUGGGAUACAACUCAUUCUUGAUGCUCACAUAAUUAAUCACAUUAUUAAUGUAGCUUUGUGGGAAAAUACAUUAAAAAAAAUGAAAAUUUACUUUAGUACUUGAACUACACAUGUGUUUAUAUACCCCUUAACAUCUUUUAAGUGAUUUUUUUCAACCCUCCCAUCACCAGCCCAGUUGAAGGCUGAGUGUUGUUGAGUCACACACGUUUUCAUUCGUCCACGUGUACAUUAACAAAAUUCCUAAUUAAUUGCUUAAAUCUCCAUAAUAUUUUUUAAAAAAAAAUAUUGAGCCAAAAAUUAAACACAUCAAUGAAUUUACUCCUCAAUAUACAAACUAUAAUUCAAAUUUCAAUUGCAUUUUUAGUUUAGUUAUACGAUGCCACCUUCCUCAAAAAUUUAAAAAAUUAUUUGCAAUAAAAAUGAAAAAUUAUUAAUGAAUUGGGCGAAAUCUCCAUAAUUAAUCUUUUGCCAACAAUAUCUUUGAUUUUUUUUUAAUGGAAGUCAACUUCAUUCUGAUAACGCUUUAAACUGGUAGAUCUAAUAAUCUUCUUUGAUGUCAAAAAUGGUGGGUGAAUCAAACACCAAAAAUUUAUAAAAAAGAAAGAAACGAUUAAAAAUAGAAAAGAAAAGAAGAAGAAGAAAUGUGGAAGAAGUUAUAAUUGGAAGUAAAUGUUUACUUGAACUAAAUGAAAGAAUAAAAAAGAGAAAGAGUUAUGAGAAGAGAAAAAAAAAUGAAGAAGAAAGAUGCAGAAAAAGAACAAGAAUGGAAAGAAAAAAUGAAGAAGAAGAUGCAGAAAAAGAAAUAUAGAGAGAGAAAAGUUAAUUUAAAAUAAAAUAUUUAAAAAUUAAUAAAAUAAGUUAUUAAGUAUGUUAUCCAAUAAAAAGAUGAUAUGUGUCAGUUUUUUGGUGUCUUUUCCUUUCUCACGCACUUAUGAAAAGUUGGUGAUACAAAUUUUGCCACGUUCCUUUUUAAGGGGUAAUUAAAUUCAAUUCAAAUUAAAUUAGGGGGUAUAUAAACACCCGUGUAAUUUAAGUACUAAAGUAAGUUUUCGUGUCAAGUUCGUAGGGAUUUUAUGUCUUUUCCCUAGCUUUGUCGGUUUGCAACUUUGCAUGGUCUUUUUUUUUUUUACAGACUUUAUGCACGCGGGUCUUUAAUUUGAUGUUAUUCCUCUAAACUUUGCAUUUUAUACAUUAAGUUGAAUGAUUAAUUAAUAUCUCAAAUGACACUGCCUUUUUUAACUUGUUUUUUCUCUAUUGAUAUAAGUUAAGGUCCAAUAGACCAUUAAUAUAUAAUGUGACAGCUCCUAGGCCAAUCAGUGAGAUUUUAAUUACACGCAUUGCUUUUCACUGUAUCAUAAGUUUUUUAAUUUGUUAAUACUCCCUUCAGUCCAAAAUAAAUAAAUUUAUGAUUUGUUGAUAUGACUCAAUGUGAGCCGUGAGAGAAUUUUUCAAAAUUUAAAGAUGUAUUAAUUAUUUUUCUCCAAAAUUAUUCUUCUCUUUAAUAAAGUUUUCAACUAUCUUUAGUUUUAAAAAUAGUUUGGGAAGAAUAAAAGGAUAAUAUUGAUAAAUUACUCUUUUAUUAAUGUCAUUAACUAAAUUUCUUCAAAGAUCAAUUUAUUUAAUCUCAAGGCAUAAUAAAUAAAUAUGUCUUUUAACUUGGUUUCAAAUAAUAUUUAUAUCCUCCAACUUUGGGUGUGCAUAAAUAAGACACUUUAAUUAUUAUAAAGCUGAAUAAAUCGACACACACAUACUGCGUGACAUCAUACAUGACAAUUUGUGUCCUACGUGUAUACUCAUUUGUCUACUUGUUCAACUUUAUACAAGUUUUAAUGUCUAUUUAUGCACAUCAAAAAUUGGAAGGAUAAAUAUGAAAUGAGGAUAAAUUAAUGAUGUAUUUAUGUAUUAUGCCAAUUUUGGAAGGGAGGGAGUAUUGUCACUGUAUUAUUACCCACGAAUAUAUAUCAUGUUAAUUUACUUUUAUGGAAAAUAUAAUUAUGUAUAAAGGGAGAGGCUGUGUUUUGAGUUUCCUUGGAUACCCUGGCAUGAUGAGGUUUUUAGUUGUUGAUAUUUAAUUAACUGUCUUGAUUUCUGUUUUGUGAGAUGAUUCUUUUGUCUGCUAGAUCCUCUUUUACUUGUUCCUUUGAAUAAUGUCCACUAUAUAAAUUUCUUUUAUUUUUAUAGAUCCUUUUUGUCUACCUUUUUGGUGCCACCUUUAACUCAUACCAAGAUGGUGUUUUAUAUUGGCAAGCUCCCAACUUUAGAUGGAAAAUAGGAAAAAUCUUUUUGAUCAGAAAAUUUGGUCAGAGUGAUAUUUUAUCUAUGUUAUUUUAUUUUUUAAAAUAUUUUUAUCCUUUUAACUUUAAUAUCUUUUAACUAAAAAUGGAAAAAAGAUUAGUUUAUUUUAAGAUAAAAAAAAUAUUAUAAUUUUUUAAAUUUUCUGACCAAAUUUUGGCUAAAUUUUCUUGCCAUUUAGCACUUUCCUGAAAAAUAUAUACUUUUUUUUACAUUACUAGAUUAUAUUUAGGCAUAAUAUAUAUACGUGUCGUUUAAUUUGAUUUCAUUUCAUAUUUAUGCUCUCUAAUUUGGAUGUGCACAAUUAGAUACUUUAAGACUUAAGUUAAUAUAUAAAAUUGAAUAAGUAAACACAUCAGUCCUACAUGACAUAAUAUAUAUAACACACUACGUAAGAUGCAAAUUACCAUGUAGGAUCUCGCAUAUGAUGCAUGUAUCUAUUUAUUUAACUUUAUAGAAGUUUAAAUAUCUACUUGUAUACAUCCAAAAUUAAAAAACAUAAAUAUGAUAUAAGAUUAAAUUAAAGAAUAUAUUUAUAUAUUAUGCCUUAUAUUGGAGAAUAAUGUAAUGAGUUGGGUUAUGUCUCCUAUGGUGAGUGGUUGCCCCCGGGCUCUAUGGGCUUUGCAGCCAACCAAGGAAACAAUUUCUUCACUUAACCAUUUCUUCUCUCUUUCCUCUCUCACAUAGUUUCUGACAAGAUUUGGGGGUUAUGAAGUAUUCCUCCACCCAAUUUAAUAUGACGUUUGUUUGACUUGACAUGAAAUUUUAAAAAUAAAAAAAUUAAAAUUUAUAUGACUAUAAGUUAUCUCAUUAAAGAUAAAAUAGACAUUUAAAAGUUAAAUUUCUACAUAAUAUAGAAACGUGUCAUUUUUUUAAAUUAACUAAAAAGGAAAGUGAGUCAUAUAAACUGAGACAAAGGGAAUAUAUAAUACACAAGCGUGCUCUUUAAUUUGGUUUCUAUUUAUAUCCUCUAAUUUUGAAUGUUUAUAAGUAGACAUUAAACUUGUAUAGAAUUGAACAAAUAGAUCGAUACACAUGUUACUUUACGUCUUACAUAGUAAUUCACGUCUUACAUGACAUCCUACAUGACGUUCAACGUGUAUUAUGCUACGUAGAAUGCAAGUGUUUACUUGCUCAACUUUAUAGAAGUUUAAAAGGCAUUAUGUAUUAUGCCUAUAUAUAUAUCCUACUCAUAUUUGAGAUCCUGUUAAUUUUCCUUCAUUCUCCAUAUCUGAGUAAUUUUGGUCAUUGGGGAUAUAAGGUUAUGAACACAAGCUAGUGUUUAGGAGAAGAUUAAGUUGCCAAAAAUGAAGUUUAUGAAACUUGGAUCCAAACCUGAUACAUUUCAGUCAGAUGGGAAAAAUGUCAGGUCAGAUCAUGUGCUUAGUUCUUCAAAGUUUUAUUCACCACUUUUUUCUUGUUGUGAUUAUUCAGAGUAGUUGCUUUAUUGUGGAAAAAACUGUUUCUGGUGUUAUAUUAACACAAAUUUAACUUAUUUGCUUAUCCCCUUUUGCAUUUAUCUUGUGUCAAUCAUGCUAUGUUUGUUCAAUUGAAGCUAGGUUUUGUAUUUUCUUUUCAUACUGUUUUGAUAUGCUUUACUUGAGUUGAGCGUCCAUCUGAAACAACUUUCACGAGGGAGAGGUACAAGGACGUAAGGUUGCAUACAUACCAACUCCACUCAUGGGAUUACAUGGGGUAUAUUGUUGUUGUGUGUAUCUGAGUAUACCGAUGUGUUUUGUUCCAGAGAUUAACUCUUUAGUAGGGUUAAUGUACAUUUAUUCAGUCAUAAGAAAUCUCGCAUUCCAAUUGCUUAGCUGUCUUUUGAUGGUUUCAUUUUUCCAUAUGAAGUACCUUCUUAGAGCUUGUGUAACACCCCAAUUUAGGAUAAGAAGUCUCACAUCAAUAAAACAUAGGAGAGAUGUUGAGUAUAUUAGUAAGUAGGCCUUACAAAGUAAUGAUGCGCUUUAAAAUUGUGGAAGUUUAGGCUCAGAAUGGACAAUAUCUUCACAUGGUUAAGCCAUAUCUGUGAAGUCUAUCUAUCUAUCUAUCUAUCUAUCUAUGUCUUUUCAUCACUCACAAUAGCCUGGUGAAUGUUUGUGUUUUUUCUCUGUUUAAACAAGUACUCAUCAAUAAUAUUUCCGUUAAUGCAGAUAUGUUGCUUCAGAGUUGGAUUCUGACAUCGUUGUUAGUGUAGGAGACGUUAAGUUUCAUCUGCAUAAGGUACUACUAUCUGACAAUUAAUAUAUGCUACCUUCUUCUGUUCGAGAUUUUAUUUCCGAUGUUCUGCUUGCUGGUCUUAAGAAAAGAAUGAAAUAACUGAGCAUACUUUAGUAUUUCUUUUUCAAUUGUAGUGAAGGGUGGGUUGGUUUAGUAUUUCCUGAUACUUGUAAUCGAUGAAAAUUGCAGUUUCCUCUUCUGUCCAAGAGUGCUCAUUUGCAAAAGCUGGUUACAAACUCAAGUGAAGGAGAUGGUGAUGAAGUUCACAUUCAUGACGUUCCGGGAGGACCUACUGCCUUUGAAAUGUGUGUCAAGUUUUGUUACGGUAUGACCGUUACACUGAAUGCUUAUAAUGUCAUAGCAGCAAGGUGCGCUGCAGAGUAUCUUGGAAUGGAUGAGACUGUUGAGAAAGGAAAUCUUAUUUACAAGAUUGAUGUUUUCUUACACUCGACCAUUUUCCGAAGCUGGAAAGAUUCGAUAAUAUUUCUUCAGACCACUAAAUCUAGGUUACAUCUGUGUGAGGAAGUAAAGUUGAUCAGCCACUGUACUGAUGCUAUAGCAUCCAAGACGUCUAUUGAUGUUCGCAAGGUUGAUUGGUCUUAUACCUAUAACCGGACCAAGAUACAAGAGGAAAAUGGAAGUGGUCCUAACUCAAAUGGAAUUAGAAGCCGUGUGGUGCCAAAUGAUUGGUGGGUUGAUGACUUAUGUGAGCUUGAAAUAGAUCUUUAUAAACGGGUUAUGGUCAACAUAAAGAACAAAGGGAUUGUUUCCUCUGAAGUGAUUGGAGAAGGUAUUAAAGCUUAUACUUUAAGAAGGUUCCCGGGCUUUAGCAAGGGUGUUUGCCAGUUCAGUGAUGUGUCCAGAUCGCGCUCAAUAUUGGAUACGGUUGUAUGUCUAUUACCUGCUGAAAAAGGUAGUGUCUCUUGUAGUUUCUUGUUGAAAUUGCUAAAAGCAUCCAUUUCUGUAGAUUCUGGAGAAAAGGUAAAGGCAGAGCUAGUAAAAAGAAUAGGGCAGCAACUGGAGGAGGCUUCUGUCAAUGGUCUUUUGAUUCGAGCUACAGACGGGGAAGCAACAAUGUAUGAUGUCCAUGUCUUCCACAAGAUACUAGAGAACUUUGUUGUGCAUAAUAAGGAUUUGAAAACUCAGUUUGAAGAUGGUAAUGAAAUUCCAGGGGUUUUAUCAGAAGCUUCAAAGCUCAUGGUGGCGAAGCUAGUAGAUGGAUACCUUACAGAAAUUGCCAAGGAUCCUAAUCUUCCUUUGUCGACAUUUGUUGGUCUAGCAGAGAUGGUAACAGAUUUCCCUCGCCCUAGUCAUGACAGCCUUUAUCGGGCAAUUGAUAUAUACCUCAAGGUGAGAAUCUGUUGAACUAUCUAUGGAACUUUUUUGAUUACAAAAGAAAUGACAUUACUGUAUUACUUGAAUAAUUAAAAGUAAAGUCAUUCAAGUAAUACAUACUUUUAAGGUAUGACCUUUCGUAAAAUAGUCUAAUAUUUCCCGUGUCACAUACAUUAUUGGUAGUGGAAACUAGUGCAGAAAGUUCCUACUCUCAACUAAUGAAUGCUAGCAAUUAUACUUAUUGAUCUUCUUGUGAUGUUGUAGGAGCACCCUGGGAUCAGCAAGAAUGACAGAAAGAGAAUUUGCUGUCUGAUGGAUUGCAAGAAGCUCUCAGUUGAUGCAUGUACACAUGCCGUGCAAAACGAGAGACUUCCAUCACGUGUUGUCGUACAAGUUCUCUUCUUUGAGCAAGUCAGGGCCAAUGCAUCAUCGGGGAGCAGCACUCCGGAUCUUCCCAAAGCUAUUAGAAACCUCACUAGUGCUUCAUAUGCGAGCUCAAGGUCAGCGACAACAAAUACAGAGAAUUCGGAGGUUACAGCCUCUGCAGAAGAACUGAGGGCUUUGAAAGAAGAGCUGGCAGCCUUAAGAUUGGCAAAUGGAGGACUAAAUGGCGAUACCAAACGUCACGUUGACAAGGCUGCCAAUGGUAGAAUGAAAAGUAUACUUUCAUCAAAGAAGAUCUUUACAAAAAUUUGGUCAAGCAAAGGCAGGAAACAAGGGGAAAAUAGUGGCUCAGAUUCAUCUGACAGCUUGGAAGAAGCUAAGUACACACCUUCAAGAAAAGGAAGAUAUUCAGUUUCUUGAUCCUAACUUAGUACCAGAAAAUGUAGUCACUAGUAUUGGUGGGUCUUUUCUUUUCUGGGAAUUCUUUCUUUCUUUCUUUUUUCCUCCUAGACUAGAGUUUUCCUUAAAUGACUUUAGCAUGUCAAAAACUAUAGUCAUCUUAGUUCUUAUUUGUUUUCAUUAAAAUUAAGAUGUCUGAAUCUGAAUACACAUUUAAGUUUAAAAUGUGCAUUAUGAUUUAGGUGUUUGAAUCUGAAUACACAUCUAAAUUAUAAAGAUGUUGUAUUAAGAUCUGAAUACUAAAUAAUUAAGAUUGUUCUUUUUAAUAUCUGAAUAUAUAAAAAUUGUCUUUAUUUGAAAUUGAAUACAACAACAACAAUAUACCCCGUGUAGUCCCACAAGUGGGGUUACUUAAAAAAAGAUUAAAUGUAAAAGUCAAUAAAAUACUUAAUUAAUUGAAAAUUAAAUUAACAAAAUAUUUUUUAAAAAUUAUUUGGUGGUGGUGGUGGUUGUUAGUGUCAGGAAUGGUGAUGUUGCGACUGUUAGGAUAUCUCCAGGAUAGCAACCUUAUAUCAUUAGGAGUUUAUUUUCUCUGCUUCUAGACUUCUUAUUAUAUUAGGAGUCUAUCCCCUAUGUAUCUAUUUAAUAUGUACGUGCAUGUUAUAAUUGAAUGAGCAGAGAAAGUGAGAUCUUCUCCAAGACUUACGGUGACUAGUUGAUGGUGAUGGUUGACUAUAGCAGGUGAUGGUGAAGGAUGAUAGUUGUGGUGGACUAAUAGUGAUAACUAAUAGUGAUGAUGAAUUAUAUCAAUGGUUGAAAAUACAUAGUGAAGAUCCAGGGUGAGGAUUUUUAGUAGUGAUUGUUGGUUGUUAUGGUAGUGAUGGUUGAUGAUUGAAAUAGUGGCUAGUGGUGGUGAUAGCUGAUUAUAGUGAUUUACAUUGGUGGUGAUUGUGUAUGUGGAUAGUGGUAGUGAGUGAUAGUAAUUGAUUAUGGUGGGCAAUGAUAGUAGCGGUGAAUAAAUAAAAUUGGGGAACUUGCAUCUUUGUAGAACUUAAUUCUUAAGUAGAUAUCUUAAUAAUAUUACUUUGUUAUAAAUCUUAAUCAUUCAAAUCUAUUCAAACUCAUUCAGUGGUUGUAACGUGAGAAAACUACAUAAUAGUUAAGAUCUGAAUGAUUAAAAUUCAAACCUAAAAAAUACACAGACUUAGACCUCAUUUGCUUUCAUUAAGAUUAAGACAUUUGAAUCUGAAUGUACAUCUGAAUAUUAAGAUGUUCCAUAAAGAUCUAAAUACUUAGUUAGGGCUAUUUAUUUUCUCAAUAUUUGACAUAUAAAAUUUGUAUUUUUUUAAAAAGAAUAAUAUAAAAUUCAAAUAAACAAUAAAUUGAUCUAAUACUAUAUCAAGAAAAUAUUUUUAAAAUUCUAAAUGACAAUUGGUGGCAGUGAUGGUUGAUUAUGGUGAUUGUGUGUGUCGAUUUGAAAUGAUGCUAAUUGAUGGUGGUUGUGGGUAGUAUCUUAUGGUAUAGUGAUUGGCCGUAGUGAUUAAUCGUGAUUGUUGGUGGCGACAACUGAUAAUUAGUAGUGGAAUGAUACUAAUAGCUAAUGACGAUGAUGGACCGGGAAGGACCAGUAAUUAAAUGUGAAGAUGGAUGAUGAUUUCAUUUUAAAGAUUAUUUUGACUAUUAUCAUUUUUGUUUUAUUAGUUGUUACAUUUCUCAAAUAGUAAAUAUAAUAUAUAUUUUUUAUAUUAUUGGUUAUUAAUACCUUUCUCAAAUAAUAAUUAUAAUAUUUUUUUCUAUGUUAUUGGUUAUUUAUUAUAAUUUAUUUGUAAAAUCAUUUAAAGUUUUACUUUUGCUUAUUUUCUUAGUAAUAAAAUUAUAAAAUUUAAUUCACAUGAGAUGUACGCCUCUAUUCUUGACGUGAACGGCCGCUUUCUUGGAACUCAUUCAUAUGCACUAAUGGGCCCUGUAGAUCCAUGUGACCUAUGCCUCGCCCCGUACUACAUAAAAGGACUCGUCUCGCGGCCCCGCCUUUUAAAACUCCCUUCAAAGAUCAUAGUAGCUCCAUCAUAAAUUUUCAUUUAGAUAAUGAUAAGAAAAUUUCGUAAUAAAAUAGAAAAUAUUUUUAUUUCUUUAUCUUUUUCGAAUUGAAGUAGAAUAAACAUGUAAUAAUAAACAGGAAAUAAAUAAUAUAUUUAUUUGGAAAAAAGGAUAAUUUUGAUCUAUUUCUUUGUUUUUAUUCAAACUAUUGACAAUAAAAGACAUGUUUUAAUCAAACUAUUAACUGAGUACUCCAUCGGUCCCUAAUUACUUUUUAUGGGAUACAUUUAUAAAAAAAUUUGGGUACAAAAACUAAUCCCAAGUGUUGGAGCAAGUUAUGUAGUCCAACAUGAGUUGUGGUGUAGUAGUGGGACUUUGUUGGGAGCGCCACCUCUGAAUAGGCCUGCAGUUCGCAAUUCAGAUUUAGUCGGAGCUUUAAUGUGGAUUUCGAACACCGAAUGAAAAACAAAAAAAAAAGUUAUAUAGUCAUUGAUCUUAAAAACCCUUAAAAGUGGUCCAUUUAUAGGAGCGGAAGUCGCUAUUUUUGUAUCCAAUAUCAGUGUAUCCCUAUUUCAACUUCGUUCCUGCCCUUCAGGUAUCAAAAUCCCCAAUUACUUAUCGACAAAAUCGUUUUUGGUUUCUCGAAGAAAUUCUUUUUAAUCAUUAUCGUGGGAGUUUAAACCGAUCUCUAAUUUGUUUGUUAACAAGUGUGCCUGAAAUUCUGAAUGGAUACAGUGGAUUGUAGCUGAUUCCAUCUUCUGAUAGAACCCAAAACCUUAGCAAUAGGUAUCUUUACUUUGAUGUGCAAUACUUCUUAGGCUUGUUGGCAUCAUUGCCAGUAAUGCUUUUCUAGGGGUUUAGCCGUUUUCUUAUAGUGUCUUGCUUUUGAUUACACUAUCACUUGUUGAUUGUGUUUAGGUUAUCACAUUAGUUUGUGGUUGUUACUUUUCCUUAUUAGUUGCUUUGUUUUUGUUUUCCCUUUUUCAUUAUUUUGAUAUGUUGUACUUGAGCCGAGGGUCCUCUCUAAAUCUGAGGUAGGGUAUGAUCUGCGUACAUUCUACCCUUCCCAGACCCACUUAUGGGAUUUCAUGGGAUAUGUUGUUGUUGCGUUGGAAGUAAUGCUUUUGUAUGUGGGCUUGAAAUCUAUCGUUUAGCUUUCCAAAUCUUAACUCUUCUUUACCUUUUUGUUUGUUUAUCUUGUUAUCAACUUUUGUUGGAUUUACUCUUUCUAUUAUACCAAAAUCGAUAUCAUAUAAUAUAUUUCUUAUAUCUUUUGGUGUCAUAUUUUUUUCUUGCCUGUUCCACUUUACUUGUUUUAGAGUGCUUUAACUUUACUUUGCUGCAGUCUGGUGCUGUGUUACAUGCUCCUCUUCUUCUUUUUUUCAUGUCAUUCAACUCUUAAGUGUGAUGCUCUUCUUUUCCCUAAAAAGAUUCAGACAAUUGAUUGAUAAUUUCCGAGUCUUCUUUUCUGUUCAGAUUUCAUUGAAAUAGCAUUUCAAAGUCUUCUAUAGCUGAUGCAAAAUUAUGCUGUCCCUUAGUUAAAUUUGUCAAAUGUGGCUAACAUAAUCGUAUUUCGUCAAUCCAGAUCCAUGGCAACUGGAACUUCUUCAUCGUCUUUACUUCCUAUUGAUGAAGAAGAUGAGAUAUUGAUGCUAUACGGGUCCGAAUCAGGUUGGGUUGAGGCCAAAACUCACUGUGAUCACCUGGCUUCUUUGUCAUCUGAUCUCACCCAUAUUCCAACUCCUGAUACUCCUUGCAACAGGUUCAUCUUGUUACAACCCUAUAUUUUCUUCUCCUUUGCAAACUCCUAGAGACCCGUACAUAUGAUAUUAUAUUGUAUGGUAUUACUGUACUUCCUGUCACACUAAGUUGUCAAGUGGUACAUUUGUCUUUGUUUCAUUUUAUUUCCUUCUUUUUUGAGCUUGUAAUGAGAUUAAUUUGUGUUAAUUGUUUUAUGCAAUAAGUAGUCUAAUAAGCAUUUUAUUUCUUUUAGACUUUCAAUGUUUAGCUAUUCAAAACUUGUUUCUAGAUUAAAGUAUCACGAAUUAACAAUCAUGUUGUUAUGGUAUUUUUUCCCCUUUCAAGCACCCCAUAGUAGGCGCUAAACACUCCUUUGCGUCUAGGACCUUACAUCAGUUCUCUUUUUGUGGUGAUGUUACUAAUUUACACCAAAUAUAAGGAAUAGAGAAUGUAUGAAAUGUUAGCAUGCUGUGUUACCCGGACUCAUCAAAAAUGUCAUCGGGCGUGUGUUGGAUCCUUCAAAAGUAAUGCAUUUUUGAAGGAUCCGACACAGGUGCAACAACAUUUUUGGAGAGUCCGAGCAACUUAGUUAGCAAGUUCCAAUUUGAGAAGUUCAAAAACAUGAAAAGAGAAUAAAAAUGGACUGAUUUCAAGGUUGAAUAAACAUAUUUAGAGUACUUUUUCUUUAUCUUUUAAGAAGGAAAUGUAAAUUUUAUACAUCAAUAUCCUUUUGGUUCUAAAUUAUAUGUUUCGCAUUGUGCUAUUUCAUACGCAUUACUGUAUGUCCUUACGGAACUUGCUGGUCAGUCCACUCUCAGUUCUGUAGUUUUUAAGUCUGUAUAUUGGAAUUAAUAGUCCAUUCAUUGGUUUGGUUUUCAGAUAUCACAUAGGCAUUUAGCGAUCUGAUACACUUCCACCCAUUUGUAUAGAUGUUUCUAGUUAUUCCAGACAAGGAAGGACUGGUUUUAAUUUACUUCGCUUGACUUCGUUAUUAGACCUACUAUACCUGUGAGAAUUAGCUGUAAAUGGUUAUGGAAUUUCUUGUUGGAAGGAAAACAAUUUGGUGACAUUGUGCAAAAACCUUUUUGAAGGUGCCAACAUCCAGCAGAGAACUGGCUAUGUUUGUGUUGCAAGGAGGUUCUUUGCAGUCGAUUUGUUAAUAAGCACAUGCUCGAGCAUUACAAGCUGACCGAUCACUCUUUAGCCCUCAGCUUUAGGUAACUUUUGUGAGACAAGACGUCAAUAUCUUUCAUCAUUUUAGUCGUCACAUCUUUGAGCUGAAGAUACACAUGUUUAUGGAUUUCCUUUUUUUUUUUUUUUUCUGGAGCAGUGAUCUAUCAGUAUGGUGUUUCUCCUGCAAUGCGUAUUUAGAUGCCCAAGUUAUAAUGCCGUUGCAGUCUGUUCAUUUCACUGCCUACGUACUGAAGUUUAAUGAGCCUCCACCUUUACGAGCAGUGGAGUGUGUACAUAUUACAGAUAACAGAGCAGACGGUUCUUCUACUUCUGGGAAGUAAUUUUUUCAUCUUCUCUUUGAUGCCUGUGAUGUUAGGCUGUUUAAAAAUUCUCUUCAAACUGAUUUCUCUAUAGGAAAAUGGUUUAGCAAAAACCAAUUUGGAUCAUGGUGUUUUUAUCUAGAUAUUGGCACAUUAACCUCUUAUUUCUGUGCUUCGUAAGCAAAAUAGUUUCUUGAGGUAUGCACCAUUUCGCGUAAGAAUAAUAACAAUGUAAAAUCUGUUUGUACUCUUAGGGAAAUAUAAUUAGAGUUUAGAACUCUGGCUGCUGGUAAAAAUUGGGUUGCCCUCAACUCUGGACAUCUUUGUUAAAGGAUUGGAAAAUUGACUCAAGAAGAGGUUAUUAAGUACUUGUGUAAAGUGGAUAUGAUUAUACUUUUCAAAAUUUCAAAGGGAUAAAAAACGGAAAUUGAAGUGAGCUCAAUUCACAUUCAAUUUAUACUAUUACUGUGUGUUAUGCCAAUAAAAAUAUUGUAUACAAAAACAUAUCCAAUCUCAUUAUUGAUCAAUCCAUAACGUUAAGAUUAGGUUGAACUCUGCUAUAAAAAGUUGCUACUCAAGUUUUGAUAAAUUAGCAAAACCUCGGAUCUUCUAAUUUGGAUAAAAUUAGAUAACUUGCCAAUUUUUUUUAUUUCGUAUGAGAACUUCAGUAAUAAUUUGUCAGAACCCAAAAAUUAACAUGAUGUCACUUGUCUAUUCUCAUCAAGCCAAGUCAGUCUCAACCCAAUGAAAUAAAAGAAAAAGGGAAAGAUAAUGCAAAAACAACAUAAAAGCGAAAAACUUAUUCUUUCUAUUAACACACCAAAACCUGGUUGUCACGUGUACAAGUCACUAAUACAUAAGUGCAAAAUUAAUAAAUAAGUACAUAUCUCAACUCUUUGUUUCUCAAAUAGAAUAAAGCAUAAAAAGAAGAACUAGAGGGUCCGCCAGGAUGACAAACAACUACCUCUCAACAAUUCUCUGACAAGCCUCGAAGAUGGAGAGAAAGAGCGAUCACAUGAUACUGGGCUUGGAACCUAUACAAGUGCAGAAGCAAGGGGUGAGUACCAACAACAUGGUGUUCAACAAGCAACCUAAUAAACGAAGCAACUUAAUUAGAAAACGAAUACUCCUUUCAUCCAAACCGAACCUCCUAAAACUACAACAUGCACAUAAAUUAGUCAAACCUAACAGUUCUAGAGUGACAACUCACAAGUUUCAAUAAGGGAAAAAUAUAUAUAAUAGCAAACUAUUAAUUCAAAUUAAAUGUUAUAAAUAUACUUUGAUUUAAUUGUACCCUAUAGCAAACUAUUGUUAUUUUCGCCACUCUCCCUGGUGGAAUCUCGUUCGCCACUCUCGUUUGGUGGCAGUCUCGCUCGCCUCUCUCGCUUUUAUCAAAUCAAAUGUAUAAAAUGCGUUUGUGUUUGUAUAAAGAGAGAGAAAAUUGUAUAUAUACAUAUAUUUUCGUUCCCCUCUCUCCCCCUCUUUUAGAUCUCACUCGCCACUCUCCCGAAUCUCGCUCGCCACCCUUGCCUCUCUCGCUUAUACAAACAGAAACGAAAUGUAUAAAUUGCGCUUCUGUUUGUAUAAAGUGAGAGAAAAUUGUAUAUACACAUGCAUAUACAUAUAUCUUCGUCCUAUACACUUAUAAUUAUACAAUACAAAUAUUUCCCUGCCCAGUUUUCUUUUGCCUUUCUCUCUUUCUUGUUUUAUACAUACACAGAUUAUACAAUUGAUCUUUUGUAUACAACUGCUUUCUUUUGUAUAUGUAUAGCGAAAUAUACAUAUUUAUGUUUGAUAUGGAGCGCAAUUAUAUUAUACAACUGCUUUCUUUGUAUAUGUAUAGCGAAUUAUACAACUGCUUUCUUUGUAUAUGUAUAGCGAAUUAUACAUAUAUAUGUUUGCUAUGGAGCGCAAUUAUGCAAACUUUGUUAUAACAUACAAAUAUGAAUUUUGUGUUUGCUAUAUGCGAAAGUUGUUCUUUCAAUAAUCACAGUCCAAUCACAAUUUCACAACCAACACGUAUCAAGUAAGUCAAUCUCAAUGUCAGGUAGAGUCAAUCACACGUAGCAAGUGCAUCAAUCACAAUUAACAAGUCAAACAUAAGCAUCAAAACACAUCAAAUCACAAUAAUCAAUCUCUUGCCGGAACUAUUUUCCUUCAACACAAUAUCACUAGUCGGAACCAUUUUCCAUAGGUUUUAUAUCAAAUCACUAGCCGAAACCAUUUCCAAUCGACUUUAUAUCACUAGUCUAAACCAUUUCCCGUUGUCUUUAUAUCAUAUCACUAGUCAGAACCAUUUUCCAUCGAUUUUAUAUCAUAUCACUAGCCGAAAUCAUUUCCCAUCGGUUUUAUAUCAUUUCACUAGUCGAAACCAUUCCCGCCGGCUUUAUAUCAUAUCACUAGCCAGAACAAUUUCUCAUCGGCUUUAUAUCAUAUCACUAGGCAGAACCAUUUCCCAUCGACUUAAUAUCAUAUCACUAGCCGAAACUACUUCCCACCGACUUUAUAUUAUCUCACUACCCGAAACCAUUUCUCAUUGGCUUUAUAUCAUUUCUAUAGCCGAAAUCAUUUCUCAUCGAUUGCGUAUCACAAGUCUCAUCACGGUGUACAACAAUCAAUGCACAUAGCAAGUUCACACUAUAAGGAAGAGGCAACGAUUCAAGCAAUUCAAGUUCACAUUCAUGUUAUCAAGCACUUCAUCAAUCAAUCAAAUAAGGGUCACAACAAGGCAAUUCACAAAACAUUAUGAUCAGCACAUAAUCUUUUCUUUAAUUCCCUUUUUAUUCAUUACGAUUUAUCAAGUGGAACAAUGAAUCCCUCACCACAUACCCAUUACUCCUAACACACACACACAAUGAAGGCAAUACACAAAUUCUACUAAAUUACAAGGUUUAGGAGAUGACUUGCCUUAAUUUAACCAACUAGUCACUCCAAGACUUGAGUCUUCUUUUUUCGACCAAUGUCUAAAGCCACACAAUCUAUAUCAAUCAAGUAUUCACAAUAAAUUUCCGAAAACAACAAUACCCAACUCAUAUACUUUGAAAAAUGAGUCAAUACACAAAAUCCAAUUCCGAAAAUGAAGUUUGAAUUCGAAAUUCUUCACUUGAAAUCAUUACCCAAUGCAGUUGGAACUUAUUGGUGAAAAUCAUUUCAAAAAAGGACUUAAAAUCAAUUCACAAUCUCCAUUUUAGUUUAGAACUUGAGUUCUUGAAAAACCUUGUCAUUUGUCAAUAAAAAUCCCAAAUUUUACUGUUGAAAUCCAUAAAUGAUCAAAGGGAGAUGAAGUUCUAGGAUUACAAAAGCUUACCCAAAUGAUUUAGCCCAAGAAAUCCUUUCAAAAUUGCCACCAAAGAUUUUGCCAAGCUCAAAACUAGAAAAAUGGGAUUUAAUCCCCGAAAUUUUCAAACCAAAAACCCUCUCUUAUGUCGCUUAAGCGGAUGCUAUAAAAAUUGGGGGUCUUGCUUUUGCGAACCAGGCUUUGCUUAAGCGACCACCGCUAAAGCGAGCCCUGAUCCGCUUAAGCGAACCACGCCCAAAAGCUCAGUUACGCUUUUGCGAGCCGACCUUCGCUAAAUUGAAGUUCGUAAAAGCGAAGGCCCUCUGCAAGAGCGACGAUGCAGCACCAGAAACAUUAGUCAACACAAAAUCAUUGAAAGGACCCUCAUAAUUUGUUCGAAAUCCUGUACACACAAACCACACAUGCAAAUCGAUUAUACUCGAUGUUUCGGACUCAAUGGAACAGUUAAAAUACGAAUCUGAGGUCUCCUUGAUCUGACAUACAUGAAGACCACAAUAAACUAAUAUAACGCCUAAAACGGCUAAAACAAGAUUCAGACCUCUCAAAAAUUAACCAAGACCUCACCUAGGUCUAAAAUCAUCCCUCGAAACCAAUGGAACUCUUGGAAUCCAGGUCCGAGCAUCUGAACCCUGAAUAUUGACUAAAGUUAGCUCAAAGGCUAAAUUCUCAACAAUUUCCAACUUAGGGUCUCAAAUUCUCAAGAAGACUCCAAAUCUAAAACCAACGACUCUCACUAAUCAGAUUCCACAUUUCUGAACUGAUGGAAUCGACAAAAUUUCAUUCCCACACUCGAAAUUUCAAACGACACUGAAAACCACUUUUUAAAACAAUAUUAGUCUUUCAAACUCAAAUCUUACUUAAAAUUGAGUUUGGAGAAUUCUAUAAACAUAAUGAAAUAGAGAAUUCAUCUUUAUCUAAAUAAUUUUUUUUUAUCAAUUAUAUAUAGUAUAAAUACACUGUAAUUAGAAUAUGAAUUAAGGGUUAAACAUAUUUAAACUAUCCAGUUUUUAUAGUUUCAUACCUAAACUAUUGAAAAUGUGAGUUUUCUACCUGAACUAUCACCAAUAGUUAGCAAAAUACAUUUAGACUAAUUUCUAAUGUUGUGUGUACACUCUCUCUUUUGUUUAAAAAUUAUGUCUCGUGACACUCCACGUGAAAAAAUAAUUUUAUCGUGUAAAAUUUAAAUAAAUUAAUAUUAGGGUAAAAAUUAAAAUGAUCAUCGUAUAAAUUAAUUUAUUCCUAUCGUGAUGUCCAACAUCUUCUUCUCUACCUUCUUAGUUGUGGUCUCGCUUCUACCUUGGCAUAUAUAAACAAUAAUUUUUUAUGCUUAUAGCAUCAAUAUUCGCAUAUGUGGAAAAUAUGUAUUACUAUAUAUAAUAAGUGGGAAUUAGAGGAGUUUGAGGUCAAGUUUCUCAAUUUACAAAGAGAGGAACUAAGUUUCUUUUUAUUUCAAAGCUGACCCACCUACUUUAGUUCCUUUUUAUCACAAAGUUGGCCCACCUUCUUACAAAUGCAUUAUAAAAUUGUGUCUCCUCUAAUUCCUACUUAUUAUAUAUAUUUUAUUUUUAUUUUAAUAUUUUUAUUUUUAAAUAGUUACUAUAUAUAAUAAGUGGGAAUUAGAGGAGCUUGACGAGAGAGAGUUGCUAAGCACCCCUCACUUCCAAUUCGAAGGUUACGAGUUCGAGUCAUCAAGAGAGCAAAGAGCGGUGGGAGAGCUCCUAGGGAGGGUUAAAAAAAAAGGAAUUAGGGUAGCUUGAGGUCAAGUUUCUCAAUUUACAAAGAGAGGAACUAAGUUUCUUUUUAUCUCAAAGCUGGCCCACCUACUUUAGUUCCUUUUUAUCACAAAGUUGUCCCACCUUCUUACAAAUGCAUUAUAAAAUUGUGUCCUCUAAUUCCUACUUAUUAUAUAUAUAUAUAUAUAUAUAUAUUAUUUUUUUUAUUUAUUAUUAUUUUUAUUUUUAAAUAGUACUAAAAAUAUUACAAUUUGGUUAACUUUCGAAAUUUCACUCAUACUGUUUAAUUGGGACGAAGGGAGUAAUAUAUAUUAUUUGAAAAUUACAUAAAAAUACCAUAAAUCAUACUAAUAAUUAACAACUUACAAUAUUUGAGAAACAUAUUCACUCUCAAAAUUUCACAUGUACCACAUAAAUUGAAACAAAUGGGGUAACGUAUAUUAUUUGAAAAUAGUAUUAUUACUAUACUCUAUUAAUAAGUGGGAAUUAGAGGAGCUUGAGGUCAAGUUUCUCAAUUUACAAAGAGAGGAACUAAAUUUCUUUUUAUCUCAAAAUUGGCCCAACUACUUUAGUUCCUUUUUAUCACAAAGCUGGCCCAUCUUCUUACAAAUGCAUUAUAAAAUUGUGUCUCCUCUAAUUCCUACUUGUUAUAUAUAUUUUGUUUUUUUAGUUUAUUUUUAUUUUAAUAUUUUUAUUUUUAAAUAGUACUAAAAAUAUUACAAAUUUGGUUAACUCUCGAAAUUUCACGCAUACUGUAUAAUUGGAACGACGGGAGUAACAUAUAUUAUUUGAAAAUUACAUUAAAAUAUCAUAAAUCAUACUAAUAAUUAACAACUUACAAUAUUUGAAAAACAUAUUCACUCUCAAAAUUUCACAUGUACCACAUAAAUUGAAACAAAUGGGGUAACAUAUAUUAUUUAAAAAUUACAUUAAGAAUACUAUUAAUCACAGGAACUAAGUUUCUUUUUAUCACAAAGUUGGUUCACCAACAUUAAAACCUCUAUAAAUUAAUAUAGGUGGGACCAUGAAAUUUUAUUAUUUUAUAGAGAUAUUAUUUAAUCAAUAAAUUAAUAUUUAUUAAUUUAAAGAAUGGUUUGAGAUUUAACAAAGGUUAAUUUUGAUUAUAUCAAAAUCAUUGUAUUUUACUAAUUUAUGUAUUAUAUUUAUUGAUUUCAUAUAAAAAAAAUUAUACAUAAAGUACAACAAAUUAAUACAUCAAAAUCAUUAUAUCUUACUAAUUUAUGUAUAAUCAUGCAAACAAAAGGCAUGGAUGACAAGUGUGCUUUUUGAUGAAUAUAUUUGUUGGUUUGACCACAAAAUGCAUGGUAGACGAGUUUUGCUUAUGGUAGAUAAUUGUUCAGCCCAUAAUAGAAAUAUUGAAGGACUACAAAAUGUUGAAUUGUUUUUCUUUCCACCCAACAUGACAUCCAAAAUUCAAUCUUGUGAUGCUGGGAUAAUAAGAGCUUUCAAGAUGUAUUAUCGUAACAGAUUUUAUCGUAGGAUAUUAGAAAGCUAUAAAGUGGGACAAACUGAUCCAACAAAGAUUAAUGUUUUGGAUGCUAUCAAUUUUGCAAUCCCUGCUUUGACAACAAAUGUUCAACAAGAGACAAUAUCAAAUUGUUUUCGACACUGUAAUUCGUUUGGGGAAUGCAAUCUUAGAGAAUUUGAAUGAAUCCACUUGUGAAAAUAUCAUUCAUGAACUUGAGGUCAUGAUUAAUGAUCUCGGUUACCACAAUAAAAUUGAUGUCAAUAACAUGUUGGAUUAUUCGGGUGAAAGUGAUACAUGUUCAGAGGUCCAAAACUUAAAAGAAAUUGUGGAUACCAUCGGAAAAAACAAUGUUGAUGAUGAAGUUGAAGUUGAUACUAUAUCUUUGGAUCCAGUUAUUGGUAAAUAAUCACUUAUCGCAUCUAGAUUUUUUCACAAUUUUAUGAUGCAGUUCAAAAAGACAAUAACAGAACUCUUGGAUGCAAUAAGAAAAGUUAGAGAUGAGCUUCAACUAGAUUUGAAUUUUAAGGGAAAAAACAGAACACAAUAGAAUCAUAUUUCACUAAAUUGUCUUAGAUAUAUUUGUAAUUUUUAAGAAUUAUUAAUUUAUGAUAUUAGUGGAACCAUAUAUUUAUAUAGGGUCUUCUGAAAAUAUAUUAUCUUAUUAUCUUAUAUAGCAUAUAUUAUUUGAAAAUUACGUUAAGAAUACUAUUAAUCACAUGAACUAAGUUUCUUUUUAUCACAAAGCUGGUCCACCUGUACUUACAAAUGCAUUUAUAAAUUUGUGUUGUUGGCUGGCCAAUUGACCGGUUUGCCCUUAUUAUUUUAUUUUUUAGAAUUUAUUUUUAUUUUAAUAUUUUCCUUUUUAAAUAGUACUAAAAAUAAAUUUAAAAUAUUACAAAUUUGGUUAACUCUCAAAAUUUCACGCAUACUGUAUAAUUGAGAUGGGGUAACAUAUAUUAUUUGAAAAUUACGUUAAGAAUACUAUUAAUUGCAACUUAAAGUAUUUAAAAACAUAUGAAUUAGAACAGCUUGGGAUCAAAUUUCAAAAUUUACAAAGAGGGAAACUUGCUUUAGGUACUUAGGGUCAAGUUUAGAAAUUUAUAAAGACGGGAACUAAUCUGAAAUUUAACCUUCAUAUACUACUUUAUCUAAUUUGAUGGUUCUCUUCAUUAAACAACAAGUGUGUAGUGUUGUCUUUCGCUUCACUUUCCCUAAAAAUAUUUUUUAAUUUAAAACUCAAACAAUCUCAAAUUUAAAUUAAUAUUGAUAAUUUAGAAAAAUGUGAAACUUUUGAAAUUUCAUAUGCACUACAUAAAUUGAAAAAAAAAGUAACAUAUAUUAUUUAAAAAUUACGUUAAGAUUUAUAAAUCACACAUAUAAAUAAUCAAAUAAAGUAACAAUUAUUGGCCCGUGAUUGCACAAGCUCAUUGUAUCUAGUAUAUUAUAAGCAUAUAUUUUAUAAAAAUAAAUAUGUACAUUAUUUUUUUUAAAAAGGUGUCCUAAUUGACAUGGGAUACUAGGAAAAUAUAGGGAGGAAAAUUUAUAUUUGUGCCCUGAAACCCAUAAACCUUGUUUUGGUUGAGAGCUCCAUGGACACGGAGAUGGGCGGCGCUGAAUCGAAGAAGCCAAUUUGUGCAGAAGAAGAAGAAGAUCCAUGGAAGAGGGAGUUGCCACAGAAAUACUUGGCGAAUGAGAAUCUGUGGAAUGACGACGAUUUUAUCCCCAAAACCGCUUCAAAGGAUAAUCGUGAUUUGUUUCGCAAAAUUUAUGGAAGAUACUUCCGUCAGAUUCUCCAAUCCGAUGUUUGUCUCCCUUUACUUAUCCGAAUUAUUGCUCCAUAAGUUGUUUAAUUGGGGUUGAAUUUCAUGGGAGUUGUUUUCCCCCUUUUUCGUAGGGUGUUUAUUUGGGGCUAGCAUGAUAUUGUGAUUAUGAUAGGACCUAGAGAAAUAAAAUUGAGUGAUUAGACUUAUACUUGCAUAUUUCAUAAUCUAAAUCCCUGUAUUUCAUCUAUGCAUCUCUACCUCGUCGAGGCAUUGCUAAGGCCUGCGUGCACUCUAUCAUCCCUGGGUGGGAUGGCAUUGUGGGAUUUCACUGGGUUUGUUGUUGCAAUAUAUGAAAUUCUCACAAUCAGAAUUGCCAUAGUUACUUAUUCUCUGUUUGUUCUUUACAACUCUUUCUCUUCCGCAGACGUUAUAGAUGUCCCAUGCUUGUCUGACCUGACCUAAUUCAGAACAAACUACAAUUUGAAUGCUUUGAGUAGCCUUUUAGCCAACUCAGGUCUGUCUAGGGGCACUUUUACCCAUAAUGUAUGUUAGAGUAACAAUUCUUAGCCUCUGCUAAUGGACCAAAUACUAGAAGAGAAUUUUCGCUUUGGAUUUCUUUACCGGAUUGAAUAUCAACUUUUUUCGCUUUCACUUGCUUUAACUUACCGUCUAUAAUAUAAAAUCUGGGACAGUUCAUCAUGUACCAUUCAAUUAGACCUCUCCUUUUGUUACAGCUUGGAUAUGACUUAUGAGUUCAUGACUUAUUGGCUUAUUUGACAGGGUUUCGACAUUGACAUUUAUCCUGGUGAUGCUAAGGCAGCUAUGUACAUACCAUAUCUGGAUUUUGAGAAAGAAACUGACUUGCUGAUGGAAUUGGCUAACCAUGCUAUUCAGGAUUACAACAAUAACGAAACCAAUGUAUGACUCUGUUCCUCUUUGCUUUGUGUAAAUAAUAUCCCUCAAACCCUCAAUGACGUUACAAUAUUUUCUCUAUGCCUUGCAGGUUUACAAGUACAAAGUUAACUAUGUUGAAACAGUGAACUUUAUUUUGGCUGAAUGUCGUGAAUUUUUCAUGACUGUUAAAGUUAGUAACCUGACUUUGCGUACACCGAUUGAAACUUUUCAAAUCCAUGCAUAUAAAGGACCACACGAGGAGAAUGUUGUCCGUCUUUGUAGAAAAAAGACGUUGAGAUGAUGAGGUAUUCAAUUUCCUCCCAACUUUUUUCUUUUCAUUGUUUGUGUGAGGGGUAAAAACAAACCAUAUUUACCUAUACUUGGUUGCUAAUUUACCUUGGUUUGUUUUUUCUCGACUAUUUUGCAGUUGGUUUAUCGGCUAAGCUAAAUUGGAGGAGGCUAGGAAAGAUAGUUGAAACUAUAGUUUUUUAAAUCUUAGAUCGAACCGGUUAUUAUUAAUUAGUUGUAGAAGUAUUUGAUAAAUUUUUAGACGUUGUCCAAUUUAUGUAGUGUUACGUAUAUUGUUCUAGUUUUUUUGAAAUGCAUGAUCAUUCACUAGUCUUUGUGGACAUGGAUGAAGAAAUCAUCUAAGGGAUCUAUACUAAUGGAAUUGUUUACAACUAGACAUUGUGCACAAUUGUCAAGGAGAUACUUACAAUUAAUGGUUGAAGGAAAUAUAUAUAAAAAUUAAAAAAUCAAUAUCGAAAUUUUGGCUUUAUAUAAUAAAAGGACUCUCCUUUCUUUUUUAACAACAUUUUAGUUUUUAAAGCUGUUAAAUUUUUGUAAAUAUAUUUGACAUAACUUUAAUUUAAAAUUAUAAGAUUAAUUUUUUUUUAUUUUUUUUAAACUUGGUACUAAAUUUAGGUCCUUAUAUUUUUAACCAAACGGAGGGAGCAAGUGCAUUAGUCUAAUACGUGUGCACAAGUCAAGUCUCCAUUCAUUUUAUGCAAGCACGUGCAGUAAGCAUAUUCUCAGUUUGACUAUGUCCAGUUUUCAAUCCAAGAAAAGACUAUGUCCAGUUUUCAAUCCAAGAAAAAAAAAAAGAUGGGAUAUUUUAGAUGAUUGAAAAAUUAUUUUACAUAUGAUUUGUUGCACCCAAAUCCAUUCCAUAGAAUUCGGAUCUCCAGAUUUACUAUCUUGAUGUUGGUGGGUUGACUUUUUGUUUCUCUCCCCCACCUCGAUGAGGGAAAUGGUGAAUGAUAUCAAGAACACUGCAAAUGACAAGAAAAAUCCAAAAUUAACUUUAUUACCUCUUAUUGCUCUCAUUUUCUAUGAUGUUUCAGGUGGACCUUUUGGUAUUGAAGAUUCAGUUAAAGCAGGUGGUGGCCCUUUAUUACCUUUACUUGGUUUCUUGAUUUUCCCUUUAUUAUGGAGCAUACCUGAAGCUCUAAUCACAGCUGAAUUAGCCACAAGUUUCCCUCAAAAUGGUGGUUAUGUCAUUUGGAUAUCAUCAGCUUUUGGCCCCUUUUGGGGUUUUCAAGAAGGGUUUUGGAAAUGGUUUAGUGGUGUUAUGGAUAAUGCUCUGUAUCCGGUACUCUUCCUCGAUUACUUGAAGCAUUCUUUACCCAUAUUUACUCAUCUAAUUGCAAGAAUUCCGGCUUUGUUAGGAAUUACAGUUUCGUUGACAUAUAUGAAUUAUAGAGGACUGCAUAUUGUUGGUUUUUCGACUGUUUUGCUUGCAAGUUUUUCGCUUUUACCCUUUUUAGUAAUGGGGAUUCUAUCGAUUCCUAGGAUUAGGCCAAGAAAGUGGUUUGUUGUGGAUUUUAAAAAGGUUGAAUGGAGGGGAUUCUUUAAUAACAUGUUUUGGAAUUUGAAUUAUUGGGAUAAGGCUAGUACUGUAGCAGGGGAGGUUGAAGAUCCUAGUAGAACGUUUCCAAAGGCGUUGCUCGGGGCUGUGGUUUUGGUGGUUUUGUCUUACAUAAUUCCACUUCUUGCCGGUACAGGAGCGUUGAAUUCUAAUCCUAGUGAGUGGAGUGAUGGUUAUUUUGCAGAAGCUGGAAUGCUUAUUGGGGGUUUAUGGUUAAAAUGGUGGAUUCAGGCUGCAGCUGCAAUGUCUAAUAUGGGGUUGUUUGAAGCUGAAAUGAGUAGUGAUGCCUUCCAACUUCUUGGGAUGAGCGAAAUCGGAAUGCUUCCGUCUAUAUUUGCUUCAAGGUUUGACAAAUUUUCAAUUGAUACUUUGAAUAUUACAAGCUAGAGAUUUUCCUUGUGUGACUUAGUGAUAUUCAACUGAGGUAGAUCAUAAUCAUCAAACAAUGAACUCCUGUUGUCCCAAUUGACGUGGCACCCUUUUUCUUUUAGUCUAUCUCAAAAAGAAUGUCAUCUUUUUAUAACUAGAAACAACUUCCACACAAAUGUCCAAGGUUUGUUUUAGACCACAAAUUUCAAAAGUUUAUCACCUUUCUUUUUUAAAUUUUGGGUCAAGUCGAAACGGUGCUACUCAAAUUGAGACGGAGAGAGUAUUUAAAGAAGAAAAAUCAAGUCUUAGGAGUACCUUAGGAAAGGUGCAGACACAGUAUAAAAAUGAGGACUUGUUAUUUAAGGUUUUCAUAGAUUGAUAUCUGGAUUUAAGUAUAAUGAACAUUACUAAAGGGAAAUAACAAAUUUACAAUUUAGCGUGGUGGCUUUCUUAGUCUAUUAUCACAAGACAAGUUAUUACUUCAAAUCUUGCAGAUCAAAAUAUGGGACACCAACUAUCAGCAUCUUAUGCUCUGCAACCGGCGUAAUCUUUCUGUCAUGGAUGACUUUUCAAGAAAUCUUGGAAUUUCUUAACUUCCUCUAUUCAGUAGGAAUGCUUCUUGAGUUUGCAGCCUUCAUAAAUUUAAGGAUAAAGAAGCCAGAUCUUCAUAGACCUUAUAAGGUCCCGUUGCAAACGGUUGGAGCAACGCUGCUUUGCCUGCCGCCUUCUCUGUUGCUUCUUUUUGUCAUGUAUCUGGCUUCUUUAAAGACGUUUAUAGUAAGUGGCUCAGUCAUUAUUCUAGGGCUGUUCUUGUAUCCUGCCGUGAUGUAUGCAAAGGAGAAAAAGUGGUGUCAUUUUAAUACAAGAGAACAAUUGGGACUUUCUAAUGAUCUUGAGGACCGAUCAUCACCUACUGAACUUGAUCAGGUUGUUGCUGAUGAUGCGUCUCUUAGCCUACUCGGACACUCUAAGACAGUACAAGAUUCUAAAACUUUGUCACAAGAAAUUUCAACAGUGGAUUAGAAGAUACUUCCAUAUUUUGUGUACAUUUAAACCAGAAGGGGGAGCUUUGGUGCAACAAUGUGACCUAGAGGUAAUGGGAUCUCUCAAUCGUGAAGACAGUAGAAAUGCAAGGUAAGAUUGCGUAAAAUAGAUCCAAUCUGAUCCAACCCUUCACUUAGGGACCUUUAUGCACCAGGCUGCCCCUUUUUUUUACCAGAACGGAUUUAUAUUUACAUAGUUCAAGCUAGGAAAGGUAUGCUUUUACAGAAUGAGCCAGACACUAUGGGAGGAAAAGCCCAAUUAGAUUUAUGUAAACUCUUUGAAUACCUUAUAUCUGAUGUGAAACACUACAUAACUUAUCAAUACAAACUCUGUACAUACUUUUGGUACAUCACACCAAUCUGAUUUCACGUAAAUGUUUAAGGGAUCGAGCACACCAGAUUCAUGGCAGCUAACUGGUCUUCAAAUUUCACAUAUUAUUUUCUCUUUAAUAAAAUGUCAAUCUACUUCAACAUGUUUUGUCCUGUCAUGUUGAUCAGGAUUCUGAGCAAUUUGUAUAGCUGAUGACUUGUUAUCACACCACCAAAGAAGUUGGCAAAUUCCCUUUGUGAAUUCUGCCUCUGCGCUAGAAAAAGUCACCACGUUCUAUUUCUUGCUUCUACAAGUCAAAUUAGCUGAUGUUGAUCUUCCAGCGCCCAGUCUGCGUCUGUAUAGCCAUCAAUAUUCAAAUGAUUGUGUUUCUUGAACACAAGUCCUCUUCCAGGAGACGACUUUAAAUCUUGUCAACAAGUUGUGAUACUGAAACCUCCCUUUGUUUGUUGGCAGAUGCUCUUUUAGUCCAUCAUUUUAGACUAAAGUAGUGUCAUCUGCUCUGCAAUUGACCAUUCAUGUUUCUGUCAAUAAGUCAACAACAUUUUCUCUACGGGAAAGGAAAAAUACUUUUGCUACAUUGGACAACCUCUCACUACAGCAAAAACAACCUUUAGUUAACGGUAAUAACUUAAUUUAGUGUCAGCUAGCACUCUUUGUAAAUGUCCUUAAAGCCUAUAGCGACAUUGAAUUCAAUGACAAUUAACUAGUGUCAAUAAAGGCUUCAACACUCUUUGUUAAUGUGUAUUUUUAUUGUCCCGAAAAGUUAUUUUUACUGUAGUGUCUGUCCUAAAAAAAUACUUAAGUCCUCCAAGGUUCUUCAUUUUGAACUUUAUAUGUAGCUAAAUAUCCUUGCAACUUCUUAAUCUCUUUUUUUGUCAUAUCAUCAACAUGGAUAAUUAAGGUUGUCACCAUACUGAUUCUAGAAUAAGGUGUGUGUUCAAUAUUGCUUUGUUUAUAACCUCGUGUCUUCAUGGCCAAGUUAAAGAAAAUUUUAACAUACGCCUUAAAAAAAAACUUUAAUUAGAGCUAAUUGACUUGACACACCUUAAAAAAAUAAUUUAAUUAGACAUAUAUUUUACUAAAUUAAUUUUAUUAAUAAUGUUUUGGAACUUUAUAUUGGACUACUAUUAUUUUUGGUCAUUUAAUACUAAGGAUAACUUGAAAAGGAAGUCUUGAUUUGCGAAAAUGGACAAUUAAAUUAAAAAUUGAUUUUUAGUAAUAAAACAGAGGGAGUAGCAAUAUUACUAAUAUAUUGUAUUCAACACUAUUCUUAUAUUGUUACACACUAUCAAACGACCCCUAAUAGUUUUAGUUAGAUCUAGUAACACGUAUAGGUUAGUUAUUAUCUUGAUGAAUACAUGCGACUUGCGAGUUAGUUUUUACUUUUUGGGUGUGUUUGAUAUGAAGAAAAUUGUUUUUCAAUUUUCUCAUGUUUGAUUGGCUUAAAUAUUUUGAAAAAUGUUUUCCAAAUCAACUUAUUUUCCUCAAUUUAAGGAAAAUGACUUCCCUUUAAAAAGUAACGAAAACAUUUUCCAAAAUUAUUUUGAACCUCACACCUCAACUUUAAAUCCUAACUUAAGUCUCAAGUAUCGAUUUCCAAUACUAAUCCUAGAUAUGACUCAUGAUUCUCGAUUCGACAUCCGACUCUCGACCUCGAUUCAAGAUCCAACUCCAAAAUUUCAAAUUGAGUCGGGGUCAAAUCUCAAGUUAGAAUUAGAGGUUGAGUUUCGAGUUGAGGUUGAGUCUUGGGUCGAGGUCAGGUCUCGGGGUCGGGAUCGGGAUCGGGGUCGAUUCUCGAGUUGGGUGUCAAUGUCAGGUUUUGGGGUCGGGGUUAUGUCUCGUGGCCUGGACUUGGGCUCGGGUCUCGAGUUGGAGUCGGGUCUUAGGUAGGGUCUUGAGUUAGGUAUCAGGGUCGGGGUCGGGUCUCAGAUCACAUGUCAAGGUCAAGGCCGGGGUUGGAUUUCAAGUUGGGGUCGGGGUCAGGGUAGGGUCUUGGGUCGGGGUCAUGUCUUCGGGUUGAGGUCGGGUCUUGAGUCGGGUGUCGGGGUAUGGUCUCGGGUCGGGGUCGGUCUCGGGGUCGGGGUUGGGUCUCGACUCGGAGUAGGGGUCGAGUCUCAGGGUUGGGUCUCGAUUCAGGUAUUGGGGUGGGUUUCGGGGUCAGGGUCGGGUCUUGAGGUCACGGUCAAGUCUCAGGUCAUGGGGUUCAAUCUCGGGUCGGGUGUCAGGUCGCGGUUAGGUCCUGGGUCGGAGUCAGGCGUCGGAUAGAGUGUCAGGGUUGGAUUAUGUUUCAAAAGUUGGAUCUUUAGUCAGAUGUUGGGGUCACUAGUCGGGGUCAGGUGCAGAUGUCUGGAUCAUAUUCCAAUUCGAUCGUCGAGUUUCUAGAGGGAUUAGGUCAUGGGUUUAGUCUUGGGAUAGUGGUCCUGAUUCAGGUCAUGGUCAGGGUCAGGGUCAGGUUUCAAUGCAAAUGCUAAGUCUCAUGUUGGGAAUAAGGAUCAGGUUCUGAAUCGAGUGUUGGGGUCAAGUGUCAAAUCGAUUAUCGGGGUUGAUUUUCACAUCAUAAACUAUUUUCUAAAAAGUAUUUUCUACUCUCUAUCCAAAAAUAAAAGAUACUUUCUGUAAAGUAUUUUUCAUUCACUAAUCAUACACUAGAAAAUAUUUUUUCGGAAAUUAUUUUGUACUACCAAUCAAACAUGAGAAAAUAAGUUAGAAAAUAUUUUCCAGGAAAACUUUUGUCGUGGAAAUCAUUUUCCUUCCUAUCAAAUACACCCUUUACCUUAUAUGAUUCAUGAUUGCAACUUUUCGAGUCCGAAAACUAAAAAUAGAAAUGAACAGGCUAUAGAUUGUAUGAUUGUAGUUUUCGAGCCUAAAACUUAAAAGGAAUAAUUCUAGAGGGUUUUAGUUAACAACACCGGUAUGGAAAAUUUGAAUUUGAAAUUUGAGAAAUAUUAGUAGAUUUUCAACUCUUAAAUGGGAAAGAAAAUAAAUAUGGUAUCUUCUUUUUCCGUAACUAACUACUAAGGGUGUGUUUGGUUUGAAGGAAAACAUUUUCUUCCAAAUCAACUUAUUUUCCUUAAAUUUAAGGAAAAUGAGUUCCUUAAAAAAGUAAGGAAAACAUUUUCUAGACUAGCCCCCAGACCCCAUCACCCAUCACCCAUCAACCCAAAAUAUUUAAAAUUUAUUUUUGAAAAAACUUCAAAUUUUAAAAAUUUCAGUUUGUUUUUGAAAAAUAUUUCAAAUUUUAAAAUUUCAUUUUUUUUUUCAUACUUCAAGUAUGCUCUUAAUUUUGUUGAACCCUCUAAUUAAGCUAAGAUGAAAAGGAAAAGACCAACCGAGCAAGACAAGAUUCAGGUAGAUUUUUUGAAGAGCAUAGGUGAAGUAAAUAUUGAGUGGGUCGAUUGAGUUGUUUAAUAUCAUAUUUAGGACGACUGAAAUGCCAGAAGAAUGGAGGUGGAAUACAAUGGUUCUAUUGUAUAAGGACAAGUGUCACGGGCCUAUUUUCUAAGGUCUCGUGGGACAGCGAAGGAGGGCUUGCACAGAUCCUCGUAAGCUCAGUCCUAACACAAAGAAGUACUAUAGUGCAACAACAAAAUCAUCUACAAACAGUCCACUCAAACAGCCAACAAGAAAGCAAAAUAAGAAAGCAAGUUUUGGAAGGCAAGUGCCAAUUUUCUUUGUAUUUUCUCCAAGUGUUCUUCUUACAAGUGAAGUCUUCCAAUAUAGUCUAAAAGCUGUAAAAACAAAGCUAAAAACGUUAUGGGACAAGUUCCUAAAAGAAAGGACUACAAGGGUGUCUUUACAAAGUCAAAGAUUAGGUUGGAUAUUGUGGAGUGUCCCUUAUCACAAGUCAGCCUUGUCCCCUCUGCUGGGGCCCAUUUUGGCUGAAAGUCAAGGCUACUACAUGCUCAUCAUCUCCAAGUCAUCUCCGAAAGCUGGAAAAUAAUUGACACGCCGUUUGAGACCCGCUGAAGCGCAACGCGAAUCUGCCACACCCUUGGAACUACUGAAAUUUAAUGUAGCUCUUUGCGGGGCGGUACACAAGGGUGAUAUUUAGAAUUGCAACAACUAUAGCGGUAUCAAGAUACUAAGUCAUACUACAAUAGUUUAUGUCUAUCUACGAGAACUAAUUAAAAUUCAUAUUGGGGUGAUUAACUACAAAUUAUCCGAAAUCUUGCAAGAAAAUAGAAUUUCAUAUUGAGCUUCAAACAUAUGUUAUUGUGAUGGCUCUUACUGGCUCCCCCCCUCCCAAACAACAUGUGUAAGCUCCCCCCGCUUAUGACUUAAGUGACGAAGUCCAUUUCCUUCGCACUUAAUAAGCAUUUUGUUGUAGUCAAGCUUACUGCUAGCCUAUCGCAUAAAGCCCAAGCUUCGAUCGUGAUUAGUCAUCGCUUUUGGCCACCUUAUUUCGUCAUUUAUUAAUCUUAUAAGAAUAUUUGUUGAGUAAUGUCAACAUACUGCAUAUGGCAAGACCCACGAGGGGUUAGGUGGCCCAGGUCAGAGUCAUGAUUGAACACGACGCUUGCUUGGUGAACUUAGUUAAGAAAUAAUGUUGUGCCUUUGCUAUAAACUAUAACUUUUGGCAUGAUAAUAAAUGCUUGAUCCUAAUAAGUGGUAUCAGAGCCAAGGUCGUGAAUUUGAUUCCCAAGAGCAACAUUUUGCACGAGACAAGUGUUGGGAGGGGGAUUGUUGAGUAAUUUCAAUAUCCUGCCAAUUGUUGACACCCAAUUUUGACAUAACAUUUUCAAGAUUCUUAACUUCUAAGUUUUAUUUAUUCAAUAAUUCAAAAUAUAUUUUUUAUAAUUUUAAAUAAAUUUAUCGAUAUUUAUCCUUAUUUAUCAAAAUUUUAGAUUUUUUAUCUGUUUAUUUUAACUACAUUACUUUUUGUCACAGCCGAUUGAAUACGUUCAAAGAUUUGUUCAUUUUGAUUAAAUCAUUAUUUAUGUUAAAUUGCAUUGUUUUACACAUCAUGAGUUACGUUCAUUACAUUUAUUAAUAUUCAUUUUAUUCAUUACUUUUAUUAAUAUCAAUUUUGGUUUUUUUAGCACAGUCUAGAAAAACUAUUAAAUUAGGAUAAUAAUUAUAUACACAAAUAUUUUAUUUAACCAACAAUUUUGGGUCAUAAUCUCAAGCCACAAUUUGAGUCCAUUGUAAAAUUAUUUCCUAUAUAAGUUUUGAUUAGAUUAAAAAAUAAAGGGGGUAGUGAACAAUAUUUUUAGACUAAGGGGUGAAAACUUUUCAAAAUAGAAAAAUACCCUACAAGUUUCUCCUCCUAUUUUUUGGCACAAAGACAGCCGCCACCCAACCCCCAUUUUCCAUUCUUCUCCAAUCAGUCAUUGCCUAAAAUGAAAGACACCACUAUCUAGCCACCCACAACCAUGAAAAUACAAGCAACCCCAAACCUCCGGCAACCCCAAACAGCUGCAACAACUCCUACCGUCGAAAACCACCUCAACGCCACUUUAACUCCAGCAGCGAACAACAACCAGACCAAAGCCCUCUUUAUCUUCACCUCUUUUUCGGUGAAAUAAUCACCGGAAAUGAACCCAAAACCACCAGACCCCUUGUUUCUCCUUUAGCGAAACCACCAGACCCUAUAGCGUCAACACGAAGCUCCACCACCGAAGAAAAUGAUGAUGCGAACCAGUCCCCUCCCCUCCCUUUUUACGAUUUUGUUUUGUUUUUAGGUACUCACGCUCGAUAUAUCGAAAUAGCGAGCCCUCACACUCUUGCGAGCCACUCAUGUCGCGAACAAGACCACCAAACAACCUCUAGCACGCUACCAGUGAGCUUUAAAGUUCCGAUUACUAUGAAGCUUUGAGCAAGUGAAACCCAAGAGCCUACAGAUUUGGAUAGAUUUUCAUUUUGACGGUGAUUAACUUGAUUUUUGGAAAACUUCAUCUUCUUUGACUAUCUUUGCUGCUAUUUUACACUGUUUAUUUCAUUCUUAAGGUCGAUUUGCCAUUGCUUGUUGAUUUGGUGAGAUCCGAACUUCAAUAGUAUUGUCAUAUUUUGCUUAGAUAUUUAUUUUAUUGUUUAUUUUUCUUAGUUUUUCUACUGUUACUAAGUUAAUUUUAUUUCUUUCUUGGAUAGGUUUUGUGCAUUCUUUAAUAUUUUGAUAAUGGGUAGCAUGUUUUGGUUAUCAUGUUUAUAUAUCGUUUUAAACUCUGGUUAAUUUUGUAUAUUGUUUAGUUUUAUUGAUAAUUGUUCAAAAUGAGUUUUAAUGAAUUUGUAUAUUGAUUUAAAUGUCGUUAGUUAAUAUUUUUGCAUUUCUCUUUUGAUAAAUUUUUGUUUGUUGCUUGCUGAUCAUGUUAAUAUUAUUAAUGUUGGUCUUAUGUUGUUAUUUUUGUUUUUAAUAUUUGUUGUUAUUGUUAUAUUAAAAUUGGCCAGUGAAAAAAUCUCUCCGUCGAUUUUGGAGGCCUCCCCAUUUUAAAAGACAGAAAUUUUAGUUUAAGUGUAUAUCCAUUAUUUGUUAAAAUUGGCCGAUGAAGAAAUUAUUGACGAUUUUCAAGGCCUCCAUGUUAAUAAGACUGAUUUUUAUUUUGAAGUUUUUAUUUGAUUUAUUUAAUUUUAUUCAUAUUUAUUUAUUGCUAAUACUUUUACUAAGUGUCUUUACAGGUACCCGGAAAUGUUUCCCAUUGAAGUUAUUCGAAUGGAGUUCGAGUUAUAUCUUUUAUUUACUAUUGUGUAUGUUAUCAAUGUUAGUCAAACCUUAGGACAUUUUUGAUAUUAUUAUUUUGUUUUAUUACUUGUGUAUAUCGUAUAUUUGUUUUACUUCUAUAUUGUUUUUAUUUCCUCCUCAAUUUGAAAAAAAUGAAUUUAGUCGGGACUCACAUUUGUGUAUUUCGAAGGAUGCCUAACACAAUCCCUUCAAAAUAACUUGAACCCCUUACCUAGAAUCUCUUGGUUGCGUAGAUCACUUAAAUGAUUUCCUAUUUUUUCCUAAAAUUAGGUGGCGACUUCUUUAAAACUCUUAUUUCCUUAAAAUUCUUUUAAAAUCAAAUUAAUUGAUUAUUCUUUGAGACACCACGGUGUUUCUCCUUAUUUGAAUAAAAUAGGGGUGAAAACAGAAUGGCGACUCCGCUUGGGAACGUUGUUGACACUCAAUUUCGACUCUCCCCGAUAAUAAUUAAUUUCUGAGCUUCUUAGUUUUGAAAUGAUUUAGAACAACUAAUUUUAUCAAAAUCCAAAUAUUUUUCAAGUUUAUUUUAAAGUAAUUUUAUUAAUUUUAUAUUUUUCAAAUGAUAAAUGUGUUUUAUAUACUUUUUGUAUAUGAUUAGCAUAUUCUAAGUAUAUUCGAGGAAUUGUCUCAAAAGAGUUUGUUUUACUUAAAUAUUUUGUUAAGUUAGUUUAUUUUAGGUAUGAUUAUAAUCGUGAAUAAAUUAUUUUAUAAUUAAGUUAACUAUUUUAUUUCGGUAAGAUCAAGAAGCUCAUAAAUUAAUUAUAUCAAUCCGUGUUACUUAAUUACUAGUCGAGAUUACCUUUUGACCGAUUUUGACUACAUCGCUAAUUCCCAAUUGGCUACAAUUUAAAUUUAUAUGGCCAAAACAUAGUUUUGUCCUUAACCAUAUUAAGGCCAAAGUUUUGGGACCCUUUGCUUGACAUUUCUAGCAACCCAAAUCCAGACCGUCCCACUUUAAUUCCAAUUAACCAAUUCCUCUUCUCCAAUUUUCAAUCGACCCAUCCCACUCUUUCACUCAUAACCCGACCCAAUUUCUUCAGCAGAGAAACCCAUCAAUUCUUUUCUCCUCUUUCACGUUAACAAUAACAAUACACAACAUCUCACAAGGCGACAACAAGAACGGAUAUAAACGCCACGAAAUACAAGCGGUAGCAGACGAUGCUUUCACGCCUCGAAACGGCGUCAAUGGUACAGCUCUAUCUGCGUCUCCCUCAACUCGUACAACAGAAGCAGAUAUGCUUUUCAAUCCUGCCAGCCACGUCUCGUCCUUGACUCGCGUGGAUGGACGCCACGUCGAGUGUCAAGGACGACCAACCGAUCAAGAUCGUCCGCGUCCUUUUCACUGGAAAUCGGGAUUCUCGUACAAAUAACAGCUUUUCCCCAUCCUUUGGAAAGAGAUUCAAAUGGAGAUGGGAAUUUCAGAAUUCCUAUUCUCGCCUUUUCCCCCCAAAAUCGAAAACCCUAGACUGCCCCCUAUAUAUCUUCCUUCUUCUUCAUUGUAAGUGUUGGAAUUUUUUUAACUUAGGCAACGAAAAUAGCUAAAACACCAUACUAAAUAUACUUCAAGGAAAAAUAGAGGAGAUACCUUUUUUUUUGUGCUUGGGUUUGAUAAUCUUGCCCAAACUUCUCGGCUACUGUUCGUGCUCGAGUUUCCAUGGUGAAGGUUGUCUUUUCGCUUAUUUGGUCUCUGUUUCGCUGCCCCGAAAAAGGUGAGAAUCUCGCCUUUAUUUCACUUGUAGCUUUUUCUCUUCUCAACCUUUGUGUAUCUACUUCGGUCUCUCAAGUAGCUAUUUUCAUUAAGAUGUCUUUUUGUCAUUUUUGAAGUGAUCUAGUGCUUACUUGAAUAUGCGUUUCUCUGUUUGUAGUUUGCUUAAAUCCUUAAUUGUUGUUCUCGUUUUAAGCUCGACCUAUUUAUUCGUUUAUCACUCUGACUUUGUUUUGUCUCCAUCGAUUUUGGAUAAUUUUUCUUGUCUUGUUUAUAUGUGCUGAAAAUGUCGAUGAAACUAUUAUGUUACUCCUUUGUGUAUUUUCAGGCAUAGAUUAGAAAUUCAUGCUGAUGUAAAUAGGCGUAUAUUUAUUUCACUUUUUACGAUCGUUUUAUAUUUUAGAUGAUUUCGUUAUGAGGCCCAUAAAUUACUUCUUCUAUAGUUCUUGUUCUAUCAAUGGUAUUAUGUUUUGUUUGCUGGAAUGAUAUCUGAAACGAAUGUUAAAACGUGUUCCCCCUCUCUUCCCCGUUUUAAUGAAGUUGUAAAGAUGUUGAAGCUCAUUUCCCGUUCAUGUUUGUGAGUUCUUAUCUUACUUUAUUAAUACUGUCUUUGGUGCAUGUGAAGCUUGUAAUUUAAUUUUUAGUAUCAUAUGAGUUGUUUGUCAUUUUGUUUAAUCUUAUGAGAGCAUAAGGUGUUUAUAUUUAUUAAAUUAUUAGGAGUUCACUGAUUACUAAGAAUGACAAAAAUUGUUUAUGUGCAUUUAUGCUGUAAUAAUGAGCUAAGUAUUUGUUUAUUGUGGGCUGUUCUAGAGUUUUAUUGUUCCCUUAACUUCACAUGUUUCAUUUUGGAUUUUAGUCAAAAGAAGCAUGCUUUGACCCUUUUAUUUUCUGUGACUUGCUAUCACUAGUAUGUAUCUGCUCCUUGAAGUGUUUGCUAUUAAAUCAUUAUUGGGUGUGUUGGUUUAUUCAAAGUCGCGUGAUCACAAGUUGAUCACAGCUUGACUAUCCUAAAUUGGAAAUCUCAAUUCUGGCUAUAGUAUUAGUUGUUUAAGGUCACUAAAUGUCAUAAAAAUAUAGACUUAAGGCCCUUGGUGAUAUACAUUGUCUUUCACUGUGCUUAUAUUGAAAUAGGGUAGUGAAUGAAUUCUGUUUUAUUUGGGUCUUUUCCUUAUAUUAGUCAUGAUUCUUACUUACUAGUUUUCACUUUGUGUUUGCAUGUAAAAUCUGCCCGAGUCCUCACAGACUCCGUUUUACUUUUCCGCUUUUCGAGAGAGUCGUAAAGACUCAAAUUCCUUUAUCGAGUCAGCCAACCAGCUGUAAAAAAUCGACGAACAGGUCCCAGUGUUGAAAAAAUAUGAAGCAGAUUGGAGAAUUGAAAAGAUUGGGCCAAAGGCCCACUCUUAGUUCCAAAAUUGUAUUUUGUUGCUUUUGGGCGUAAGCCCACUCACUUAUUAUUAUUUCUGUUAGAAGCUUAGGACAGGUGAAAGAAUUGGGCCUAAGGCCCAAAGAAAAAAUAUUCCUUUUAUGUUAGUUUAGGACAUGUGCAGGUGACUCAAAUGGGCCAAGGGCCCAAAUCUUCUCUCCCUAUCUCAUUUAUUUGUUAUUAUGCGUUUUAUGUGCUCACUUAAUUUUAAGGUUUCAAAAAUUCAACUCCCCAAAAGAUAACCAUUUUGAAUUAAAAAUUUAAAAUUAAAUAAACUUCUUUUAAUUUCUCUUAUUCAAGUAGGCGUAUUAUCUUAAAAAAAAUAAUUUGCCAAAUAGUUAAUUAUCGGAUAACCGCGUGUUAGCGGAUAUUUCAAGCGCUUUAAAACCCUUCUCGAAAUGCUAAUAUGAACCUCGAACCCAUUAAAUAUUUUCAAUUGAUUUCUGUUUUGAUCUUUUGAAAAUAAAUAGUUUUCUUAAUUCUACUUAAAAAUUAAGUGGCGACUCUUUAAAAUUAUCGCAUUCUUUUAAAACCCAAUAAAACACCUAUGGCUAUGAGGGGCUGGGUGUCCCAGAUCGGAAUAAUGAUUGGACAUGACGCUUGCUUGGUGGGCUUAGUUAAGAAAUAAAGUUGCGUCUUUGCUAUAAGCUAUAACUUUUGGCAUGAUGGUAAGCGCUUGAUCCUAACAAUAUUGCUACAGCAAUAUAAGGACAAAGAGAUUUACAUACGAUGCUCAUUGACCUAGAAAGGUUUACGAUAAAACCCCGAUAGAGGUCCUUUGAAUAUAUUUGGAGUGUAGAGGUGUACUUGUGGCCUACAUUGGAGCAAUUAAGGUUACAUACGAUGGAUCCAAGACUUGGUUAAAAUAGUGAGAGGUGACUCAGGAUCCCGAUCAUGAUAGGAUUGCUUGAGGAAUCAAUGCUUAACUCGUUUCUAUUCAUCUUAGUAAUGGACAAAUUAACACGAAAUAUUCAAGGGGAGGUAUUGCGAUGUAUGUUAUUCUCAGGUGGCAAAGCAUUGAAUGAUGAGACACUGAUGGAGUCAACAAUAGGCUGAAAGUUUGGAUACAAGCUCUAGAGUGCAUGUUCAGUAACAUAUCACAUGAGCCGAAGGUGAAGAUUGAUGCACAAUUCGUACCUAAAAGAGAAAAUCUCAAGUAUUUUGGGUCAAUACUUCAAAGAGAUGGAGAGAUUGAUGAUGAUAUCACACAUCGUAUUGGAACAAAGUGGUUAAAAUGGAGGCGCAUCUCUGGGGUAAUAUGCGAUAAAAAUGUGUUGCUAAGGCUUAAAAAUAGUUACAAAGUGAUGGUUAUACUAACAACAUUGUUGUAUGAGGCAUAGUUCUACUCAGUCACCAAUGUCCAUGCUCAAAAGAUGAAGGUAUCAGAAUGGAGAUGCUCAGAUAGAUGUGUGGUUAUGCUUGGUAAGAUAUGAUUAGGAAUGAAGUCAUAUGAGACAACAUUAGAGUGACCUCUAUGGCAGACAAUUAGCGACUAGACUAUACAUAACACAACUUCAACUUACCGAGAACAUGACCCCUAGAUAUGAAUGUUUGGAGAGGUUGAAGAUUAGGAUAAAAAGUUAGCAAAUAGCCAAGUGCUAAUGCACAUCAUGUAGGAAAGGUAGGGGAUAUCUAGCCUUGUCCUCUCCUCGAUCUCCUUAUUAGUAAUAUUAUUUAAUAGUGGCGUAAUUUCAUUUUUUAGUAUAUAUUACUUCAUUUGUUUUGUAUCUUGCUAUUUUUAAUGUCAUUUUCUUUCUUGCAAUCCUUGUUUGAAAAAAAUUUCCUUUAAAUUGAGGGUUUAUCGAAACAACUUCUCUACCUCCUAUCAAGGUAGAUGCAAGAUUUGCGUAUAUCGUAUUCUCUUGAUACAAUUAAAUAUAAUCUUAAAAUAUUUAAAAAUUUUGUACUCGAUUAAACACGUGGAAUAAAAAUGAAAUUAUAGAUAACUAAGAAAGAGGACACGGUAGUCAAAAAUUAGAAGGAGCUGACAACGCACAAAACGGAUAAAGCAGUAUUUCGCUUUGGUAUAUAUUGCGCGACUAGUUUUGUAAGAGAUAGACGCGUAAAGGGUAGGCUGUGAUUAUUCCGUGUUUGUCUUUUUCAAUACGCGCUUUUCCCCCCUUGACUCUCUCCCAACUCUUUUAACUAAAAUCCCUCUCUUCUUCCACUUUUUUUUCCCCCUAUUUUCUUCCUUCUCCUAUCUUCUUCUUCUCUCUCUCUCACACACACACACACACAAAAGUUUGGGAUUCAGAUUGUAAUUGAACGGAAUAAUUACAGAUGAUGAGAUUGUGUUAUCGGCCGUUGGAAAGGUGUUUUGGAAGGCGGAGUGGUGAUGGACUUUUGUGGCAUACGGAUUUGAAGCCUCAUGCAUCUGGUGACUUUUCUAUGGCUGUUGUUCAGGCUAAUUCAUCUCUUGAAGAUCAAAGUCAAGUACUUACUUCUCCUUCUGCUACCUAUGUUGGUGUUUAUGAUGGUCAUGGAGGUCCUGAAGCUGCGCGUUUUGUUAAUAGACAUCUCUUUCCUUAUUUAAACAGUACGGUAUCUUUCUCUUUCUUAUUGCGAUAAUCUGUUGUUAAUUAGGUUUUUGUAUGUGUACGAUCUAGUUUAAAAGAGGUUAGGGAGAGAGAAUUGUGAUUUUUGUUAGUUUAAUUAUGAAAUGUUUUGUUGAUCAGUUGCGGUGAUACUUGAAUUUGCCUGAUUUUAUGUUGAAUUUUGUGUACCUCUUUUAUCUAGGGUUUAUUUUUAGGUCUUUAAAAGUUGUCUCCGUUUUACUUUUUAGUAUUUUUGGUUUUGUUUUCUGGUUGGAGAGUUCAAACAUUGGUGUUUUAGGUUAACAUUAGUAGCGUGGUCUAUUAAAAUGCGCAGUUACUAUUCGAUCACUACCUCUGUGGUUGAUAGAUUAGUAUUGUUCUUAUUUUGCAGUUUAUCUAAUUUAUUUGCUUUCAAUUUGGUGUAGAGUUUCAGAAAGAGCAAGGGUGUUUAUCAUCAGAGGUGAUAAAGAGAGCAUUUAAUGCAACAGAAGAGGAUUUUAUUCGAUUGGUGAAGCAAUCAUUGCCUUCAAUGCCAAAGAUUGCUUCAGUUGGAUCAUGUUGUUUGUUUGGUGCUAUUUCGGGAAGUGAAUUAUAUGUAGCUAAUUUAGGAGACUCGAGGGCAGUUCUUGGACGCAGAGGUUUUGACGGGGAGAGAAGUAAAGUGGUUGCAGAAAGAUUGUCCACUGAUCAUAAUGUUUCAUGUGAGGAGGUGCGGAAAGAGGUGGAAUCACUUCAUCCCGAUGAUCCAUCUAUAGUGGUCUAUUGUCGAGGAGUUUGGAGAGUUAAAGGCAUAAUUCAGGUGAGCUUGCUUAUUUGGUGCUUACUUUAAACCGAAUUUGUCGCCUUUCUUUAUGGAUGACGUAAGCAUUUUUGGUUCAAUGCUGUUGUUGUGAUAGCUCUAAAUAAUGUUGAUUGUGAACAAUCCAUUCAUUAUAAGUGAACUGCGUUUUGGAGUUCUCUAGCUUUCCCUGUUUUCCUGUUUUCAUUUUUGAAAAGUAAAAGCACGACUUACGGGAGUUUGCUUAUGAGAUUCCCACUUAUCUUGGUUAUGGGCAAGUCAUAGCUGUAAUCUCAAAAUGUUGUGUUGUUGUCGUUAAUGGUUGUCUACCUUAUGGUCAAUGAUUCGCCAUUGCUUUGGCGUAGCACGUUUAGUUGGAUUUUCUUGAAAAUAUUUUCAUUCGUCUUCCUGAGAGUAGCUACAGAGUUCUUUAGUGUGUAGAAUUGAACUGAAAUUUUGUUCUUUCUGCUUCCUUUUCUGGCCCAUGAACUCAUUUUGUGUGUAGGAUCUUUUAGUUAUGUAAAUCAUGAAAGCUAGUAGUCGAGGUAUUAUUUGAUCCUCUCAAUUUCUAGCUCAGCUUAAUCCCGGCUGAAUCACAGAAGUUGUUGAGUUAUUAAAUCCAGCAGAAGUGCCCUACUUAUUGUUUUCUUCUUAAAAAAUGUCCAUAUUGUUUCAUGUACGUAGUAUUUGGACGUGGUGUAUACCUUGGUGCUUCCCAUUUUCCCUUUUAUGUUGCUGACUAUACCUUCGAUUCUUGAGAUAGGAAGAUUUCAUAAGGCAGAGAUUUGUGAUUUCAGAGAAUAUUUAUCCUCUCCCUUUUUACUUUUUUGGCUAUAUAUUCUAAUGAUCUUGAUUUUAUUCUUUAUGUGUUUGUAAACGUAUGAACAUUAUCCUGGGAAAGUAAGAGAGAAUAUCUGCACUUUGUUUGUAGCCUUUUUGUGUCUCUGCUCUUUACUCUAGACUUUGUCAUCUGAAUGUGUGAGAAAGAUACUUAUGCAUGGUACCUUUUAUUUGUAGCCUUUUUUCUGUCUUUGCUCUUUAGUCUAGACUUUGUCAUGUGAUUGUGGGAGAUAGAUACUUAUACAUCGCACUUUGCAGGUCUCGAGAUCCAUUGGAGAUGCCUAUCUUAAGAGACCGGAGUUAAACAGAGAUCCUAUCUUUCAAAAAUAUGGAAAUCCUGUUCCUUUGAAGCGGGCUGUAAUGACAGCAGAACCUUCCAUUGUUACAAGAAAAAUUAGAACUCAUGACUUAUUUGUGAUAUUUGCUUCUGAUGGUCUCUGGGAACAACUAAGUGAUGAAGCGGCUGUGGAAAUAGUCUUUAAAAACCCAAGAGCUGUAAGUUGACCUUUCUUUUGUUCUUAUUUUCUGUUGACAAGUUAUGGAAAAAUAUGUACAUUUUGUUGAGCUGCUAAACAGACUUGUGCUUGGCUGUGUAAAGUCUGAACGCAAGUCUGUUUAAUCUUAGAGGGGAUUAAUAAUGGCUUUGAUGACAUUCUUGUUUAAGUCAUCUUAGCAAACUAGAUACCUGUUUCUCGCUUAGAUGUAGAGAUAAGAUAUGGGAGUGGUUCUUGCUAUUUCGUUUGUUUGAUCCAAUAAAUAAGAGAUUUUGUACAAUGAUGGACUGAUCUUUUGGUUGGUGUACUUGCAGGGAAUAGCUAAGAGGCUGGUGGGAGCAGCACUUAAGGAAGCUGCUAAGAAGAGGGAGAUGAGGUACAAGGACAUAAAGAAAAUAGAGAAGGGGAUUAGGCGUCAUUUCCACGAUGAUAUAUCAGUCAUAGUGAUCUAUCUUGAUCACCAGAAGAACUCUUUCCAAUCCAAAGGCACCGUUGGCUGUAUCUCUCCGCCUGUGGACAUAUCGUCCUAUCAUUCAGAUGGUGUUGCAGAUGAACCAAGUGGUUAGAGUUUCUUAAAACAGGCAACUUAUAAUGGGUACAGUAGGAUUAUGGUAGUGAAAAUGAUAUGAUGCGUGGAAAGAAUGCUGAUUAUUGUACAUAAAAUCACAGUUUUGGGUGUCUGGUUGAAUGCAUUGCCAGCACAAGCUUUCAGUUUAGGAGCUGACCAAACACAUUUUUUUCCAAACGGAUUCUCCUUUCUUUUUUCCCUUUAUUUUUUAUAUAUAUAAAAAGAUAAAUAGUUAAAUGGAUGUCCAUUAUUUUGAGUUGAAAUAUGUUUUUUUAUUACGUACAAUCAUCCUAAAUUUCUGUGAGACCAGACACUUUGUACAUUCCCAGAUUUACGUUAUACAUAUUUUCUAAGUAUUAAUCACUAAUAAUUUCAUGUGACGAUGUUUAAGAUCAUAAGAUUAAAGAAUAUUUUGUAUAUUUUACAUUUUAGUUUAAUACUAUAAGAUUCAAUAAAUCUCAUUUAAACUCUAUUCCAAGUUUAUGUCAGAUCAAUAAAUUGAAAUGAAGGGAGUACAAUCUAAUAAUGUAGAAGUUAUUUAUUUAUUUUCUCGAUAGUAGAACUAAUGUGUGUGAGGGUAUUUUUUUAUCAACUGUUAUUUGUCCGUAGUAAAAUCUAUCUAAAUUAAUACUUGAUAAAUUAAUAAUAUAUCCAAGAUAAUAUUUUCCUCCAGUUUUGACUUGAGUCAAUGAAAAAAAUCACUCAUCUCGAUAAGAUAAUAAGAUAAUAUAUUUUUAGAAGCCCUUAUAUAAAUAUAUAAUCCUUUUUAUUAUUAUAAAUUAAUAAUUCUUUAAAGGUAUAAAUAUAUGUGUGAAAUGCUAAACAUCUUUUUUGCCAAGUUUUAUUCCGAAAAUGGAAAAGGGUCAAAAAUACCCCUGAACAAUUGGAAAUGGAUCAACUAUACCCUCCGUUUGAUUUUGGGGUCAAAAAUACCCUUACCGUUAGUGUAUUGGCUCACUUUUACCCCUCAAAACUAACAGAUGUCAUGUCACCUUAAAAAUCACAUAAAACAAUAGUAUUUUUUUGUUGACUUGGAAAUACAAAUGGACAAAAAAAUAUAUAAAAUAAAAAUAAAUUUAUCUUUCACUUCUCUUUCUUUCUUUGAAGAAAAGAAUGAACCUGUGGCUUUGUAAGAAAUUUUUCUUCAUUUUUUUUCAUUUGAAUUUCUUUCUUAUCUUCUCCUUCUUCUAUACUUUCAAAAAUUCUAUUAUUCCUCUAAGAUAAAUUAAUUAUCUCCCUUAUACACAAUAAUUUUAUCAUUAUUCUUUUGAAUUUCAAGUUUUCAAUUCUCAUUGUGGCAGCAGAUAAAGGAAAAAAAACCUCAGAAUUUUGAUGAGGGAAAAUAAAACAACAGAGGUUUCAAUAUUAUUGGCUGGGGAUAAUUACUCCAUAAGUCAAAAUCCUUGCACAAUUUUAUUUAUUGUAUAAUUUCCUGUAGUUUCAAUUCUUCACAAUAUAUUUUCCUAUGCUAUUAAUCUUCUCCAAUUUCAAAAGAAAAUUAAAAAUUGCCAAGAUGAUGAGAAGGCAACCGAUUGAGUCAAAAUUUCAACGCUUAACGGUUUUUUAAUAAGUUUCGCCGAGUUUUAUGAAUGGUAUCUACAUCAUCUUCGGGUAGGAGAACAACAAUGGCAACAUCGAUGUUGUAGAUUACUUUCGAUUGGAUUUGCAUCUUUGCUUUCAGUGAUUUCUUUUGCAGAUCCAUGACUAUUUCACUACAAUUUACUCGUUAGGUCUUUUUGUCCAUGUGUAUUUCCAAGUCAGCAAAAAAAAUAUUGUUUUAUGUGAUUUUUAAGGUGACAUGGCAUCUGUUAGUUUUGAGGGGUAAAAGUGAGCCAAUACACUAACGGUAAGGGUAUUUUUGACCCCAAAAUCAAACGGAGGGUACAUUUGAUCCAUUUCCAAUUGUUCAGGGAUAUUUUUGACCCUUUUCCGAAAAAUUACUUCUACUUUUUAUGACUAUACAGGUCCGUAAUCCUAAUAUUGAUUAUUUAAUAUUCUUUUAUGUAUUUCUUUUCUUUUCUUCGUCUUUCCCUCAAUUCAAUCACCUUCUUCCUUCAAAUUACUGUUCAUUGGUGUUCUCGGUUAGAUUUAAUAUAUAUAUAUAUAUUAUAUAUAUAUAAUUGUAACUGUUUUUACCAUAUUUGGGGAUGCAUGUUUCUUUCCUAUUUGGUUAUAUUUUGAAAAAUAUUAAUUAAUUGAAAGAAAAUCCAUUAUUUGGAGAGUUUGUGUUCGACACUCUUUUCAGGUUUUGAUCAAUAUUGGCCGUAUGCAGUUAUAAUUUAUGUUUUUUUUUUUUUCUGGAAUAAAUUUGUGGUGAUUGCUAUUAAGCGUAUAAGCGCACUUCACUUUGCACAUCAUGUAUUCGAUAAAAGUCCUGUUCAUAUUUCUAGAACAAAUGUCUAUUGAUUCAAAUCCUUAAUUUCCCUACAAUUGAAAGCGAUGUAUGUUUUAAAGUGCAUGUGCUCAGAGACUUGACAGAGAAUAGAGAUGCAAACAGUUUCACUUUCGAGAAUAAAUCAAAUUGGUUAGCUUUUAUUGUAGCAUGUAGAAGAAAUGCUUGUUGGAUUGUUGCUAUGUCUGCUACAGUUACAAUAGUUGAAGAUAGACUAUCAAGUAUUUGAAUUAAUGUAGAAAAGAGACAUCUAUAUGAUUGAGAGAAGUUGAUAAUCAAGUUGACGUCAAAAGGUUGGUGAUCAAGUGUAAUAUUGAUACAUUCAAACUUACAUCUCAAUUAAGAAGUACAAACGGUCGAAGUCAAUUAUAGAACUCAACUGGAGUUCGUCAACCCCUCCGUAGUCCCACACUUAGACAGUGGUGUCUCCCUUCACUGUUGGUCGUCACGAGCUACUAGACAGCUCGUCUUAAGCACCGGCCAUGGUCCGUCUAGUGCUCCGUUGACUUCAGUUUUCACUUAGGUAGCUAGUGGUUCCACUGUCACUCUCCACGAGCCAUAAGAUGGCUCGUCUAAUGGACCACGGCUCGUCUGGGGCCUCGUGGUGUUAGACUUGAACUCUAUUCUUUCCAAAUCACUCCCACGAGCAUCUUCACGGCUCGUGCAACACUUCACGACUCGUGUAGCCUUUCGUAUAGCUUCUUGCACUUCAUUUCCCAUCUUUCUUCUUGUCCUUUGCAUCUAAGUGUUUCACCUGUACAACAUAAAAGAAACCAUCAUAUCCACAUAAACAAGCUCGACUUCUCACACUAAUCCUUAGUUUUGAGCGUCAAAUGUUCUAUGAGUUCACGACACAUCAACAAAUGAUCAUCAUGAUUCAUGAUUCUUAUGUAAGUGGUCAUGUUUUUGCUGAGUAUUCCGUGCUUGUGAAAAGUAGGAAUUAUGUCGAUCUAGAACAACAAAUUUCCUCUAGCUCCUGUCAUACCUGAGAUUAUACAUGAUGAUCAUCGUGAAACAAAGGGAAUAAUAUCAAAUGUAUCCUCCUCUGCUGCUUGACAGCCUAAGGAGAAGAUGAUCAUGCAAAAAAAUAGCUAGGGGAAAUGUGUUGGCUCUUUAGAGGAGGGUGAAGUGUUCAUGCUCCGAAUUGAGAUCGAACAUAUCUUAGAUUAAUAAUUAGUAUUAAAUUCAUUUUUAAUCUGACAUAUUUUUAUUGAUUUUCUAAAGAAUAUCAGGGCCCGUGGAGUAGAAGUCGAGUUUAUUACUGCACAACUAUGCACAGAGAGUAGAGUUGGAUUUUGCAGGAACUCAGUGCAAGUGUAAGUCCACGGAAUAAGAAAUUCAAUGGUGUUGGUGUUUCUCUGGCUAUUUACCUAUUGACAAUUGCUAAUGUCAUAUCUUAUCAUAUAAUGUUAUGCAACUAUAUUGAUUGUAUAUUUGUGUCAUCUUUUUAGACACUCAGAUAUGAUGGUUGCUACCUUUUUCUUCAGUGGAUCGAGCGUAAGGAUGUAAGUUACCCAUGUUCUCCUUCCAAUUUUAGUACGGAUUAAUGUGGUGUUAAUGUAUGUAUGCUAGAUAGUAGAUGAAAAAAUAUCAAUGAAAUUUUCAAAUUUGUGUGUUAUAUAUAUCUUAUUUGUGCUUAUAUUAUAAUAACCUAAAACAGGAACUAGACAGAAUUAAUAGCCAACAACAGAAGACAUUUAGAGUAUAUUAUAUUUUGUUUUUCUUGCACCACUAAUGGAAGAGAAGUCUUUAGAGGAAAAGAAGUUGCAGUUAGCUGUAUUAUGAGAUUUUUUGUUAUGUUCAUAUUUUUGGCAUAAAAAUUAUUGAGCUCUUUGGUUGUACAUUUGCUUUAUGCUCUCAGAAGACACUUGGUGCUUCCCAUGAAAUGAUAUUUAUAUCCUCUUUUGGUAAAGGAAUUUUUUUCUAGCAAUAGAUAAUGCUUGUAAGAUCCUUGGUAAAAGUUAUAAAUCUUGUGCUUGGUGUAUUGUGAUAUGUACUGAUUGAGACGCUAAUAAAAUAAAAUUAAUUUUUUUUCAAAUAAGAAGUUAUUUAUAGUCGUUGAGGUACCUACCUUUUCACUCAACUUUUAAGACUAUGAUCUAAAGCAACUUCACGUUGAUAUAUAUUGAAAUAAAUAUCGGACAUUCAUAAAUAUUGGGCAUGUACGUUCACGAGUAAUUAUCAAUUUAUAUUUAUAUAUGUGAAUGCCUAGAAAAGAAUAUAUAAUAAGUAGUUAAUAGUUAUUGAAAGUUACCAAAUAAUUAGCAUAGGUAAAUUAAUAGAAAAAAUCACUCUAGCAUUCCACUUUAUUGUCGUAAUUAAAGGUUUGUAACAAUCAAAAUAAUUAGGAAAAAUUACUGAAAUACACGUCUUAUGUUUUCCUUAUUUCUAAUAUUUCCUUCUAUUUCUAAAAACCUCUAAAAUUCCUUAUUUCUCUCCUAAUUCUAAAUUAUUUUAUAAUGUAUCCGAGCUAGUUUUUAAUGUAUUCGAGCUAGUUUUUAAUUGUAUCCGAGCUACAUAUUAUGUAUUCGGUUUAUUUUAUAAUGUAUCUGAGCUACAUAUCAUGUAUCCAGUUUAUUUUAUAAUGUAUCCGAGCUAGUUUUUAAUGUAUCCGAGCUACAUAUUAUGUAUCCGGUUUGUUUUAAUUUUUCAGGGAUUAAUGUAAUUAUAAACUAAAUAGGGAUAGAUUGUAAUUUCAUAUUAAAACUAUGUGAUUCCUAAAAUUUAUACUAAACAAGGAAAUUUCUAAUUCGGUUAACUUUUGACUUCACGAUUGUUAAUGAUCGACAACAUUGGAUUUUUAUUGAUCAUUACUAGUGGUGGCAAAUGGGCGGGUUGAGUCAAAUUUGGGCGGGUUGAAAAUGGAUCAACAUAAAAUGGGUAAUAAUUCAAAUCACCCAUAUUUGAUAUGGGUAAAAAAGGAUUGGGUAACAAAUGGGUUGGGUAAAAUACUAGUUUAGCCAUAUUUUCAUUUGUAAAUAGUACUCUACUUAAGAAUUCAACAUGGAGAAAAUAUUUUAGUCCUUUUUUAGAUGAAAAAUGUUGAAAAUGCUUCUUUUAGUUUUAUUGUAUCAUAAAAGUAAAAAAAAAUCCUAACUUUUCAAUAUAAAAUAAAUUUAUGUAACAACAAGGAGUAAAUAUUUUUAAUUUCAAAGUAAAUGAAUAGUUGCAUUUUAGGACUAAAACAUGCUUAAUGUACUUUAACCAAGAUCAAUACUAAUGCAUGAUUUGCUUAUUUUACACUAUUAUUUAUUAUCCAAUAUAAAAUCGAACAAAUAAAAAUAUAUAAUUAUAAUUAACAAAAGAAAUGUACAUUUAAAAUAUAUUUUUUGGAGGGACAAAGACUCCACCUUUUCAAUUAUAGAGAAAAAUAAUUAGUUCUAUAGAAGCACAUAAAAAGGAAGAGAAGUUACAAUUUCUUUUUAGUGAUAUCAUGAAUUUUGAGUGAAUAAAAGUUAUAAGUUUAACUCAUUCAGUUAAUCCAUACUUUACUCAUAUUUUACCCAUAUUUUUAUGGGUUGAAUAUUGGUAUCAACCCAUAUUUUACCCAUGUAAAAAGUCACUCACCCAACCCAUUAAAAUAUGAGCGGGUUGGGUGGGUUACCAAAAUAUGGGCUCAUUUUGCCGGCGUUAAUCAUUACUGACUAAUAACGAUCAGAUUAGAAUUUUUAACAAUUGCAUUUUCUCUUACUAAAAUGACCUUUUUCCUUGUAGCAUUCAUUGUACGAGAAUAAAUGAGGGUGAGGAGGGGCGUGUUUAUUAUCAAAACCCAAUUCAAAUUCAUGUUAGGGCGAUCAACUAUAGAAGUGUAACGAUCUUUUUUGGUAGUUAUGGGUAGAGCAAUGGUAAAAGAAUUAAGUCAAAAAACUUUUGUAUAGUGUCUGAAAAAUCUAGGCUAGGCCAGUAUUAGAUGGAAUCUGAACAAUGUGAGGUCUAGGGUAAUUCGAGAAUGGAUUGGGUGGUAUGUCUAAACUUGGAUCAGAUUUCCUAGUAGCUAGGACAUUAAGGAAUUCACAUGGCCUUUCAAAAUCGAAUUCAGGUGAGUAAAACUCUCGGUAUCAAAUUUGGCGUUAAGGGACUAAUAUAGAACAUCAAGAUUCAAAGGUGUUUUGCGAAAUGAGGGUUUUAGGGAGGAUUUAUGAGUGUCUAUCUCCAUGCAAGUUGUUAUAGUAGGUAUCGUGCCGAUGUAGGGGAAUAAAUUAAUUUUCUCUAUAGCGGGUGGACAGGUAUGGCGAUGCCGCUUAGCGGGUGGGGCCGCUGUAGCGGGGUUAGUCGGGUUUUUGUGCAUAAAAAGUCUCAAAACCUCUUAUUUUCUACAACUUUGUUCUUGGGAAAAGGAAGGGCGAUAUAUUGCAGCUUUCUUCAUUUUCUCCACCAAGAUAUUCGAUAAAGGUAAGUUAAUUACUUCCCCAACUUGUAUGAUUCUUAAUCCUUAGAAUCUAAGGUGUUACUCUUGGGGAAGGGUUAUAGCCUGAAUUAAUGGUGGAAAAGACCCUUGUUGGGUGGAUGAUCAUGAGAAUUGCUUGGGGUUUAAGAUUUGAUUGUAGUCUGAGUAUGAUUGGGACAUUAUUCAUUAAUUGUUAUGUUAAUUUAUUGUUUUAGACCACGAACAAGUCGUAAUUCAUAACAAGGGGAGAACUCAAGUUCUUUAGAGUUUCCAAGACUUGAUUCGAGGUAGGUGGUGGUUGUAUGUUUUUUCCGUUUACGCUAUAUGUGCUUAUUAACUGUGUUGUUAGUAAUGCAUGCAUGAUAUAUGAUUAGGGAAAUGAGAAAGAUAUGUUGUGAAUUGAAAGAUGUUUUCAGUCACAUGCAAUGAAUGAGUUACAUGUGUGAUUGUGUUUCAUUGUGGUUGUGAUUACGUUGUGUUGAAGAUUAGGAUCGGGUACCACGUCGACACAUACUAUUGUUGGAACGGGUACCACACCGGCACACUAACAUCUGAAACAGGUGUCAAGCCGGUACAAGGGGAACAUGUACCACACUGGUACACUAACUAUGAGAUUGGAUACACCGUUACACUAAUAGUUUGUAUGUGUGGGUUCCAUGAGAGAACUAAGCUAACUUGUUGUGAUGUAAUGGUUUAUGUUUAUUGUGUAUAUCAAUUAAAGGUAAGGAACGAGAGUCCGAGCUAUGUUGUACUUAUGUUUGUGACGGUAUAUUAUUUGAUUACUACGUUGUGGUUGCCUAUGCAUAUUUCAUAUACUAGAGCUAGUUGAUGAUCAUACCAGUACGUUGUGGUUGUGUACUGAUACUAUACUUGAUCUUUCUUUGUUGAGUACAAGGCAUAUGCAUGCGGCUGCUUUGAGAUCUUAGUUGUGAGAUGCACGACAUUUGAUCCAAUGGUGAGAUACCUCUUCUGAGCUGAUAUGGAUUCUUCCCUACCUUGUUGUUCAUCUUUUCGAACAUAAACAUUUUAGACUUUAAAUUUAUGUUUUCUAGUUGGGGUUGCAUUCUCUUAUCCUAGAUUUGUGAGAUGUUUUAGUAUUAUGACUUUGAGGUUGUAGGGAGUUCAUUCCACACUUGUUUUAUUGAUUGGUUGAGUUUAUGUAAAUCGAUCUUUUAAUUGUUUUAAAUUAUUUUCUUAGUAUUUCAUAUCAUGACUUUGUUUCCUAAAUGGUUUGAUGGUUUAAGUUUUGGGUUGGUAGUUGGUUCUCCCAUCGGAGGGUUGUGUGAAUGUCACUCACCACGGGUUAGGAUCGUGACUAGAAGUCAUUCAUAUCUUGAGGAGAUUGGUAGAGAAAUACAAGGUGAGGAAGAUGAACUUAUAUAUGGUGUAUAUAUAUAUAUAUAUAUAUAUAUAUAAAAUAAAGUAUGGGGUCUUUGGGGAUAUUUGGGGACUAGAGGUGUACAUGUAACAUUAGAGUGAUUAAGGACAUGCACUAUGGAUGAAAGAUCCAAAUAAAACAAUGAGGAGACCUUAAACACUUUUCAAUUGUUAUGGAGUUGCACCAAGGAUCAUCUCUUAACUCAUUUUUAUUUGUCUUGGUGAUAGAUGAACUUAUGCAGAAUAUCCAGGGGGAGGUGUCAUGAUGAAUGCUAUUUGCAGAUGACAUAAUAUUAAUUGACAAGACGCAUAAUGAAGUUAAUGCUAAUCUAAAAGUUUGGAGAUAAGACCUUAGAGUCUAAAUGAUUUAGGUUGACAGGUCUAAGAUAGAGUACUUGGAGUGUAAUUUCAGUAAUAUGACUUAUGAAGCAGAUGUGCAAUAGUGCAAGUGAAGAUCGAUACACAAGUCAUCACUAUGAUAGAAAAUUGCAAGUAUCUUAGAUCAAUAAUGCAAGAAAAUUUAGAGAUUGAUAGUGAUAUUAGACAUUGUAUUGAUACGGGAUAGAUGAAAAGAGGUUCAUAUUUGAUGUUUUGUGUGAUAAAAAUGUACUACCAAGACUUAAAUAUAAAUUUAAUAAAGUGAUGUUGCAUAAGUUAUGUUGUAUAGGCAAAAUGUUGUCUUGUCAAGAGAGAAAAUAAGGAUAUUAAAAUAAAUGUGUGGGCAUACUAGAAAAGGUAUAACUAGGAACAAAGAAAUUAGGGGCAAGAUGGGAGUAACCUCCACGGUGGACAAGAUGAGGGAAACAUGACUGAGAUGGUUCAAGCAUGUCAAAAAAGGAGAUACACAGAUGCCCCUAUGAAGAGGUUGUCCAUGGUGGUUUUGAGGAGAGGUAGAGGUUGACCGAAAAAGUAUUAAGGAGAUGUGAUUAGACAAGACAUGACAUCUAUUAGCUUACUGAGGACAUAGCCCUAGAUAGAAGAAAAUAA